rnacentral:lncRNA from 1 species
UUUAUUUCCUUCUUUUUUCAGUGCAACACAGGAAAGCGCCCUCUUUUUGUCAUCCCUGCAGCUUUCUAGAUUUUGUAUUGAACGCAUGGCGUAGCUAGGACCUUCACCUCAAAUCAUGUUUGAGCCUAUGUUCAAACCAAACCCAUCCCCCUAUUUGAUUGAAUAAGGCUGGAAAGAAUGCCCGCUAAGUUCAGAUAAGGGAAUGCUUCCCCCAACCAUUAAAUAAAGUAAAGGCUCGACGAAGGGAGGGAGAUGCGGCGGGGGAAGGAAAACGCUUUCGGAGAUCGAGAGAUUUUAUUUGUUUUUCAUCGAAAACGAAGAAGGCCGAGGAUGGCCUACGGUGCGUGUUAUCUGAAGGGAACACGCUUUUUCGACCGCGGUGGUAUGAUUGCCGAGGCCUCUCCUCGUUCCGCCCGCUGGGCUAUUGGGAUAGCAGCCUUCGGGCUUUGCCUGCCCUUUCUAAUUAGAAUAUAGAAUUCCGGCUCGGCCCGGGAAAGCGCUGGCAACAACAGAAAGGAAGGGGUCCAUGUAGCUGCUGCGCCCGCCCCCUUCUUAGUCAAUGGGGCAGCAGGUUCGGCAUCUACUAGAAAAGAAAGAAUCCACUUCAGAUAACCACGCCUCUGCUAGGCAGCGUGUGGAAUGGCCGGGAGCGGACCUUUUUGGAUAUAUAAUCCAAGUCGAGAGUGGAGUUACGGGAACAGCCGUCUGAUGGAAAACUACUUUCACGUUCGGUUCAGAGAGCACUUUUUUCGUUGAGAAUUCCUCGUUCCCUUUCGUGUGAAUUCCCCAGCGGCGAAUUCUAAACUUGUGGGGCCCUAUCUAUUUAUUCCAUCUCUCGAGCCCCGAAGAAAACCCCCCUCCCUUUCGGGCUCCAUAUCUCUUUUGACUCUAUAUAUGUGGGCACCUGAUAUCUAUGAGGGUUCACCCACCCCGGUUACAGCAUUCCUUUCUAUUGCGCCUAAAAUAUCUAUUUCUGCUAAUAUUUCACGUGUUUUUAUUUAUGGUUCCUAUGGAGCUACAUUGCAACAAAUCUUCUUUUUCUGCAGCAUUGCUUCUAUGAUCUUAGGAGCACUGGCCGCCAUGGCCCAAACGAAAGUAAAAAGACUUCUAGCUCAUAGUUCAAUUGGACAUGUAGGUUAUAUUCGUACUGGUUUCUCAUGUGGAACCAUAGAAGGAAUUCAAUCACUACUAAUUGGUAUCUUUAUUUAUGCAUUAAUGACGAUAGAUGCAUUCGCCAUAGUUUUAGCAUUACGGCAAACCCGUGUCAAAUAUAUAGCGGAUUUGGGCGCUCUAGCCAAAACGAAUCCUAUUUCGGCUAUUACCUUCUCCAUUACUAUGUUCUCAUACGCGGGAAUACCCCCGUUAGCCGGCUUUUGUAGCAAAUUCUAUUUGUUCUUCGCCGCUUUGGGUUGUGGGGCUUACUUCCUAGCCCCAGUGGGAGUAGUGACUAGCGUUAUAGGUCGUUGGGCGGCCGGAAGGUUGCCACGAGUAAGUCAGUUUGGGGGACCGAAGGCAGUUCUCCGUGCACCGGACACGUAGUUUACCAAAUCAGUUGCGACACGGAUGGGAAUGCAUGCUACGAAAGAUAGGGUAGAGUCUGAUACAUCAACCGUCUACUCAAUAUCCUUGUACGAGUCCACAAUCACUACACGAGAUGAACCUUGGUUUGGUGAAUUGAAGUUGGCCUUAGGUGUAAUAGGACUCCCAGUUACUGCGCGCGAUCGUAUACUGAGGUGCUCCCCGCCGAUUGUUGAAACGACGCAAGCCGGGCCCGGGCCGGGCCUCGAUUCAGAAAGAUGAAGGGCCCAAAAGUCUAAAUAGGGGGUUACAAAUCCCCCAUCUCAUUGGGGGCGGAAAACGAAUCGACAUCUCGAUGUGAGACAGCCUUUUCUAUUUUAGUUGGGAAAGAACGGCGAAGUCCAUCCGAACCGUCCAAUGAAGAAUAAGAGGAGAGCAAAGCGCCAAUGGCGCGCGAAGCGCAUGCGGAACGGGCACGGAGAAAAAUCAGUGUGGAGGAGAAGCAGCCGAGCUCAUUCCCUUCGCUUCCUGGGCCAAAGCAGUGCAGUCUUUCCUGGCCAAAUCAAGGAUUUGGGGCUUCUUGCUACACCUACGCUACUUAACUAUCUAUAGAAAUCCAUUUUGGAUUAGUAAUAUAUAUAUAUAAAUAGAAAGAUAGAUCCAUCCAUCUAUCCUAUCCGAUUUCUAUUUUGAUAUCUAAAAAAAAAAAGAAUCUAUUUCAUUCAACGUUUGAUUCAAAGAACUGCGCUUAGCCCCCCCGCUCAUGAAACGGCUCUGCUGCAAUGGAUGGCAGAGGGUCCGUAGUACCCAAAGCACUGGAGUGAUCCAGUAGCCGGGAAGGGGCCUAGAAGUGCCUACUACUACACCACACUACACUUGGCUCUACACAUUUACCGAGCUAAUCCCUGUCCAGUGCCUGGCAGAGCUAAGUAAGCAAGCUUCCUUAUUCCUUAUCCCCCAGGCUAACGGGUCCUUACUUUUUCAGGGGGGAGGGCCUGGGCCUCAAGAAGCACUGUUGAGAGGAAGAUCCUUGGCCCCUCUUCAUUCUCUACAGGGUUAGGGUUCCAAACCUUUCUUCAACAUAGGUGACAACGAGCGGGUGGGUCAGAGAUGGAAGAGAUCGAACACGGGAAUAACAAGCAAGCUUGCCUUCCUUUUUGAUCAUUUUGAUAGAGGGGGAUGGAGAAAGUAUACAAAAAAGACUCGCAUUUCCCAGUCGAAAAGAUGGGUUCCUUUUUCGUCUCGCAUUUCUCAUCGCGGGAAAAGAAUCAUAUUGAAAACGUUCCUAACCCCUUCGUAGAGCUGUGUAUUGUAAGUGAUCCGAACCUGCCCGGAGCGAGCCUCCCAUAGAGGCAAGUUAAGUUGGUGAGCCGUAUGAUGGGCAACUAUCUCCUGCGGUUCGGAGAGGACUCAGCUCUUAGUUAGUACCCCCUUGGUUUCGGGGUGGACCCUUUCACUCUAUUUUAUUAUAUACGCUUAGCGAAAAGAAUGUUUUUUGAUACACCUAGGACAUGGAUUCUAUAUGAACCAAUGGAUCGUAACAAGUCGUUACUACUAGCAAUGACUUCCUCUUUCAUUACUUCAUUCUUUCUAUAUCCCUCUCCCUUGUUCUCAGUUACUCAUCAAAUGGCACUCAGUUCAUAUCUUUAAGUUCGAUCAUUGACAAGGUUCAAAGAAAGGGUGGGCCGCAGAUCUAUUCUUCAAGAAUGUUGUAAAGUACUGGAGAAUACCGGCUGAUGUGGUGAGUGAUCGGGAUGCUCGGUUCACAGGACGUUUUUGGACGUCUUUGUUUGAGGGAACUAAACUCAACUUCUUUACGACUAACCGGGCAGACAGAACGUGUGAAUGGUUUCUUAGAAGAAUAUUUGAGACAUUUGAUUGCGGCCAAUCAACAAAUUGGGUUGAUCUUUUGGAUAUUGCCAAAUUCUGUUAUAACCUUAAACUGAGUUUUUCUACUGGAGCUAGCCUUUUCGAGUUGGCAAUAGGUCAGCAACCUUUAACUCCAAACGAGUUAGCAUAUGAUAUAAUUGUAUUGUCAGGGCCCUUACCGUUCAGAUUGAAGAAAGACAUAUUAAGUUAAGAAAUUUUCAAGUAAUCUCUGGCGCAGUAGGAGCUUUCUUUGCUGUCCUUCUGCUAUCGCGCAGUCUUUCUAUUCCUUGUAGGAGGCUUCUUCUUAACCCGAAAUGGCUGAGUAGAGGAUGGACAUACGAAGAGCCCUCGGCGAGAGCUUCCUUUGAUAGAAGGACUCGGUGAGCGUCCUUCAAUGCUUGCUUUGUUAGUUGUUUAGCCUAUUUCAUAGGUGUUGAGUGGUGGCAGGAUUCUUUUCUCAUAGACCGUAACCGUCAUGGAUUCUCCUUCUGGUAAAGACAGAGAAGCUGCGAGACUGGCUAGGGCGUCUGCCUUUGUGUUCUGUCUCCUUGGCACAUGUUCAAUGUUGAAAUAUGCGAAGGUGCGUGCUAAUUCGCUCGCUGCUGUAUGAUAGGGUAAGAGAUCUGGUUUUCUAACUUCAUAGACGCCGUUCAUUUGGUUAAUUACCAACUUUUAGUUACCUCGAACUUCCAGUUGAUGUACUUUGAUGUCACGAGCUAGUUCCAUUCCCAUAAUCAGCGCCGUGUAUUCUGACACGUUGUUGGAACAUGACUCCGACAAAGUGAAGGAAUGCGGGAUCAUGUUGCCUUUGGGAGUAAUAAUAAAGACGAUUCCGACCCCUGAUUUUAGACGUCCUUUCUCGUCUGUUUUUGAGGCGCAGUCAAAAUACAUCUCCCAGGCUUUUGAUGUGGGUCUUGAUGCGACUUCAGCGCAGUAGACUGCUUCGUCAGGCAAUUCUUUUUGCAAUUUAGAAUUCUCCUGUAGAGGAUGUGCUCCCACUCCCAAUAAAUCCGUCAGUGCCUGUCCUUUCAUUCUAUUCGAAAAAAGAGGUGAACGAGACGAAUGGUAGGGUCAGAAAGGGCAGUCCGACGAGUCAGUCAGUGGAAAGGCGAACUUUGGCCGAUCAACGCUUCCCUCAAUUCAAAAAAAACUUCUUUUUUUAUCUCACGAUGUCGCCCCAAUCUUCCUCCCAUACUGAAAAGGAAGACGACAAGAAGAGCUUCUUGAAUGACCAAGGAAACCUACUUGCCCCGUGGCGGGGGUCAAAGUAGUCAAAACAGUCCAUUCGGGGUAGGAAGGUUAUUUUAUUUCCUCGACCAGUGGAUAUCGGACUCUUCUCUCCACGCGCAAGCAAAGUCCUCUCGAGCCUCCUUGGAAAGGUCGCGGAGAAUUCCAAUUCCAGGCAGGCGAUGAUGCAAGUUCCAAGCACUCGCAAAGGGCUUUCGUCGAUAAGUUUCUCAAUCAAAAUCAAAAUAUUGGUGAGUGAAUUUUAUUUUAUAUAUUACCUCUCCUCCAUAAAUAAGGUUCUUGUGCCUCAGCAUUAAGUCCGCUGGCAAAUCCGACCCGGAGCUUGAACUUUACUUUGUUGGUACUAAACCCGCACCUGAUGGACAGGUUGAGAGCGAAGCGGACAGAUCUAUGAAUUCAAAAGCCUUAUCCUGACGCGCCGUGCGCCAUCUUUUCUUUUCUUUCUCUUAGCCUUAACCUAUGAGAUCUCUGUUAAUCUUUGCACAUCCACUGCUUGCUUAACCACCGAGUCAAACUAAGACCAGGAUAGACUCAAUAGGACUCUUCUACUGCCUAUGAUGUGAACAAGAUGAGACUUUCAUUUUAGAAUGGUAAGCCGGGUCAAGCAAGUACUUUUUUUUUCUAUUAGCGGUGAUAGCCUGUUUAGAUAAGUUAAGAUAGGUAAAGUGAAACACUCUUUUCGGGUGUAAGACCUAGCCUUGUGAGUAUAAAUAGAAAACCACUUCUUUUCCGGGAAGCGCUAGUUAAUAGUUAAAGUGAAGGAAGUUAGGGUGCGACACAACGAGAAUGUCUUGUUCUAGGCGCUUAGGCGAGUAGCGGUAAGUGAAGUAAGUUAAGAAAGUCAAAAAGUGCAAGUGGUUGAUUGACAAACUAUUCUGGUAAGCACAGGUUCUUAUUGUUCCUAAAGCUCUGGAUCUCGAAGCCCCUAUCACGUAAGGCGUUUGAUCGGGCGCCUACUCCUCGAACUUCCAUUUCAAUGUGUCUUUCCCAAAAUCUUUGGUAUGCCUUUUCCUGGUAAGAAGUAAUGGGAAAGUAGAUAGGGAAAUCUAGGGUUCAAUGUCCCCUAUGUUGAAGAAAGGUUUGGAACCCUCUAACCCGGUCUUUCAUAGAUAAGGGUAUAGUCUCUCUAUCGAGGGGUUUUCCCUCUCUUUGAAUUUAGCUUUCUGCUUCAAGUUCGUCAGCGAUGGAAAUCUUUCUCGACUCACAGAUAAGGGAUGUAUGAUUCCCGAACCUUAACAAAAAGGAUUGAGCUCCGCUCAUCCCUUGAUCUCUGCCUAACCCGGGCUAGUUUCAGUGUUUGGUUCCUGACUUGAUGGGAUGGGAGUCACAAGGCUUUAAAGAAGCCCGAGGAGCUGGGUUGAACGAGAUUCGCUUUGGUUUUUAUGAUUUGACCUUGCUCAUAUAUCAAGGCUGAGUCUAACUCCUUAUGUCUCGGAAAGACAGAUUUUCUGAUACACUGGACUAAGGUGACUAACCCACAGGACCUGAGAUGAGACAGAGACUGAGACAACGAUUUGUCGAAGACACUGUGCCCGAAUCAAGGAAAGCUACUGCGCCUGAGAAGAAAGAAAGAGAUAUUUAUUAAGAACAGCCUUUAAGAGAUAGGGGGUGCCACAAGCCUAGGUCCCCAACAGAGAUAUUUGAUAUUGGUUUGGUGGACAGAGCCUGGGUCGCCAAGCCCAAGCCCCCCGACAGAGAGUAUGGAUCACUAUGUCUCAAAAAUGCGUCUUGCUUAGGUUGAAGCAAAUGCCAGUAUAGUUGCUGUUCUUAUGCCGCUAUUAGUAGAUCAAACGCUCUUCUUUCUCUGAUCUUUCGGAGUCCUUAGUCGAGUCAGAUCCGCACCGCAGGUUAAUCUCUCGUUUUUUGGAGCUUUACUUUAGGCUCGCUGCCCCUAUAUGCUUUCAAGCUUAUGGACACUUCAAGCUCGUAUCUUCGCAUCUUGUCUUUAGGUUUUAUCGCCUUGCAUGCUGAUGAGCUCUUUCCCUCGGGUUCUGUGACUCGAGUAACAGGAGCUCUACGCUAGAGCACAAAAGAACGGCAUCUCUCUAUCGGAUUGCCUUAGCCCUUUGGUAUCCCAUUGGCUUACCCCGACGGUAUUUGUAUCGGUAUCUCGUUCGAAUAAACUUGCUUGCGCAUCUUGUCUUUGGUUUGAUAUACUUUUAUUAUAGUCCAGUGGCAAGAUUAAUGUCUUUUAUUGGCUUCUCUGCCCCUGGAACAAGAUAUCCUCUUUUCUGUCUCUGUCUUUUUCAAAUAAAGACCUCUUGCCUUGCCCCCUUAUCUACUACGGGUGAAUCUCUUCGAUCCGGAAUUUCACUAUCUCUAAAAAAAAGGUUUUGCUGCUGCUAGCUCCGCCACUGGGCCAACUUAAACUACUGCCAUAGGUCCCUAUCCGGGUCCUCACCCUCUACCGGAACUCCUGCGGGUUAGAGAGAUGGAACUACUGAAGCUGCUCCCUCUGCUUCUGGAACUGUCAAAGGGUUGGGGGGCAAUCACUUUUUAGAUCAUGGCUUGUAAUUCAGGAGCCUUUCCCUUGACAACCGAGCUUGCCUAAGGACGGCGUAGAAGAGAAAAAGUCUAGGAUUGAGAUCUGAGCAGAAAUUUCUCCCAGGUGAGUGGCUACAUUUUAGGGUGGUAAUUUGUUGCUUGGUCGAGCAGCUGCCCUUGGCAAGGAAGGCUUUGGAAAACCAUAGCAUCAGGGGCCUAGGCCCUGUUCUGGUUACUACAAUUAGUGUAGUGUAGCACCUUUAUUUUCAGGGCUUACUUCGGAUAGUACCGCUGCUAUUGUUUGAGUAUAAUCCUGGUAUCUUUCUACAAUCGUCUUUGUGGCUCCUGUUGUUGCGGAGCCUCUGUGCUGUUGGUUUUACCCUGCCCGGUAACGGGUCCUUGAAUAUUCUCAGGUGGAGAUUGUCGACAAAAAAACCAGCUAAGUGAUUUUUUCUUUCGGGUAAGGCAAUAAGUUUUGCAAAGUCCAACAGGCAUUAGUAGCAUGCCCGUGGUACCUGUGGAAUCAACUGUAUGCGUUUGGGUGAAAAUUCGUGGGUUUGGUGUAGUGAAAGAGAAAAAGAAAAAGUUGCUUCAGUUUCUGAACAGGGCAAGCAUACCUAGGAAAUCGAGAUUGGGAUCCCAUUCAUCCAGCGGAAGCAACGGCUAGGGCAUGGACAAUAACAGAUCCUUUUCCCUAGCCGGGGUCCGGAGGUUUGUCGUAGCUUCUGCGGCUACGACAUGGGCAUUGCUAGGUGUUGGCUUAAGUAUUGGUGAAAGUACCUGAACCAGUGGUGACAUCGGCAGGAGAGGCUCCAGCACUGGUAGGUAAGGGCGAAGUCAUCAUAAGUGUAAGUGGUUGACUGGGCCUAGGAACGACCAUCGGUCGGGAGCUUUUAAGGCUAAGGCAAAUUCAUCGUUUUUCGCUCGUCUUUCAUGCGUGCGAAUUGCAUAAGUAAUUGUGUUUUGGCGGUGGAGAAGUACAGAAGUGAACAGUGUGUUAGUUUUUUAGUUGUGCGAAGCGUUGUUGACAAGACUUACUCAACUCACUACUUUCACCUGUUUCCGAUGACAACUACCACUCUCUUAUGAAUGGGAGGGUAGAGUACCAAGACGGGUUGGCCCGCGAAGGCGGUUUAUUUAGUACCAGAUAUACGUGUUUAUUUCGAAUUCUUUUCAGGGCAGUUCAAAGGCACGAGAGAUAAGGAAAACUGAAAAGCUUCUCAAACCAGAGUAGGAAUUCGAUCAAUCGCUAUCAAUGCCAGGAGGCAAUUCAUGGGAACGAUAACCUUUUCCGAGAAGAGUAAAGCGAGGGAUAGGAUAGAUGAAUAGGUUUAAGCCCUUAUCCGCUUGGAGGGAUGAAUUUUCAAUUUCUAAGGCUUCGUUUUUCUCCGGCAAGCUGCUAGGGAAGCAUUUAUUCCCAAGCGAUAGGGCUUGGAGUUCAGAUUGAUGCCUUAGUCCACUCCGAGAUAGAAAGAUACUAAUAAUGGAAAAAUUUAUGCUCUUGAACCCGAACAGUAAGUUGAUCAGUUACUAUCGGUAGGGACGGGAGACAAAACUGCCACUUAUGGGAAAGCGAUAAGAAGCCUGAAAGCGAUUCUGACACAAGAUACGAUGACAGGGAGGGAGUUCGAUCAGGAAUAGACAGAAAAACUCAACUACGUCGACCCUUUCUUUCUCAUGGGAGGGAUUUGAAUCCAACCCUUAUCGAUACCCCUCGCUAGGACAAAAAAGUGAGUCGGGUUUUGAUCUGGUUCCGAAAUGAGUGGGUGUUACCAAUGACUCGAUACCCUGCUGCUACCGAAUGAAGUUCGUCUUUCCCCCCUUUCCCUAUAAUAAAGUGCAGGCCCCCGUAGAUAGAUAUCCCAUAUAGCCCCUCCUCUAUGGGUUCGGGAACGAAAGCUUUCUAAUGUGGGUCAGGAUCGACCAUAACUUCAGGAUCCUCUGGUUCGACAUUCGUAUUUCAUUUUCUUUUUCCAAGCCCUUCUUAGAACUUAGAAAUAGAAAGCACUCAUUGAGUUACUUACGGAAUCUCAAAUCUCUCUCGACGCCGAGAAUUGGAUUUUUAUUACUCCAUCUUUUGAGAGGUAGCCGCAUCUCGGCCAAUUCCAGGGUUCACGGCAUUCCUACCUUUGGGUGGCUUACUGCCGUAGUUGGAGCGAGUCACAGUUCCGAUUCCAUUUGAACGAGCAUUCCUACCAAUUCAUUCAAUUUGGAGGGGUAGCAGUAGAUCCUGUCGAUUAACUCGGUCCAGCAACUGUUCCGGGUCCAGCACCGACAUCAGUAGCACUACCAUGAGUUGACUAAGCCAAUGUUGCACCAGUAGACCAGAUCGGGAUCAAAAUCCAUACCCACUUCUUUUGGAUUGGAAUCCCGGGAUUGAGAGACAGAUAUUCGCCUGGUCCGAUAUUGGAUCGUCGCUCACUCGCUUCUUUCUGCACUGGAUCGAACCAAGCAAUCGGUCUAUGUUCUUACGUAUGAUAAUACAAUGGAUCCUGAUCCCAGGAAUCAAAAACCUAGUAAGCGGGGUCACAGUGGAUUGUGAACCCCCGAUACCGUAGUUUAGAGAGGUGGCGCGGUCUGGUCCCAUCCUACAUAAAAAGGUUUUCAAAACAAAAGAAAGGGAUAGGAGUAAGCGCCUCAAGGUAAUGGAUGUGAAUAAAGGGGGGGGAGCGAGGCCUUUAGGCCCUAUACCUUCCGGUGAGAUUAUGCCUUGUGUUUUUAUGAUGGUUUGCCUGGUCAUAACGUGCUUUUGCCUUGUUUUGUCUCUUCUCUUCUCAUUGGAUGCAGUGGCAUAGGCGGGUUGUCCCUCCCUCUUCUGAAGGUGGGGGUUAUUCUUCUUGCUGGAAGUGGGCUAUCCUUAUGACUGGGUCCGUUACAGCGGCUAGUCAGAAGGUGGUCUGUCUGAAUGCGAUGCGAUCCCUCCACUCGAGGACGGGGGUACACUCCACUGCUUGGGAGGGCACUUCUAAGGAAGGAGACUUCAGACUUCACUCGCAAGCGGGGUGGUUUCUGGAUCAAGAAGUCCUCUCUCGAGCUUUCCGGAUAUAAAGGGCAGCGUCUUGGUAGGGAGCUGUCGAGGGAUAUAUUCCUCUCGAAGGGAGCUUCAAAAUGAGGGAGGCCGAUCUUUAAUCUGAUAUUCCUUGAUUUCUGGCUCCUGAUCCUUUAGAUCUUCGUUGUCUGUGACUUUAGGUUUCUGACUUCAGGUAUGUGACUUCUGGCUUCGGGCGUCUGACUUCGGGUUCUCUGACUGACGAUUUCUGAUCUCCGAUCUGAUCUAUAACCAGAGGGCGACUCUGCAGACCAGGAAUAUAAAAACCUUACCCAUUGUCCUAACUGGAAUGGGGACGCGACUAGCGGGGUGUUCUUGUAAUCCCCAACCCAUAUGUACUGAGGAAUCCCGGGAGGCAUGGUAGGUACUGGUUAGGAUCCCGGCCCGAAAGACCCGCUUGAGUUGAUCACACCCUUGUGAAGGUGUAAUGUAAAAUCCGGCAGUUAGUCAGCCUGGUUAACGAUCAAUGAGUAAUGGAACGGCUUUGCAGGUUCCCAUUUUAAGGUGUUCGAUCCGACAAGCAAGCAAGAUUUGUGCUAUUUGUUUAUUCAUUUUGUUUAGUAGUGAUAGUUCCAUCGAGUCAAGUAAGUAAACCGCACCAAGGAGGUGCCGGUUGGAUCGUAUCACUAGAUAGAUGCCACGGUAGUGCUUUUGGUCAAGCACCACCCCCCUUAAGUUAAGGUCGGGCUCUUUCAGAUCCUUCCUUCCGAACUCUGAUCGAAGUGCCUUACUCUCUAUUUGAAACAAGUUACAUCUUCCCGAGUCUUUCGGUAGCAUCUGGCCAUAAACCCUCUCCUUGCCGGCCGAGUAACUCCGUACCUGACCUUAUUUUCUAUUGAAUUCACUCUGUUCCCCGGUCACAGCCUUGCUGGCUGCUAGUCUUCUUCCAAAUCUAUCUCCCCGUCUUUCAAACCUGUUCACUUCGUUGUUACUUACAAUGAUUAUUGGUGCACUUUCCUCUAUCUGUUCGGUCGAGUAGCUCCUGUUUCCUUUCUUUCACAAAGAGAGAUGAGCGAGCUACUGAAAGAGAAUGCUACUUAGAUAUGCACCCUCUACCAUGAGUUGUAGAGCUUAAUAAAUCUUCCUUGCCCCCUUCCCUUGGCUGGUCCCAUCACCCGAGAUUGCGUUGCUCGGAGCAACACUAGCUGACACCAAAGAAGGUGAUUCGGCUAUCAAUCAAACCUAGGUUAAAAUUCCCGCCCUGAAGAAGCCAAAGCCGCGCGAGCAUCCAGGUCCGCAUCCACUGACCCAGGGUAAGUAGUUUACGCCCUUCUUAUCUUAUGAUGCUUAAUAUGUGCCUCGAUCUAAAAAAUGAAUCUGAUUGAUGAAUUGCGAAUACCACGAAGUAGUCAAAGGCGCUGGCUCAGCUCAACAAUACAGGUUUCGCUUCCUCUCCCCUGCGGUCGAGCCUGCUCUCGAUCCGGAACUAUACCUUGGUCUUGUGAUCCAGCUUCAGAUCGAACGGUAAGGAUCCCCUCUCCGGGGUUUGCCAUAUCUAUGCCAGGGCGGAAGAGAUAUACCUAAUUCCAUUCUAAGCCUACUAGCUCGACGAACCCACUUCACUACUCCCUCGUAUCGUCCGUCCCGCUACUACAUCGCCAAUGAGUCUUUCUCCCAGAGCUCCCGUCUCAGUUACAGAUCUUGGCAGUCCCCGAUUCUGCUCUUCACAUCAAGGUCAGGGCCACUCCACGUCAGUCUCUGUCGUCGGUUUCGGAUCAGCGUUCUUUAUACUUACCUUAAGAGAAUACCAGGUCAGAAACCAUGAAGCCUAAGUUGGAGAUGGAGCCUACGCCUAGGACGAACUCAUCCAAAGCGGAUAGAGUCAAAUCGAGCUACUUCGUUCUCUCCUUGAAUUAUUGUAUAGGGCGAGCUACUCCAUCCCUCACGCUUCGGGGCUGACGCUUGUUUGUUUAUUGGGAUCAUUCUCCCUUAACUGUCAAGAGCAGGUGAUGCAAAGAACCUUACUCACUUUCGAACAAAUACAUCCUGUUUGAUUACUAGUUCGGGCUUACAGGUAGGGGCGGCUACUCACUAACCGGAGUACUUGCCAUUAUUAUGUGAUUUUCUCUCUCCGGUUCCUUGAUCGGGUAUUUAGGAGAGAAAGGAACUACUAAACCAAGUAAACCGGCCUCAACGAGUCCCUCAGGACUACAAAAUGUUGGGGCACACUCUCCUUUUUCAUUUAAGGUCGAUCUCUUUUAGAACCAAUCUCAAAGCACGCGACUGAAGGAAGCGGCGUGAACUAUUCUUAUCUUAAGACAAUAGACAAUCGCCUUAAGGGAAAGGGGCAAACGGGUCCUGCUUAAGGGAAAGGGGCAAACAGGUCCUGGAAGAGAGAGGUUAGAACCCGAAUAAGAGGCCUUGAUUAACUCCGCCCCGCAACUAUACCUCUAUCUAUCUUAAAGUAAGACUGGCACAAAAACGAGUAGGAAGUUCAAGACGAGUACUUAUUGAUGAUUCAAUCCAACCGCAUCUUUAGCACGGUUGACUUAGCCCUUUCAAGGAAAACUAUCACUACCGAAACGGAACCAUCACUAUGAACUAAGAAAAAAAAAAAUAGCACUCUCCCGCUUGACGGAUCGAACACUCCACAACACGAAACUAGCAAAGCCAUUCCGUGACUCAUCGAGAAUUUCACGUGGGAUCGACUGGCUAACUGUUAGGAUUUUUACAUUACACCUUUCUCUGGAAGCGCGGUUCACUCAAAUAGGUAUUUCGGGCCGAGGUCCCGCCCUUUGCCAUGUCUCACUCUUGGGUUACAUAUGGCGCAAGAUCGCUAGAAGCGGAGGGAAGCCCCGCCGGUCGCUUUCUUGCAGGCUGGACCGGUAUCGGCCAAAGGGUACAGAAGGCCUUCCUUCUUGGUCUGCUGCUUGCUCGCCCUGCAUGGCGAAUCGGCUUUCUUUGUCUACGAAUAGGCUGCCCAAAAGAGGGUCUUCCGGUCGAGCCAGCUUUCCUUUUCUAACCACCGCCUUUUUCUUUCUUUUUUUACUUUUUUAAAGCUGGUCAAUUUCCAUCCCCUUUAUUUCUCAACUUCGUCGACCCUCCUCAUCAGAAAUGACUGUUAUUGGUGUCGUAAGGCGACGCGAUCCCGGUGUCUCGUCACUUUGACUCCCCGUUCUCCUCUCUCGUUCUUCAUGGCCUAAAAAUAAAUAGAAUAUCUAUAUCAAGAAAUGGAAGGCAUAUCAAGCCCAAUGUUGAGAUUGAAGGCUUCAAUAUUACAUAUUCCCUUCACCCGGGAUCUUGAGUCCUUUCUUCUCCUUGACUGUAUUGGCGUUCUUCAUCUAAAGGCUCUUCAUAUCAUGAACUUGUCUAAGUUAAACUCUUCUUGUUGCGGGAGAAGGUUCUGGUAAGCUCGUCAGGUGCUGGCGUAAGUAGAAGUAGUAACUCCUACCGUUGCUAAAGCUUUGCUUUCUCUUUAAGGCCGAUUAUCGUUAUUCAAGCGGUAUCGCAGAGAAUCUUUCCGAUCGUCCUUCUGGCAAGGGUUUGAAGAGUGGCUUGGUAGUUAGGAAAGUAAAGUGAGGGAGGAAGGCGCUGUACUAUUGGGCAAGUAGCGGUUGUAGUCUCGGCUUUCUUGUAGCUUUGGGGAUUUUUUAAUGCUACUUUAGGAUAAAAAAAAAGGCUUCAAGCUCAAGUGCAAGCUGAGUAAACUUGUUCAGCUUUACUGCAAGUCUAAACUAAAGAAAGGGAGGGGCAAAGUCCACUCGCUAUUAGCUCGCUUAAAUCUCUUCACUCGCAUAGUAAACAACGCUCGCCCUAGCUAAAUCAAGCUUAGUACAUCUCGGGUGAUGAGAGAACCUUCCAUUACUAGAAGCUUUGGCAAGGAUCCUGGAAAAGACUUCCAUAGCAAGAACAAACGGAUAGGGGGAAAGCGGAUCUCCUUGUCUCAGCCCCUUCCCUCCGGAGAAAUAGCCCUCAAGCCCCCCAUUGAUGGAGACCGAGAACUUGGGGGUGGUGAUACAAGCCGCAAUGCACUUAAUCAGAUGGGCAGGAAGGUCAACAGCUUUCAAAAUCCCCAUAAAGAAAUCCCAAUGCACUGAGUUCUAGACUUUCUAAAAAAAAUAGAUUUUGAUGGCACACCGAGGCUUCCCUGUCUUCCUGUGGUAGUUUCUAAGGAUAAAGAGUUCCUGAGCCAAAAGGACAUUAUCUGUAAUCUUCCUCCUUUCAACAAAAGCAGACUGGGUGGGGCUAAUGAUCUUGGGAAACAAGCCUUUGAUCCUAUUAGCAAUCUACUUGGUAAAUACACUUAUAGAUUGUAUUGAAGCAGGAAAUAGGCUGAAAAUCUCCCAUGACUGUAGGAUUAGGCACUUUCGGCACCAAAACAAUGAUAGUGGAGUCUCUUAGAAGUGAAGCAAAGAAAGACUUUUUAUGGCUUCUAUUACAUCCUGAUUCACAAUCUCCCAAGCACUUUUGAAGAAGUGGGCAGAAUACCCAUCGGGGCCCGGGGCCUUGUUACUGUUAAGGGAGAACAUAGUUCUUUUAAUUUUCUCUGCUUCCACGGGAAGGGACAAAAGGCAUCUGUCCUCCUGGUAAAAGGUGAAAUAAAAAAUCCCUAUAAUCUCUGCCACCAACUCUCUUUCCAAAGUAGGGUCACCACCAAGCUGGAAAAAGGAGACAGCCUCUUGACUAACAGCUUUAUGGUCUUCCAACUUCUCCCCCUCGGCAUUGUAAACACUCAACAAUCUGUUCUUGGACUGCCUAGCUCUCACCACCUUGUGAAAAAAGCCCGUCUUACUAUCUCCCAGCUUCAGCCACUUAAUUCUGGACUUCUGUUUGAGGUGGGCCUCUUCCAUAAGAGUGAAAUGAGUAAAAACUUGCAAACUCUCUUUUUCUGCAUUUGCUAGGUCAGAGUUGGAAGGAUCCUGCAAGUGGAGUAACUGCAAUCUAGUAAGGUCCUCUCUAGCUUGGGCAACCUUAGAGUUGAUGCUACCAUAGUAUUUGAAAUUAAAUAACGAUCUUCAAUUCAGCCUUGAGACGUUUCAGCUUGGUGCACAGCCUGAACAUAGGAGUACCCUCCACUGGAGUACUCCAAACUUGCUCAACUAAAGGGGCAAACUCUUCGUGGGAGGUCCAUAAAUUAUAGAAUUAGAAAGAGAAAGGCUUCUUCCCUGUGACCAACUUCUGCCUGAUGGUAACUAUCCCCGGGGUAUGAUCGGAAAUACCCGGCCCUGUGAAGUCUGCUUCAGAGUUCGGGAAAGUAGCAAGUCAACUGUCAUUAACCAACACUCUGUCAAGCUUCCUGGCAAUAAUCUGCUCACUAUCUCUGCGGUUGGACCAAGUGUAGAGCGGGCUCUUAAAAGGGAGGUCAAACAGAUCUAUAUCUAACAAGCAUUGGUGGAGGUAAGUAUUAUGUCUUCUCCCACUCCCACCUCCUCAUGGAAUCUAGAAGAAUUAAAAUCUCACAUAAAAGCUUGGUCAAUCACUACACUGCUCAUUCUCUUCAAAUCAGCCCAAAAAACCUUCCUGCUAAUCAUGUCUUUAUUGAUGGAUCUUACUUUAUUUAGUUUCCACAAGGCCACACAAACUAAGAUUCUUAUUCUUUAGGAGAUGUCUAACCUCCCUUUUGAGGGCGGAUCUACGACCAACCUCACAUUCCAGUAACCGAGACUAAUCAUAAAGGGGGGGUUGGGAAGGACCCCCUCCCCCUUUGGAGCUGCUACUUCCCCGAGCUUUCUUUUCUUUUUGGCUUUCUUGCCUUUCCUUUGGCCCCCAACAUUCGAUUCAGAAGAGAAAAAUGCUCCCGAGGACUCUUCUACAGAAAGUUUAUCAUCCUCCUGCUGGGAAUUAGAUCCUACUCUUUGUCUCUCCUCUUCACAGAAAAUGGAGAGCAAAAUUGAUCGAUUCAUCGAAUCUUAGCCUAGGUCGGGACUGACGGGGCUCGAACCCGCAGCUUCCGCCUUGACAGGGCGGUGCUCUGACCGAUUGAACUACAAUCCCAGGAAAAUUAGGCUAUUAUUUUUUCUUUCAUUCGAACCAUUCAUUUCGUUUCGCCGUGUUGUAACAGAGACACGAAUGAUAUACUAGAUUAUUCUAAUUAAAUAUAUAUUUAUAAAUGCAAUAAAUGAAGUAAACUCAUACUUCUACUCCGUAUCCUCAUGUUUUAUUAUUCAUAUUUUAUGUCUUGGGACAUAGAUAUUCUAGAUACCCAUUAUGAAUCGAUAAAGUCUUCCUACUUCUCCAUUGUUCCAAUCAGAUUCGAAAAAUGAGAAAGAAAUCAAAAGUCAGUGGACCUGAAUUGAAUCAUGACUAUAUAAGCUAUUCUGAUAUUAAGAUUCGAUAUAGAUGAAAUCGUGGAAGCGGACCUUUGAUUUCCUUGGACCACGUAGGAAUUCGUCGUACAAUUGAAUCUUCUUGUUCCUGGAUGCUCCAUAGGAAUCCAUCGCUAUUCCCUUCCUCCACCGAGAAAGGUUCAUUCCGAGUCACAAGAGUAUUUCAUUUUCAUUUUUUUUCUUUUUGUUAUGGUAAUGCAAUGCAAGAGGUUGGAAAUCUGGUUGUUUCCUGAUGAUGAAAAGCACUUUUUUAUGUUAUGUGAAAUUGAUGAAACCCCGAUAUUUAAGGGUCGGUAAUGUUAGAAGACGACUGUCGGUAUCUGAUGGUAAGAUACCUACGUCGGUAUAUCUUUGAAAGCUCAGACGGAGAGAAUAAACGGACUCCUCGAGGGCUACUUAAGGCACUUUAGUGCAAACCAGAACGACUGGAGCUGUUGGAUGUUGCUCAGUGCUGCUAUAACUUAACAACCAAAGAGCUCCGCGUCGAACGAACUUCAGCCCCUUCGAGUUGGCCACGGGGCAACAGCCUCCGCCCCACACCAUUUCGAAAAGAGGGGGCUUGCCCAUCAGCCUACUUUGCCAAGAGGUGGUAGGAUCGCAACGACCUAGCCCAAACCCACUUAAACUAAAGGCUUAGCCCGGUCUGGUCUGAAGGAAGAAGAAAGUAGACCUUGUAGAGCAGCGGAUAGGAGAGGUAGCCUAUAGACUCAAGCGAUCAGCUCGGUGAAAACUCACCCCGUAUUCCAUGUGAGUCAGUUGACUUCGAUUAGACCAGACCGACCCAGAGAGGAACGUGCCCACGAGGGCACCACCAGAUGUUGUAGAUGAACCUACUAAAGAAGAAGUUGAGUAUAUCAUAGCUGACCGCACCAUGGGCUAGCCCAUACACCCACUGCACGAGUGGAAUACUACUUAGUCAAGUAGAAGGGCCAACCUGAGAGCGAGGCAAACUGGGAACGGGCUGAAACUUACGAUUCGAAGACCAAGUCAGAGACUACUGGGCGUUUCGCAGAGCGAGGACGUUGAGACUUUUCGAAAAAAAAAAAUGCUUUUUUUUUCUUCUAUGGAAAGAGGGGAUGAUACGUGGCGUGGUAUACCUAAUCGUUUGGUCAACGAGACGUACGUAAGUCGACAUAGCUCCAUGUAUAUGUUCUUUGUAGCUAGAACCCAUAAAUAGAAUGAUGGUGAGCCUAGGGCGACGAAUAUGGCUCAAGGGUGUCUAUACAAAGCCCCUCUCUUCUUCAUUCAAAGAGAAGAGGCAAUGCACGAAUGGUACUUGAUUCAUUCUUUAUGAAUCUUUUGGUUAGAAGUUCUACUUUCUUUCUAAAAGGAAAUGCCACGCGGAGCGUGUCACCACGAGAUAUGGGGCGUUCUAAUCGAAGCGAAGGGUCAUACCUCUCGGCCCUAUUACGGUAAGGCCAAUGCACCAGCCUGCCGGUGUGGUGGCGAACACGCUGUGCUGUAAGCUAAGCUGUUCGCCUUGUAGACGGAGGAGAUAUAGAAAGUGUGCCGUGCGUGAUUCAUAAGAUUCUAUAGUAGCACCAGCAGUAUAUUAUUUUAUUUCACUUAGCCUGCCUCUCCCAUGACUUUCCGGACCAACCAACCCGGAUCUGCCCUCGCAAGUCUCUCUGCAUUUUGGGAGCAGAGCAUGCAAAAUUGAGCAAUGGAUCUUAGAAGAAUUCUACUUUGAACGGCACGACUCUUUCUAUUUUUAUUUUUGUGCUGGCACUCAACUUCGUCGACCCUCCUCUUUCCAUCGGCACACUCGACGCAGAUAGCUCCGGUGGCCCCGGCCCCGGCUUCUGCCUCUAUCAGGCGGCGACAGCCCCUACCCCCACAGCCACAGCAUGGAGGUAUUUACCUUAAUCCGCACAAAAAGAAAUCAAAAUUUUCUCCGGAUCGAUAUAUUAUGAUAUGAUGCUAAACCGAGACCGAGAUAGAGAAAGAGGGCUGCCCCUUUGUUGGCUCUUCGAGACAAAAGCACUCAUAGGAAUGGUGCUAAUUCCCAUGUUCCUUCUAGUCUCGUUUGGUUUCGAGAGCCUCCCCCUCCCCGUCUCUUACUCGUCUUUUGAAAGCCGUCAUCCUGGAUUUUUUUUCGUAUGCCGGGGAAAGUGCCCCACCUUUCUACAUUAAUUCUUAUUAAAAUUUCCUCACCUCAGGUCUCUAUAAAACAGAAUGAAAAGCCCGGGUGGAAGCAAAAGGAGAGAGGAACAGUAGAAAGGGGGGAAGAAGUCUAGUGCUAGUUCUUACUGAAACUUCUUUAUCUAACUUUCAUUUUUGAGUGGUUUCUUUGUUCUCUUAGUUGGAUUGAAAGAAAGACAAAACUUCCUCUUCUUCUCGUCGAGAAGAUUCCAUAUUCCCUCUAUAACGAAAAUAUUCCAUAUUACCUCUUCUUCGACGAAUAUUGGCUAUGACCAAUGCCCCACUAGCUGAAUAGGCGUAACAAAGCUACCUGAAAAAAGGCAAGGUGCACCUUAAUCGACGAAUUGCGUUUUGCCAGAGAGAUUUUUUUAGAAAGAUUCUCCAUCUCCGUUGGAAAAAAAAAAAAAAAAAAAAGAAAGAAUAUAAAUAAAGGCGCAUACGCGGGAAGGGGGCCCACUACUUCCAGGUAAAAAACCUCAUUACUUCCCACUGGGCGAGAGGUGCACCUAACCCACCUACCCACUCAUCAAUCACGGUGUUCAGCUGACUUGCACUGAUAGACCCCUAUUGUAUUGGAAUUAGGUGCCCAUCUUUUGACUGUUGUCAACUAAUUUCUUCAAUGUUCGAUUCUACUCUAUGUUAGAACAUUUCUGUGAAUGCUAUUUUGAUCUAAGUGGUCUUAUUCUGUGUCCCGUGCUAGGAAGCAUUACUCUUCUUUUCAUUCCAAAUUCAAGAAUACGACUGAUACGAUUGAUUGGUCUGUGUGCCUCUCUUAUUACUUUUUUGUAUUCCCUUGUUCUUUGGAUACAAUUCGAUCCUUCUACGGCCAAAUUUCAAUUUGUGGAAAGCCUUCGAUGGCUUCCUUAUGAAAACAUCAAUUUUGAUUUGGGUAUAGACGGUAUCUCUUUAUUUUUCGUGAUAUUGACCACAUUUCUGAUCCCUAUUUGCAUUUUAGUGGGUUGGUCUGGUAUGAGAAGUUAUGGGAAAGAGUAUAUUAUAGCAUUUCUAAUUUGUGAAUUUCUAAUGAUCGCCGUGUUCUGCAUGCUGGAUCUUCUACUAUUCUAUGUUUUUUUCGAAAGCGUGCUAAUCCCUAUGUUGUGCGGAGCUGAGCAUCUUCUAUUCGCUGGGAUAAAGCUUUUCCUCUGCAGGGGCCUUGUGCAGUAAACCCCCUACGGGCGGUCGUCCGUCGUCGUAAAGUAGUCCCCGCGAAGCUUUCGGGAAGAGGGGUAGUCUUGUGUGUAAGCAUAGCAUUUCUGGUCGAACCAGCCCAACCCAACUAAGAAGAACCGAACCUGACAGACACAUCUUUUUCCUUUUGGGAGGGUACUCCGAGUAGUGGGUACCUCGUAGGACCUCGACCCGCCUACUUGGGUCUUGUAUGGAUAUGCAGGAAGGGGUGCCCCUAGGUGUGUGUAGGGGUUGUGUUUGUUCGCGAGAAUGGGUUCCUCGUCAAGUCAGUUUGGGGGGUGUGGACACACUUGCGCGAAUUCGGGUAACGGCUACAAGGGAGAAAUCGAAAGGAAACUGUACCCAACCGGGGAUGGACGUAAACUCGUAAGCUACCGAGGGUAGGGAUAAUCGUCCAGGUCUUAUUGUGAAACAAAAAAGCCGCCCCGCCACUGCAGGCGGGUUGGUUCCUCUGUCGUCGCCGGGGAGCUCUUGGCGAAGAGACCUUAGGAUAAGUAGCUAAAACAAACGGGAGGGGGGGGAAUCGACCCGUUCAGUAGAAUUCCGAAGAAAGACUGUUGGCAGCAGGUGGAGACAUUUCUUUGGCCCCCUUCAAAAAAAAGGAAAUGCGGGCAGGGUGAAGCUCGGCAGAGGGUUCGAGAAUAGGGUAGGGUCCUGUUUCAGAUAAGAAAAGAGUUCAAAACCUUUAUGCAUGCACCUCCGUAUAAGUGCUGCGUACAAGUUCCGGUCAGGAUAAUUGGGAAAGAUCAAACCAAUUUGAACCGCUCACAUCACAAUAGUAGUAGCGUAAAGGCCGUAAGUCGGGGGGUGGCCAUAACAUAAGGCUAUUACUUUCACAUCUCUCUAUCUAUAGAUAGAGAGAGACUCUAGAUAGAGAGAGAGAUCCGCUGCGUGAGCAACCCGACUGUGCGUUACAUGUGCUCUACAGGCCGCACUCCAUCUCCAUCUUUCUUCCCAUUUCUCUUUUGAUUUGGAAGACGGGCGUUGCGUUCGGUUCGAAGGGCAUGGUUUUCAGUAUAUCUCCAGAUAGGCCCCCCACUAGUCCGGCUGGCUAGUGAGCGGUUCUUUCGGGCGAGAAGCAGGCCGGGCCCUACGGGCGGGCAUCUCCCGCAACGCAAGCUGCAUUGUUCGCCACCACCCAAAAGGCAAAAGAUUUGAGAGUCCAGGCUGAAAAUACAUGCAUAGAUAGUGGUCUAAUGACAAGGGCCGACGACGGAAGCUCGGGACGGAGCCGUAUGAUGCGGAAGUCUCACGUACGGUUCCCUGAGAAGGGAGUGGCUACCUACUGGAGCUUCGACCAACCACCACCGGUCAAUUCCGCUUUGGGGCCACCCCUUACUCUACCAUUAUUAUAGGGGUAUGGGGUUCGAGACAAAGAAAGAUCAAGGCAGCAUAUCAGUUUUUCCUUUAUACUUUACUUGGAUCUGUUUUUAUGCUAUUAGCUAUUCUGUUGAUUCUUCUCCAAACAGGAACCACCGAUUUACAAAUCUUAUUAACCACAGAAUUUAGUGAGCGGCGCCAAAUCCUUCUAUGGAUUGCUUUUUUCGCCUCUUUCGCCGUCAAAGUGCCUAUGGUACCAGUUCAUAUUUGGUUACCCGAAGCUCAUGUAGAGGCACCUACGGCGGGAUCCGUCAUCUUGGCAGGAAUUCUUUUAAAAUUGGGAACCUACGGGUUUUUAAGAUUUUCAAUACCCAUGUUUCCUGAAGCGACACUUUGUUUCACUCCUUUCAUUUAUACUUUAAGCGCGAUUGCUAUAAUAUAUACUUCCUUGACCACUUUAAGACAGAUCGAUCUUAAGAAGAUCAUUGCUUACUCCUCAGUAGCCCAUAUGAAUCUGGUGACUAUUGGUAUGUUUAGUCUGAACAUACAGGGAAUUGGAGGUAGCAUUUUACUGAUGUUAAGUCAUGGACUGGUUUCUUCAGCCCUUUUUCUAUGUGUUGGUGUUCUAUAUGACCGACAUAAGACUCGACUUGUUAGAUAUUACGGAGGUUUAGUGAGCACCAUGCCGAAUUUCCCUACCAUUUUCUUCUUUUUUACUUUGGCCAAUAUGAGUUUACCUGGUACUAGCAGCUUUAUCGGGGAAUUUCUCAUCUUAGUAGGAGCUUUCCAAAGAAAUAGCUUAGUAGCCACAUUAGCAGCGCUUGGGAUGAUUUUAGGCGCGGCGUAUUCCCUUUGGCUAUAUAAUCGUGUGGUUUCUGGAAAUUUAAAACCCGAUUUCCUCCAUAAAUUCUCCGAUUUAAAUGGCAGAGAAGUUUUCAUAUUUAUACCUUUUCUUUUUGGAGGGGCGACCGUCCGUUGAACUACCAAAGAAAAAAGGGUAAACCAAUGUGAUCAUGACAUUGUAGGUGCUUGCGAUCGGACGGAUGCGACUUCCCUCAGUUGGUUUGGGUGGCAUAGCCCGUUGCAGAAGUCCCCCCUUUUUUUGAUCCAUUUCUUUAUUCUUUAGUCUUUAGGAAGCUUGACUUUACUAAAAAAAUAAGGCUCGCGCAGGGGCGCUCACUUUUUUUGGCUAAGCCGUCUCUCUUUCUGGAUGAGACCGAAAGAAAGAAAGGACGGGGGGCAACCAUGCAUGGUACUUCUCGACCGUGUCUCCGAGGGACAGUUGAACGAGCGACUCAUGAAUGCUGCCAGGUUGGACGAGCCAAUAACUCGAACGCGUUCGGUCUGUUUUUUGAGCAAGAAUCACAGCGUUACCUUACCUUCACCAUGAUACGGACUCCAAGUUCUUAUGGCGGAGCACGAGGGGAUUUAUCAUCAAUAUGAUGAUGGGAAUGGAAACCAGAAGCACGACUGGGGUCUUCGUGAUCCAAGAUAAUAAAACCAUCAAUAACAGUAACGUAAGCAUGAGACUUUUUGGUAGUACCGGUGAACCAGAUGGCCGCGGCGAUGGAAUCUGGGACGGAGGACUCGUAGUAUCUCUCUAGAUCUGGCAAAAGCGAAAGACCCCCUAACGUAAUUCGAAUGGAGACUGACUGCUGAGCCCACUCUGGCCUCGCAGGGCGGCCCCCUGUGGUUGCGAGCUGGAGCUGCCAUAGCUUAUGUCUAGAGCAAUGGGAGGGCCCCAGCAGAGAGAACAGUAAGGAUAACGAGCGCUCCGCCCGUCAAGCGGGCGGCAGGAGCAGCGGGCAAGUGCUUGGUAGGCCAACAGCCCAGUGAACCGGGCGGGGCACUCGACGAAAGGGGGGCACACUGAGCAAGUACGAGAAAUUGGCCCCGCUCCGUAAAAGCAAGGGCCACUACGGGAGGUCAAACCAAGGUAAUAUGGAAUAUUCUCGUCCCCGGUCAAUAUUGGAUCAAACAAUAGGGGGCCGUAGCACCGACCUCUUUUUUUUUUUGAUUGAUUCAAUACAAUAGGGGAAAAGGUCGUACAGUUCCCUACCGAGACAAGAGAAACUCUCAACGGAUCCUCCGCGCGCUGGGCAUACCUCUUCCGUGCGUCUUUCUCGUGGCGGGAACAGAACAACGGGGAAAGAAAAGACCCGGCCGACCUGCCCAGGGCUCGAGGGCGAGCUUUAUUUAAGAGAGAAUGGGGAGUGAAUCGAAAGGCUUCUGUUUCCGUUCUUGGUUUGGGGGCUUUCGGGAUCCUCUCGAUCUUAUUCGUAGUUGGGAAGGGGGAAGGAGUCUAAAUCAAUGGACAUUAAUGAACCAUCAUUGAUGGACGUUGCACAUGACACAAUCAAUUCGACUCAAGGUCCGGCGCUAAUAGAGGUUGCUUACUCUCCUAGUAGCGAAGGAAAGGGGCAGGGCUUUUUUCGUAGUAAUAGUGGGCGGGUCUCAUGAGAUCUAUGCCGACCGUCGGAAUCAAAUGAAGGUCGAAGGCCCGGACCAUUCGAUUCAUUAAGGGGCUAGGCCUAUUUGUUUUGUUUGGUCAAUCACCAAAGGCGGGGGGAACCACUAUGGGCGAGACCCCCGGCCUCGAUUCUUUUACAUAGUCCGGGAGCCGGCCGCAGCGGAGCAGCGGGGCAUAGUGGCGCCCUCGCCUGGCGCCAUUCCCGAACCUAGCAGCAGACAGGCGGGCCGGGCCUGAAUUCAGACCAGACCAGACUCUUCUUUGUUUGAGCCGCUCACACGCACGCAGACCGGAAGAUCUCAGUUGUCCUGGACUGGACAAGUACGUAGAGAUCUUCGUGGGACCGGGGAGGGGGUCUCAAUCGAUCUUUUCUAGGAUUCCUUAUCACGCCGCGCACGGAGAUCUUUCCAUUGAUAGAUAAGAGAGAGCCUUGAACAGACUCUUAAAGUCAGUCUGAAGACUACCUUUCUCUACGGAAGAGGUGUACUUUUACCGCCCGGAGGUCAUAUAGAUCGAAACCCAGAGCGAUAAGAACGAAAGGGUCGGUCAAUAGCAUAGCUUUUUCUUUCCCUUUCGAAGGCUUUUCCUUCGAAAGCCUAAUCUCGGGCCGGACGGCUUUGUUUGCCCCAGCUUGGCGAAUCGCAUCCCCGCGCAACGACAUUGUUUGUUCGCCCCUUCCCCUUACCGUUCUCGCUCAGUGUUUUCAACGGCUGGGGGGGCAGUCGUUGAAGCGAAGCCUAUCGCCACGCCGACUAUCAAAUACGAGAUUGGGCCCCUUCUCAAAGAUUUGAUGGAAUGGCCCAGCCCACCCAAGAGCGCUUAUGUCAUAUGGGAACUCAUGGCUGGAAACAAUCCUUAUGGUUUUGAUAUCCGGUAGGAAUAAUAAGAAUAAAAAAAAGUCCAGGUUGGUUGGUGAGCCUAGUGAUAGGAGACUAUCUAGCUUGGUUCGGAGAGCACUUGUUGGGUUAAAUAUUUUUUUUGUUGCUAAAUGUUACGGCCUAAAUGCUGAACUAUUGACCCUACUUGUUCGGAUGGGUGUUCACCCCAAAGUGUUCCCGGACCGCAUGCAUACAUCCGUAAGUAACUUAGUGCAACAUGGCAAAUUUCAUUGAGAGGAAUCAGCAAAGAAAAGAAAAACGGGUCAACAUCUUUCAGUAAAGAGAGUUGUAGAUUCGUAAGAUCAUGAUAGAGUCUCCUUUACCUUGAGAUUCUAUUAGUAAAGCGCUAGCGCGCUACAACUAGCAUAGCAGCCUGCGGAAAAGGCGGCGACGGCCCCUACUCCUAAGUUGGAGCAAGAAGCAACGGAUUAAGCAACUUGCGCGAAAGGUUGCUUUUCUAAUUAGAUAAUAUAAGGCGCGUUAGCCUAUCUAUAGUAAGGGGCCUUUUCUUGCAGGAUGCCGGGUGCGCAGGAACAGGAAGGCCCAACCUAUACAAGGUAAAGACCUUCAUUUUGUCGUGCUGCUAUGAUGUAACGUGCAGUCGUCCCGAGGCAGCAGGAUGUAUGGUGUAGGGCCCCCUAUUUUCUCUCCCUUAAAGUCCUUUAUAGAUUUCGAGUCGGGGAUAGGGCAGUGGCUUAUUCGGCGCUAUAUCACAAUUCAUUCUCGGGCAUAGCUGUUCACGAAACGUGGCAUGGGACAUCUGUCGGCGGCGGGAGUCUUACAUCCGAGCAAGAGGGCAGACCAAUGUCACGGCAAGUUUCCUGGUGAAACGCAAGCCCGUGACAACUCUCCCCCACUCGCGAAUGUCGAUGCCCUCAUCGACUAUGCUUCCUUAUAACAAGCAGAAGUGCAAGCCAUUGUUGUCCCAUCCAACAAAAUGGAAUCACCCCCGUGAUGACCUUAAUAGAGCUACCACCCAAUGUAGACACUCCUAACGCCCAACCUAUGGGCUCGGCCUGGAACUCCCCCCACUUGCUUCACCUGCACUUCGAGUAAGCAUACCCAAUUAACUUCCUUAAGUCUUGACUCCCUUUGAGCCCAGACGAGGUCUUCCCCAAGACCAGUUGAAAAUCGAUGCUUCAACUCCCUCAUGAGCACUCUUCGCAAAGAUGAAGUGCGUCCCCUGGACGUGGCUUCUUGUGCCAACUACACCCUUGUAGCACCUCCUUUCUCCUGCGGUAGAUCCCCUGAUCCUAUACUCACUGUCGAGUCCCAACCACCGUUCCUUGCCUUGAUGCUAAGCUCAGCAUCCCCACUAUCACCUUUCCCUCAGUAACUUCUGCCUCUCCAUGAGGCCUUCACAUCCCAAAGACAAGCAACCCAGAAUUUGUUAUACCACAAGAAGUAAAGUCCCCCCCAUGUCUCUCUUGACAAUGCGCUCCCCUACUCCAUGUACAACAUACCCACGAGUAUCACUUUAAGUGAAAGUGCGCAAGUGUUUUUGACCCAAAUAGCCCACCCUUGUGGCUAGAUUUCCACCAUACGGUCCCUGAUCCAACAGUCAUCUACAAUGUAAACCCAAGGUCACCCAACAAGCCUGACGAUUUCAUGAACAUGGCUGUCCCGUGUUAAAGAACACAACUCCCCCGAGUCCCGUCUUAAUCAAGCCCCCGCUUGUACGGCUUUCGUCGCUUCCUUGUGCAACCAUAGCACUCGCCCAACAAAGGGUUUUCCCGGAUGCUAGUAUACGUCGCUUACCCCCAUCAUCUUGAUGCUCAUGCUCACAUCAUCUCAUAAACUUCACCAUUUGGCAUAACCAUAAUCCCUCCUUAUGUGCGUAACCAUCUUACCGGAAUCGCGGGCUUUCCCAUUUGCCCAAAAUCCCCUUGUCCCCACAAGGUUCCCGAACUUUGCCCGAGUGCGCCACCACUCAAGCUAGUUGUGAAGUGAAGGUACUGUAGCAUCGUAUCUCUAACCAACCCAUUACGGCUCCACAGAUCGUCAACAACGAGACCUCGAAGUCGCUCUCGCUCCCAUGGCAUUAUUGAGUGAACUUCAAAAGCACCCUCUCCCCAAAAUUCUACCAAUCAUAGCGCCCAUGCGCUUCACUGGACAUGAUACACGCCUUGACCUCAAAACCCCCAACAUGGCUGUUGUUUCCCUUAAACAGCAUGGUGUCUCCCGCUACCAUUCGGUACACCCACCGACAUGUUUUCCAGUGCCCCAGUUGUCUUUCUCCACAAAGGCACGCCCCUUGAUCCCCACAAGUGACUGUGCCUAUUCCACACAAACUGGCUGAUAUCCCCAACCAGAGCCAACCAAAGCUGUGGAACUUCUACCAAAAUGUAGAACAAGUCUGCCACAACAAGCCCACAUGAUGGCUGUCAACAACACCUUGUCCCUGAUCGUGGCCCACUGCCGAGUGCCAACAAAGAUGUAACCACCUGCUUUGUUACCCACUCGCUGAAUCCAAUCACAUGUGCCCAGUUAAAACGCGCACCUCUGCACAAACUGUCCCUGAGCAACUGUACUGAUUCCCAAUCCAGUAGUACCUGGGCUCUGCGGAAGCAAAGAAGAUAUCACCUCUAAGAAGGAUUCCGCUCGGACAACCAUUCCCUCCUGGAAUGAUGCCUACUCGCCUCCCCCCAUAAGGAGCAAUUCGGCUCUGAUACCACUUGUCACGGCCCCAGAGAAAUGCAGCGGAAUUUGGACCGUGCGGCGCCAUGACUCCACCAAGUCAAGGCCAGCCUUACACCAUUCGAGUCUUUUUACACAGUGACCCUUCCUGAAUACCAUUAUUCCAUAUCGAGGGUUGCCAACAAAGAACUACUCUCAAAGAGUCCCGCACGCUAGCGGCUAAGCGUCGCUUCAUGGUGUCGAGGCACCGAGCCAAGACACUCGCCCAACGAAUAGGCUCUCGUUGUCAUCAAGGCUACUAGCCACAUAACUGAUCCCCUAUAUUAUAUAUGCUAGGCACAGCUGUAUACCCAACAAUGUGCUAGCCAUACUAUAAGAGCCAACCAUGUGAUCCAGCUCCCAAACCAAGCUGGCAUCCCAACAUGCGUCUCGUAUGUCCCGUUAUAUAAUCUCGGAUAGUGUAGCACGAUGUCGCCCCUCAUCGUGCAUCUGGCAACACAGAUCUCGCAAGCAUAGCGGAACCCAAGCUCAUGCUCACGAUAGCACAACGUGGCCUACGGUGGCACCACGAUGUCCCCCGAGUCAUAGACAAGCUCCGCAUAUCGACAGCCCGUACAGUAUAGCGGAUGCACGUCUAAGCCUCUAUGGCACGAAUGAUGCGCAAUGCCGGGCCCCGCGCCCAUACCGACACUGUCCAUGGUGCAUUCUGCACUAUGGAGACCCCGAGCUCCCUUCGGUACUCAGAGUCCGCCCCCAGGUUGCCCCAGGGUGGCUCACUUAGUGCAUGGCCCAUGCCUGCACCGGGGGUGGUGGAGAGCCGACACCAGUUCUCCCCCCUAUAAAGAAAAGAGCCUUAUAAGGAUUUUCAAGUCUGGCAGGGGGAAACAUACUAUAUGCUUGAGCCAUCACACCCCCCUCAACUUUCAUAAAUAUAUAAAUGAAAGUGCCCAGCAACAGAAGUCGAAGGCGUUAGUCCAUUGUCCGUUAGUCCGGGCCUGUCCCUACUGAACUGGUACCCACGGGAUUGAUUGUUCCUUCUGAACUUCUUCUCUCCCAGCCAACUUGAUAGUCCUCUGAGCCCGGGUAUCCCUCUCUUGAGCCUAUGCGCGGACCAACAACAUAGUCUUUGCUAGCCAGGCCAUCAACACGGUCUACUGAACCAGAGAUUUGAGAGUUUAAGCUGUAGAUGUUGUUCCUGAGCUAGUAGUCAAUGUUCAUUCGGAAGCAGGAGCUUCUGCUUGUGAUGAUGAAAGUGAAAAUGCUCUGUUAACUGAUCCGAAGGUACCAAUGCCUUAGUAGAUCAUCCAAUAAACUCGGAUUGGAUCAAUAGCUUUGUGCUGAUCUACGAACGACCCUUCUAUUUGAUUUCUACUUCUUCAAGUCUCCAUCAUCCCGAUCUCUCUUUCCGGGUUUGCCUGUCCAAAGAAAACGGAACCUCUUCUAAUUCAAGGUCGGAAUCCUCAAACCAAUCAAAAUCUGAUUUCUAGUUCACUAUUCUUAUGAUAAGCAGUUCUGUCUCAUUCAUGUGAUGAGAAAUAUGAGAAUGAAAAUUAGAAAAUUGAACAUCUACGGCAGAUUCUGUGCCCCAAAUCAUUUAUACUUAUGAAACUAAGCGUAACCCCGGAGACUGAACUACCUGAGACGAAAGCCCAUUGCAAACACCUAUCAAUAGAACCACAAGCACAAGCAAACCCUCAUUGACUCCUCACUCUGAACGAGAUUCCGAUAAAUCCCCUCACUCCAGCGGAGUUUCCCUCACCUCCACUUUCUUUGAGUACCUUCCUUCCUGCCAGAGGGCGUUCUAGAAGCGUUUACCGCGGCUUAAACAAUCAUCGUAGGAAGGGCCGGAAACUUGCGUUUUCUUAUGAUAGAUUGUACCAUACCUUCUGAGAGGCGUUGGCCUCGCCUUCUGAUCUCAGACAGUCUACCAUGUACCUUGCCAACCCCAGGUUCUCUUUUAGAUGAAUCGGCCUUUAGACGGGUUUGAUGAACCGAGAGUUUCGGGAGUUGGGGGGCCACACUGAACCUUAAAAGCUUAAUUCGUAUCCCUGGUAUUCCCAGCUUGUGAAGAGCUAUCUGGCUUGUGAAGCUACCCAGCAUGAACACGCUUUCGGUCAGUCCCACAGAGAAGAGGUCCUUAAAGAAUAAGGAAGCGAGACUUUUGACAAGAAGAAUAACGGACUCUCCUGAGUCUCAGCCUGUCUCCCGUAACAACGGAGAGAUAAACUAGGGCACCAAGUGCGUACGGCCCGUCCUACCCUCUUUUCUUGCUGAUGCAACAGUAAUAGGUGGGGGUCACGCCGGUUGUGAGGCAGCAGCGUCAGCAGCACGCUGUAGUUCUUCUACUCUUCUUAUUACUAUAAAAAGAAAAAAACCAGAUUGGAAAAAUGUCUUGUAUCCAGCGGGGUUGCAAAAGGUAUUUUGAUGAAAGAAAUAGAUGCUUUAGAUGGAUUGAUGGCUAAUAAGGUUAUAGAUAAGUCUGGUUGGUUACUUGUCAAGGAGAGAUCCGUCGGGGACUGAAUCAACAAAGAAAGGUACCUGGUAUGUGCCCUCGGACUGCUUUGCCCUAAAAUCAGCUGGGGAAAAUGCUAAAGUUGUGUACAUGGUUCACAGGGGAGAGAUUGGGAAGCACCUAGCUUUCUUUGUGGGUCACGAGAAUGGUCAUCCAGCAGAGCGUUUGGAGGUAAAUACGUAGGUGGCUAUAAGAUAAGCCGGUUGGCCUGUCCCUAGUUCACCGAGGGGCUUUCUUUGUGAGUCCUUAAGAUCUCUGAAGGGCAUUCUAACUCGCUGUCAAAGGAAAGGACUAGAAAGCCUUUGUCUCUCUUACAGCUCCUCUUCCUGGGCUCUCUGCUCUAUACAUUUUCAUGUCCCACCACCUGACGAGCCUGAAUUACAUGUCUGAGAAGGACCCCUAGAACCCGUCUUUUCUUCAUUUGGUGAAGGUUAAUAUGUGGCAUGAGCCCGCCACCCUCUCGAUUGAGAUCUAUUCCCCUCUUUGACUGGAAAUGCUUCAUUGACUGAUCCACUAAUCUACGACCACCCUUACCUCUCUUGUUAGGCGUGUCCCUUUCAUAUUAGGCGUGCUAUUAAUAACUGAGAUAUCCACUAACCUAUUAACUAAACUAGACCGCUUUUAGGAAGGAUUCCUGGACUGGACUGACUGACCUAAAGCAAGGAAGGCAAGGACGGACAGGAACAAGAAUAGGUUUGACUAAAGCAAGUCCAGUUCCGAAACGAAAGCGAGAUCGAUCGAUCCUUGCCCCGCCUACCCUGUCAUCAUAAUCAAAGUGGAAACGUGCAACAAAUUUAAGGCUAGGUCCGCCUUACCUUAAUAUUAAUAUAAAGUAAAGAUGAAAUGAAGUCAAAGUUCCUCGAUUUUCUAUUUUUAUGAAAGGAAAUCUUAAGAGUUAGCUAUAUCUAGCCGUGCUGGUGAAAGCCCUAAGUGCAGGUCAGGUUCCGGUUCCUGUGAAAGAGAAAGUUCCUAUCUUAAAAAAAGACGUCUAGUGAGUCUCAUCUUUCGCAAGUUGACGUGAGACUCGCAUUGAUCUACCAGACGUCGAUGAGCUUUUGGUAUCAGAUGCUUACGACUUGCCUAUGUGAUUGGCCGUGUGGAGUAGGCGUAAAGAACGAGUUGCUCCGGUAGUAGCAACUAAAUGAAAUGACUUUACGAAAUCUUCCUUCACGGGGCCUCUUCCUUUCCUAAAAUGCUGGAUCGGAUAUCGUCAAUCGAAUUUAAGUACGCACGCGAAGAGCGAUCCUUCUUAGCCCGUUCAUGAAAGUCCUUUGUUGCCUAACAAAAAUCCAAAAUCCGAAUCGGAAAGAUCAGGUUCGAGAUGGCAAGUCCGGUUAGGGCAGGUCUUUUACUACCUAUAUUCCAACUACGAAGGACAGGCUCCUUUUUCCCUUUAUCCAUCCCUUUUUCAGAAAAUUAUCCCUCCCUCCUGGGGAAAGCUACUCGAUCUGCUAAGCAACCAAGCUACUCUAUCCAUCUAUCCAUAUUGGCUAGCCCUCUUCCUGAACUUCUCAGUUCAGAGAAAGAAAUCCGGUUCGGCUCCUCUUAGAGAUGGUGGGGAAGUAGCAAAAAACCAACAUGAAAUUCUACUAUGAGACCUCUCCCUCUGGUUCGAAAUUAUCCGCUUGAAGGGAAGGUUAUCCUACCUCACCGAGCAAGGGCAGCAAGGGAUGGCCCGCUAGUCCAGAUAGUUGUGGGAGGGGACUCCGGGUACAUCAGAGAUGAAUGCUUGUUUGUUACCGGCAGCUCUCUUUAAACAAAGAGUGAGGGCGCAUUUGCGGAAAAUGAGACUCGAUACAAUGGGCUGGCUAGCCUUUCUCUCCGGUUGACCGGGGCAGUAUCGACUCCAGCCGUUCCUCCAACGCUAGCAGGCAUUAGCCUGACUUCCCUCCUCACCAAGGUAAGGAAGAGAGCAUCGGGGACGGUUUUGUCUCAGCCGUGGUAAGGAACAACAAAACAAAAGAGAUGUUCUUCCGAAUGAGCGGAUUCAGCGGGGAAGAAAGCAGUACACCCUCUUCUUAAAAUAAGUUAGCCUCUAAAGGCUGACCCGUGAUGAUCCCUACAUCACGUAAUCGGAAAUUGGUGAAAUUCUGAAUACGGGUACGAGUUCAUCCAGAAGCGCUGGAAGGGCUGGAGGAAGGGGACGAACCGCAUCGAUUGAGUUAUAUCCGGCAGGGGAACCCCCACGUACCUAGAAAAGAAGGGGAAAGUCUUACCUUUUGGAAACAUAAGGUGCAUCAGAAAGGAUUCCGGAUAUAUUUUUAUAGCCGGAUUCACAAGCUGAGGACUAAGUCGAAGUGAAAGUCGGUGCCAUUGUUAGUGCCAAGACCCUAGAAUAGUGAACACCAAGUGAAGAGCCACCCUCCGGAACGUCGAGAAGGGGGACGAACUGCUUUGAUUGGAUCCGAUCUGGUAGACAGAGACGAAGACAAGGAUGAAUAAUCUGAAGAAGGCUAUGCCGAAUUCGAGGGAAACUGUGAAGAAGAAGACUACGAAGAAGGAAGCCGAUGCCUAGGCCGAGGCUGGUGCCUAAUUCUAUGCUUGAAGCCUAAGCUAGAGCUGAAGCUGAAGCCUAAUUCUAAGUUUCAUCUAAAACUGAAGUUAGGGCUGGAGCCUGAGUUGGUGUUGAUGUCCUAGAGUAGCGAAACUACAAGUGAAGGGGCGCUAUCCGGAACCCUUAAGGUCGGGGACAAUCUGCUUCGAUUGGGCCUUGCAGGCAGACAGGCUAACUUGUGGAGACAAAAAGGAAUCCUAUAUAAGUGAGAAUGUCGAGUCCCGAGGGUCUGCAAGAGGCUGAGCUAACAAGCUGGCUGAAUAUAUCAUGGGGAUGCCCGAUUUGCGAUUGAGCUAGCUGAUAAGUAUGAUCUCUCCGAUCUGGCAUGAGCCACUCCAUUCCUACUUCCACUCAACAAAAAAGAUAGGAUUCUUGGGCCCUACCUCCAGAGUGGGAUAUGGAGGAGUGCGUGCGGCUAUUUCAGACCAAAGGGGGCCAAGGGGGAUCCCAUAAAUAUAAAUAAUAAGUAAGAAAGGGGAGCCACACCCGGGCUAUGAGCUAUUUCUUCUAACCAUCUUCUGUACCAGUUUUGAUCUUUUCUUCCAUAUCAGUCUGCUCGACUCAUUCUCUAUUUGCCAAUAGCUUAGCUUAUAAUCCAUAUCUCCUUUCUUUCGAGAAGGAUGAUCAGUUCCGUAAAUAUUGACCCCAAUUCAAGCGAUAGUAGCUUGCAUUCACCAAUCAUUCCCUCUUCAUCGCAACCGACGUCAAACAGAUUCACGGGACCUGUCGAAGAGCGGUUUUCAUGUAUAGAAUCUGAUCAUUGGAGAAAAAGCUGGAGAAGAAGGGCGCAUCAACUGCGUCAGGCUUUAUACUAAGAAGUGGGACACAUUUAAAAAAGCGCUGUCGCACCUUAACACUUUGUUUGCGGCAUUUCUUGGGUACGAGCGAGCUGCUUCCAUUGUUUGCCUCGCUAUCUAAGUGAGCGCUUUCGGGCAUAUGCUCCUACUGGGAUAUGGAUUGAAACCAGUACAACUCUCAGGCUGAGGAAACUUCCUACUUGCGCAUAUCCGCCCGCUCUGAGCGAGAAAACGAACACAUAUUGAUCAUUGACCUCUGCCAAGCCAAGCAUUAGUAGAGCAGUAAACUUGGCAUCUUAAGAUGUUUGAAAGGUUGGAGGAAUAAAUGCUAAUCUCAAAUGUCGUUUUCAUUUUCUGCGAGAUCAUCUUUGGGAAGACAGGGCACCAAUAUCUGAUAUGGAAAAUGCACUCUUCCACUAAUGUAAUGCCAGGGUGUUUCAACUCAUGGUAGGCUCGUCUCUCUGGCUAUAAGGGAAUGUUUAGAAUGUUAUAUGAGUCCCUUGUUGCCGCCUUGCUCAAGCAAUAAAGAGAUGAACUCGCAUGGGCUCAUGAGACCGGUUGUAGAGAGAGAGAUAUUUUGGAAGCCCGCCAAUUACAAUUAAGUGAGGCAAUCGAUCGGAACGCUAACGGCGAGGUGCCAACUCAAUAAUUGGUAAAUAGCCUACUAGAGCUAUGCAUCUAAGAAAAAGAAGUAGAGCACCUAGGCCAACAGAAACGAAGGAAGCAAGUGGGGCGAUCCCGGCAGAUGAGCCUGAGUUUGAAGCUUUCGAAAAGACAAUGUCCUAUGGUAUCGGCCAGGAGGCUCGUGAGUUGAUUCACGACUCGGUGAAUAAGAAAUAGAAUAAGUAGCUUCUGACUGGGGGGUGAUUCAGAGUUUUGGAGGAAUUGAAAUAAUUUAGAUAAGUCGACCCUAUUCUAUUGGGUAAAAAGCUUUUAAGCAAGUAAGCGAGGAAAGUAGACUGAUGAUGUUCACCCGCGGGCCAGAUUCACAAUCAAGAUUCCUAGACGUAUCGUCCAGUUAUCCAAUUCAACAAGUUCAGAACACCCAAAAUAGCUAAAGCUGAGUGGCGAACGGCCGGAUAUCUAAUCUCUGGGAGGAACCACCAUAUCUUUCCGCCGGAUCUACUCAAUUUGAGUAAUACCUCUUCCUAUUUUAGUAACAAGAGAAGGCCUUCCGCGCAUGAUCGAAUGGACUUUGAACCUAAUGCGUGUCUCAACUUCUAAUUGAGUGCUUGCACUGUCUUCGUUGGGGGUUUCGCUCCCUCUGCUUUGAGAAAGCAAAAACGAAGUGAUCUCGGCUUUUUCCUUUUUUGAAGUGGAGGAAAUCCUGUUCUUAUUCCCAGAAAUGGGUAACUCACGAACUAAAGAAUGAUUAUCGAACUAAAGAAUGAUUGUCUCUAUAUUCAAUAUAAAAACUUUCUUUCUCAUCUUUGUAGAUCCCAGAGGAAUAAAUGGAGGAUUCCAAAACUGGAUUAGGAGACAUAGAUUCAAGCUUUGAGCGAGCGGUGCUUUCAUUAUGCGGUUCCUCUUUUAGUUAGCGAUUGUUCAUCAAAAGAGAAUGCUUUCUUAGGUAGGCUCCAGGUGAGUUUCUACUGAGAUGUAAAACUGUGGGUAAUAGCGCAGUGCUUUCUAUGCUUAAUCGACGCCAGUAGUCUCACUUCCGAAAUGGGAUUUCGUCAGACUCGUAGGAUCAUCUGGAUGAAAGGGGGGCUCCCGCUUGUGUAUUGAAAGUAAUAUGUUCUCUCGUCCUCGGUUGGGUUUUUCACUCUUCGUUAGUGCCUUAAUCUAUUCUGUUUCGUUAGCUAGACUUUCCCCUAUCUGGCACCCAGGCAUACGGGACUAGAUCGCUCGGGAAAGCCUUUUCUCUAGCAAUAGCUACCCAUUUCCAGAAGGAAUUGCCAUUAGACUUUCGAGUGAUCGUACCAUAGUUUAUAGAGAAAUGUUUUUGAUUCAUGGAAGAACUGGGCUUAUCUAUGCGCCCUUUAGCUUAGCAGGAGUGCUUCUUUGUUGUGCCAUAGCGUAACGAAAAGGAACCCUUUUUCCUUUCAUCAUCACUUUAUGCUCGCUUUCUUAGGAAAGCUGAACCAAUCAUGUGACUGACUCGACAUAAUCUUUUGUUGAGCUAUCAUAGGGAAGACGGCGAGCUACAAAGAAAGAAGAAAGUCAUAAGCGCUUAACUCGAGGGUUAUUGUCACUUAACUUCGUCAAGACACUUUAAAGGCAGGCUUGACGAGCGCUACUCCACUACUGUUUCGCCUCCACUCAAUCAGCCACUUAGGUUUGGCGAAGUGAACAUGAACGCGUUAGUGACGUAGCAAAUUAGAAUAUCCAAGCCGGUAGCCCUCCCUUCCGAGCCAGUCUCCUUUUACCUUCACUACACUACUAUAGAUACAUAACUUCUUCUUCACUCCUACCUGAACUCCUUCUUCACUCCUAUAGAUAUAUCUAAUUUCUUUCUCGAAUUUGUAGGAAGUGGUGCAUCUUGUGGUUGAGCCAGGGCGUGGUCAAAGGGAAGGUUUGAUUGUCAAGACUUGACAUGCGACUCAAUGCUAUUGAUCCCUAUCAUCCGAACGAAUGUCUUGUAUUGGUUUGGAUCAUCCGAGCGAGAUCACAUCUUAUUCUAUGCAAUUCUGUUUGUCAUUGAUCUGCGUACACACCGCUUCCACAGGUACAUGCACCACACCCCUAUCUAUCAAGUGAGGGAAGGGUGAAAAGAACCCCCAGAAGGUAUGGAUUCGGAAGUCUAGUUGUGAUUCGAUGGAGUGAUGGUGCCUCGUAUGAGACAUCGAACGGAACCUGCUGCCCGUAGUGCUUUACUUGAACAUGGAUUUGCCCUGAGGUUGCUUGCAUACUACUAGACGUAAACGAGUUGCUUCGCUUCCAUCGAGUGACGUACUCUUGACUGGAGAGCUACCCGCAUUGCCUUCCCGACUUAGCCUUCGAAUCAAGCUUGCCGACUUGACUUAGCCUUCGCCUUUCACUUGUUCAUCAUAAGUCAUACUAAACCAGACAUCUUUCACAGGGAUCCACUGAUGAGUAUAAAGCGAAGCUAACCUUGAAAAGUUCCACAUCGUCCUCCUCAUUCAAAGAUUUAUUGUUCACUAUAGAUAGGUUGAACCACGAGCUGCUGCUGGAGUGAAAGGACCGAGGCCCAAUUCCAUAGGGAUUAGAAAGACUAUCGAACUGAAGUCAGCUAGCCCACUGAACUUAUCUUCUUCUUCUGCCCACUAAACGAAUCCCGUGCUUGAGCAUAAUUACAUUAUCCCUUUCCCUAUUUCUUUCUAGUUGAGACUCUCUUUCUCACAGGCCGUAGAUUGUAGGACUGGAUUGCUCCUUGCUUCUUCAAUGGAUUGUGGGACGGUAGAGACAUUGUUUCAAGUCAAAAGAAGCUUUCUCAGUCAAUAGCCUUCUUUAACUCGGCUUUGACUUCCCCGACAGACGAAAGAGCUUUGCUUCAAGCGGAUGAUGUUUCCUAACCCACCUGAAUCUCUCAUUCCUUCCUCAAUCUUAAUUUAAUAAAUAAUGCGAGCUUUCUUUCUAUCGCCGAUACUACUGCGCAAACAGAACUGAAAGUGCAAGGAUGCUGUCGACCAACAUCUCCAUAUUUUCUUUUCCUUCUUUCUGCUUUUUUUGCUAUUUCUAUUUUUUAUGUGUGUCCUGCUUCGGCAAGGGGAAGGGAAUACAAUUGACAGUUACAGUAAGCAGCAUAGCCCCUCCGAAGCUCUCUUUCAGCCAUCUCCGGGCAAGAUUUCAGGUCUCUUGGAAUUCUAGUUAUCUAGAUUUAGUAGAGCUUAUAUAUGUGUGGAUUUGGAAAGCUUCUAUCUUGCUAUUGCUUAUGAUUCCGGGGCCCUGGCCAUUUAUUCGACUUAAAACCAUUUCUGUCUCCCUGCUAUUUUAUUCUCUUUUUACCUAAAAACUCUCCAUCCGACUUAUAUCGAAGCAGAUUCCAAGAUAUUGCACGCAACAUAAGCGUUGUGCCUUUCUUUGUAGACCUCCACAGGGCUUUCCGAAGCAGAGCAAAUAGUAGACAAUCCGUUAACGUCAGUGAGGCUGGGUCCCCUGAUUUUCUAACUGACAUCUUUCUUUACUUAAUUGACUCUUUCUAAAACUUAAAUCGCGACGUUAGCUCAGCGGGUGACGAAUCAGAGGGGUAAUCUCAUUUGAGACUCAGCGCUUGCCUCUCUUUCUUUGUAUAGUAUGUUCGUGUGUUUGGGCGAGUGGACGCCGUGUGGUUAGCUGAAGCAGACAAUUUUAGUAUCCUAGCAGCUACAGCAGCAGAGAAAAGUCUCUGUUCACGUAUUCGCCUUAGGUUUAGGCAGUUAGAUGCCGUCGAAUUUGAAUUCCCAUUCAAUGAAGGUUUGACGCAGCAGGCUUGAUUAGGUUGUAUAGCUGGAUCUGGUUGAUUAGGGACGUCCCGGAGGAGAUUUGCGAAAAAGGCUGGCAGCAUUAGCGAACAUUCUAGGGUUUGCUGGAGAAGCUGGAUUGUGUGAUUAGCUUGCCUAGCCUGAUCAUCUGGAAUAGCGAGACCGCGGGCCUGGCCUUUCCUAAAACUGUGAAAGCUUAGGAGGAUUUUGAUAACCAUUCUGCACCCCCUUCCCUUAAUGAAAAGUCCCCAUUCGAGUAGUCUCAUAGGUCUGACCAGGGGCUCGGUUCCAACUAUUCUUGCAAAGGACAACCUCGCUCCUAGCGAAAGAUCAAACGCCAGGUGUGAAGCAACUUCACUUAUUCAAUGAAUUCAAUUUCUUAAGUGUUCACUGAACCUUCCUUCCCCCUCAGAGAGGGAAUCUUCUCUCCAUAAGUACUACAUCGACACAUCACAAGGGGCACGUAGGUUUCGCCUGACUGUACUAAAAAGGCCGCACCGCAGGCAGGGCGGAGCUUCAUAUAUUAUAUAUACCACACCAGCUAAAGCCCUUUGAACGGAAAGAAGAUAAGAAAGGAAAAGUUCUGUGUGUGAAGGGGACUCAGGCUAGAGCGGGCUUUCACGAACCAUACGAGGGCGGGCCUGCCAGGUGAGGGGGUCAGCCUUAGCUAGCGGGGUGCUGCCAUUACGAGAGGAGGGCUACAUCUCUCGCCAUGUGCCCAGUUAGUUAUCUGGAUUCGAAUUGAAUUGUGACGAAUUCACAAUCCUGGCCGCUAUCUCGAUCGACGAUUGACUCUCGAUGACAGCCGAGACUGAGUGACUUGCUAAAGAAAGGGUACUACUUUAGAGUUGCAGGCAGGUCUCUCUAAUUGAAUAAGAUACCCAUCCCCGAUCUUCCCCUUAGCCCGUUCCUUAAGUUCUUGACCCAAUGCCAGGUGAUUGGCUAACCGUGCCCCUACCUUAGAAGGUAAGGGAGGUAUGGUUGGGAGGGACAGAGAGAUCAGAAACCAAAGGGAAUAGACUCACAAACUGGAUAGGAUAAAGCAUAAGCUCUGGAAGCGGAUACGCCGAUGGUUGGAAGGGAAGGCUAGCACACAUCAUUUCUCUAAGAAUAAGUGAGUUUCACGAUCAUGAGGUCUUAUUCCUCAAUCGAAAACGGCUAAGAGACAGAUCGAACGGUGACAUAUAUAUAGUAAAUGCUAUGAUUGAAUCGAUACCUACCAGAUCGAGUUACAUACAUAAAAUAGACUUUCUUUGGCUGAUCUCAAAUGCAGUGAUUUGGCUUUGACUCGCUAGCCCCUUUUCCUAAAUGCAUAUCUCUACCUAUCGCACUAGCUAGUAACAGAGGAAUCAAUAUCGAUCUACGAACAAAUAUUGAUGUAUAAUAGGUUGUUCACUCAAUGAUAGCUCUUUCUAUCUCUAUCGAACUUGCAUUCCUUGUUUUCUUUGAAGAGUCUCUACCCACCUUUUUUUAUACUCGAAAAGCCAAUGGGCUUGUCUGGAUAAAUGUUGUUUCGGAACCCGAGAUAACAAGUAGAUUCGGCCACUGGUAUUGUUACUGUUACGAUGCUCGGGUAACCCGGGUUGAAGCUACUCGGCUCCUGAUGUAGCAUUCAUUCGGACCAUUCGACGUUUGAUUCUUUCUAUCAGGGAUACCGAUGGCUCUGUGAGAGGGCAAAGCUACUAAUACUAAGGUGGUUUCUUUCCGGUUACCCGGUUCAAGGCUUUGUCUUACUAGAUAGAAACCUAUCAGAGUCCUAGCUAUCAGGGUUUUUUCGGCGUGUUCUUAGAUUCGAUUCUAUAAAGAAUAGGAAUAGGCAAAAGGAGGAUGCCGGUCUUUCAUUCUUUUUUCAUUGAAGGCCUUAAUAGGAUAGAAAUCCUGGAGCUCAUAAUAGUCAUCAUAGGCCCAGAACUCUAGUUCAGAGGAAUCUAUACCCUUCCUGCUCAGUCAGAGUAGUGGCUCUUCCAUCUUGAUGGACUUCUCCUUUUCAAAGAAAAGAAAGGACUCACUUCAAAGAGAGAGCAUUCCGAUACGGGAAGUUUGAUUGAUGAUCAAAGCUGGAAGGCGAAGAAGGGUAAAAGGAAGAGGUGAGGUUCCUUUAGAUUGCUUGCCCCGCAAGGGGGGUGAAGGUUACUGACUCGAUAGAGUCUGAGGGUUUACUCUACUUUAUCUUUAGAGUCUGGGAAGGGGAAGACAAAGCAAAGAUUUCGUUAGCAAAAGAAGGAGUCUUAUGCCCAGAGGUUCUUAUACAGAUUUCAAAAUAAAAACAAAAUACGAAUCAAACCUGAGAGAUUGAUGGGGGGGGACUGGCAAAGUAGCCUAUUGUCCGCGCUAGGAAGAUGAGAAAAGGUCUUUCUUUUAUCAUACAUAUCAUACUCUUUUUCACCUAAAAUUCAUAAUAGAAUCGUCUGAUUCAGAGUUCCUGGGUAGACGUUUUUUUUUUAACGUAAAAUAAAUAGAAAAGAAUCUUAAUAAACGUCUGAUACUAGAUCUUUACUUUAACUUUAAAUAGUGACCAGGGACCGGUAACCCAGAUAGCCUCCCAAAGAGCGAAAGAAAAGACAGAGAACUUACUUUCUAAGUCUUCUUCUAUAGAGAAGAGGCCUGGUCAAUCGUAUACGAUCAUCAAAAUAGGAGUCGUUAAAACCCAUUUAGAUAGAGUUGCCUCGUCCUUAGAGUCAAGCAGGAUCUUCAUUCUACGACUAAUCUCUUCGCUUGCUUCUACACGAAACGAGUCCCUAUAAUUGAUAUAUGCCGGAAAGUGGCACCGCACGAAGGAAAAGAGUAGUUACCCAAAACACAAGUAGUAGACCCAGAACGAAUCAGAUUUGCUCAAAAACAGGACUUACUUUUCACUCACUUUUGAUCGGGACCCUUUGGCAAGCAGCUUUCAAUCAUUAAUACCUAAUUUCGAUAGGUUAAUUUAUCACUCUAACAAACUCUCUUCAGUAGGCCGCAAGCAAGCAAGACAUGGUAAAAAUCUCUAGCUCUCGAGGGAAGGUCGGACUCACUCAACAGUAGCACACCCUGGAAGAAUAGUUAUUGACUCUACGCCCAGGGCUAGUUUUGGGUAGGCGGGAGAGUACGAGGCCGGUAGGUCACGCAAAGAUUCGAUCUAUAUCCAAGCAAAAGAAAAAAGUUGCACCGCUAUUAUGGUCACUCUAAAUCUAUUCUUCACCGGGCUCCGGCCUCUUUAGGGUUUGGGCAUACUAAGUAUGAGGUCGAAUCUGAUGAAGAAGCAAGUCUCGAGACCACGCAAACGCGGGUUUUGCAUAAAUAGGUUUUUUCUCCAAGGGAGACUUCCAAAAUAUCUUGGUCAAUCUCGUAAGGCGGAGGACUCUCUUUGCUUGACACUCCCCACGGGGGGAGGCUCUUUUCUCCAACAGACCAGGGAGUGAGUAUACGACAUCCAUCAUAGGAUACAGUGGCAUAUGGAACUCCAAACCUAAGGUCUAAAGCAGGCCAAGGCCGGCUCUGAAACUAUGGGGAGGCGUGGAGUAGGUCUGUGAAGCAAGUGGACUUCUAGCCUCUAUUAGCCAACAUGUUACAAGCUUAGCCCGGUUUGAAAGAAACUAGUUGAUGUCUAUUUGAGAACACAGAUAGCUGUUCCUGUUCCGGAAUUCAAGCAGGUAAGGUGCUUACGUAAUAGGGGCUUUUUCUUUCCUCUCCUAUCAGUUCUGUUCCAAUUAGCUCUUUAGUCUUGCUAAGAACUUACUUAAGAGGGGUUGCUAGCCGAGAUAAGGACUAGUACCAGUUUUAUAUUUUAGUUCCACUCUUGUUGUUGCUAAGGCAGGAAAGGCAGAUCUGUUCCCAGCUGUUAGUGGUCAGGCAAGGCGAGAGGAUUCUGGUGGUGGCUUAGUGAAAAAGCAGGCCGGAACUGCUGAUAACUUGAUAGUCUAGUGUUCGCCUUUCUUUCUCUUUCGUCAAGGCCUACUGACCCGCCGGUGAACAGCCUGUUACUAAAUAAUAACUAGUGAUGAAAAACAACGGAAGCCUCAUCCCCACUACGGAAAGGUUCCCAGUUCCUAUGAAUCUUGAGUCUGAGGUAACCUUGAGUCAAUAGGUAAAACAUCGAAUAGGAAGCCUUUUGAUAAAAAGUUAUCCCGAAGCAGAUGUAAUGAAUGGUUUCUAUCCCCAGAUGAGGUAGGUUAGACUUUUGCUACGGAAACAGAAAGAGAUCCGUCGGAAUAGGCUAGGGGAUUCAGUUCAUCAAAUGUAUCUAGAGGCCUAAAGAAAACCAUGAAUUUCAUGUGGGCGACUGUACCUGAGAAGAGGGUUUGCCUGACCUUGCUUAGAAUCUUCAAUUAGUGCUCAUAAGGAGAAUCUAGCUUCGUACAAGAAGGCAUUAGAGCACUCACGGGAAUGAAUUUAUCAAAGAUGUAACUCAGGAUCUGAUUGAUGAGUAUAAUAAGCAAUAUGGAGUCUCAGAUAGGGAGACUGCUAAUAAGGUACUAUCAGGGUCAUCAGAAGCAUUGUUUAGCUUUUGCAAACCACAGGGGUGGAACUCUGGCAAGCAAUUCAGCUUGUUCCACAUCGUCAAAUGCUAUCCCAUCUUUCUUAAAGUGAGUGAUGUCGGAAAAACGUUGUUUGAUCUAUAUAUUCGUCAACGGGAUAGCGGAAAAGAAAUCACAAUUCUACCUUACCGGGAAGGGUCACCAAAAGAGAAAUCAAUCCUACCUCUUUGCCCAGAGGUCUCGAUCAGGAACAUCUACCUCUCAAUCUGAAUAUGGAACAACGACUGACUGACGCAUGGGCUCCUUCUUCACUUCAACUCCUGGAAGGGCAUUUUCCCGUUAGAGGGAGCUCAAUAGGUGUUUAUGUUUACGCUAUUAAUUAAUUAAGAAAUCCUACCGCCCUUCUCUAAAUAGAUGACAUAGAUAAGUUCCGAAUUCGUUUGUAUAGGCGACACUGCUCAUUAGACAAACAAGAAAUGUGGUAACCAUUAGUUUCUUAGCUACACUUUGCAGUGGAACCUCUCGUCUUAUACCCCGGGAGUCUAAGGUUUCAGACUCUGUGUCUGUGCUUAUAUCUUCCCCCGAGAGAGGGGCAUCUAUGAGACUUUCGGGGGCCUGCAUGAGAAAUCUCAAACUAUUUUUGUAUAAAUCCACGACAGGAUUAAUAACAUCCUCCGACCAUCCUUGUGUGCUUUCCCUGACACUAUUUACUAUAUAAGGGGAUAAGAUUUCGGUAUAAGUUAAAUUCUCUAAGGAAAGCAUAAUAUCAGGAAGUAAAGAGAACCAGAUUUGAAAACCCAUGCAGAUAGCUAAAUUCAUUGAGUCCAUGUUAGCUCUAUAUACCCGUUGGUAGUAAGAGAUCGCCUCAUAUUCAUACCCCCUCCAUAGGAAAUUGCUGAAACCCUCGUAAAUAUUUUGGGACCUCCGCUGUCGCCUUCGUAAUAUAUUAGGGACUAUUAAUGCGAAACCCACCUCGAAUUCUAUCAUUCGAAGGUAUUGGAAUAUUCGAAUCCUCUGAGGAAUUCUUUGACUAUCUAUGAGAUGAUUAUAAAUAUGAGACCUAUAUUUAUUAGCAAGAAUAGUGGCCAAAGGAAUGGGUAACGGUCUCCUCAUGAUGAGGAGAUGCCUACUUAUAGAUACGACCGCGGAAGCUAAAUACCGCGCUGAUGCGGGAUAAAGGAAUGAUGGAUAUGCACAAAGCAUGGUUGACUUAAGGAACUCUUUAGAAGACCUAUCUUUAAGAUGUAAGAUUUUGUACUGACUCAUCUGAGUCAUUAAUAGGGAUGAGGUGGGUUCGUGGGGAACCAGCCUGCAUCCAGAGUUACCACGUGCAAUGAAUAUAAAAUUCCAAAUAAUAUCGAUGUUGUACAAUAAUGAUGUCAUCAUAGCAUUUAUUUUACUCAUAUAUCUGUAGGAUUUGCCCUUCUAGGGAUAACAAAAGUUUACCGCCACUACAAGGCACAGCGGGACCCCCCUGAUCGAUACUAAAUAUGUUACCACACUUCAUUUUUAGAUUUAAGAAUAGUUUAUCCAUACAAUCUUCAAAGUGAUUAUAAUCAUAACCGCCAAAAGGUAUAUCCUCACUUUUCCAUCUAUAAUUAGUGGGUAAUGAUACAAUUACCUCAUUCACAUACCUGGUAUAAUUCCAUUCUGGAAAGCAUUUAGUAAAAAUAUUAUCGAGAUGUAUUAAAUAAAAAUUCAGAAGGACUUCGGACAGAUAACCUGAGGGUGGUAUACUCAUAGCCCCAUCAUACACCCCAUCUUCAUCUAUGAUAUCUAAAUAGAGGAAAUUAGAUAAUAAAUCUAGUAUCUUAUCAUCCUUAAUCAUUUUAGAAAGUUUAAACAAAAGUUUCGGGCGAUUUAUUAUUGAUAGCGUACUAAAUAAAUCAGAUAUAUAAACCCUAUCUAUAUUCCUGCUUGUAGCAACAUAAUCAUAAUAUUCUAACAAACUCGUUUUAAAUCCAAAAGAUAUAUUCUCCUUUAACAUAUUAUUCUCAAUAAUAUUAUUGUUUAUCAUCAAACCUAGAGCAAUUAAGACAAGGGUGUCUCCACCAGCUUUAGGUGAGAAUUCUAUAUAUUGAUUAGAAUUAAUACGUAUGAGGCGGCUAUUAUUAAAUUUAUUAUUGCUUAUCUGAAGGAUUUCAGAUAAGGGAUUGACUUAACCAGAAUAGGUGACAAUGUGUAUGUGCAAUUCAAUAUACAUUGUAUAAUAUAUUUCACUUCAAAUUCAGUUAAGUUUGGAAACAGAAUUUUAUUGUGGUAGUAAUAACUUUCAAUUAUUUCAGCAAGUCUUGGUAAACAACAAUACGUAGGUUCAUAUACAGUAACAAGUUUUUUCAUGGUGUUAUUAUUCUAUUUUUGAAUGGUGUUAUUAUUUUUCAAUUUUUUAUUCCUCGUUUUUUUAGAAGUCCUCUUCUGUGUGUAGAACAUUGUGAACAUGGUCCUCAAGGACUUCAUGGUUCCCAAUGGGAUCACCCGAGAUAUAUUCUUACGAAUUUUCAUCGGUUUUAACAGAAGCACCUAAUAAGUAAUAAGGUGGGAAGUAUCCUUGCUAUUAUACUUCCUAUAGUUAUUCAAAUAGAAUCAUCUAUUUGAUUGAUUCUCCUUUUAUAUCUAUAUAUAAGAUCGAUAAGGAGGGGAGGAGAAUCUGUGCCCCUGGGCUCUCUCUGGGUUUCUUGAUUUUUAUAAUAGGAACCCUAAAUCACUAAGAUAAGGAGGAGAUUUCUGAAAGCUCGAAGAAUGAUUUUACGUAGGGUGACUACAAUUCUGAUUUCUUAGUUACAGAAAGCCCUUCUCAAGGAAGUAAGCCAAGAGCCACUCAUCUGAGCCAGCUGAUUCUAAUUCUGCUGCGCCGGUGCGCAAAGCAAGCACGCUUAGACUGCGAUGCGCAAUAUUUGGUCUGCCUAUCAUUGUCCAUUAAGGGUAAGGGCUGACUCCGCUAGGCAAGAGGACCACUACUGGGAUUAUUCAACUACUAACUGAUGACCAGGGGACUACUCUUCUUCCUCCACUACUGAUAUUGACUGAUCCGUUGAUAGGAUAGCGGAGGCAGUUGAGAGUAUAUCCGGAGAAAGAUAAAGAACCUAUGCAGCCGUAGGGAACACAAAGAGCUCGUUCAGUUUCGUGUUUGGCGAAACCCAUUAAUUAAACAAAGGGCCUGUCUUAAGCAUAUUGAUUCGAUUUCGACAUCGAAUUAGACUCAUCCAACGCGGAAUCGACUCAAGGAGAAAGAAUGGUGUCUUUGGUCUUCUAUGGAAGCGAAGUAGGUUACUCUAUGUGAAUGUGAAUUCACGAUGUCGGACUGGAUAAACUAUCUCAAAAGUAAACCCCAAUUGAAAGGGGGGUGAUUAGUACACCAAAGGUAGUAACUAUAAGGUAGAAGUUUGGGUUGAUUCGAUUCCCCCGCUUGCCAAGUCUUCUUCAAAUCCUGCUUCCUCUCUGUCAAAAUCUUUCUCUUCCAUCUUUUUGGUAGAAUCUGAUUGUUCCAGUGGUAUUAGAAUGAUAGGCGAGCUCAGUAUUGAAAGAGGAGAAUUCAAAGAAAAGAGGAAUCCGUGUUCUAAGUCCUGAUCACAGAUAUGACGGUGACCUUAAGUUUAGGCAAGGGAGCCAGAGAGUAUCCAACCGAUCCGCUGCCUUAGAACCUGGGGUCUGGAGAACUACUAGCCUUGAUUCCUUGUGCUUUGCUUCCCUCCUCCAUUGGCCGAUCGCCUUCUGAAAUCGCAAAGACAGGUAUACGAGUACGAGUCUUCCUUUGAAAGAAGUGUGCUUUUCGCGGAGCUAAAUUGAAUCGAUACCACAACACAAAUCCAAUAAGUAAGUGAGGAACUCUUUCUUUUUGGAGAGCUAGGUUUGAAUUAAAGACGCUUCCCGAAGCUAGGGAUAUCUUCAGCUUCACUUCGUCCACCCUGCACUUUGAAACUGAGCUGAGCGUCUGAAAGUUCCAUUCAAGUUCAUAGAAGAUAUCCAUAUCUUCUUACGUUCUGCUGCUCUUCACUAUUUCCCCGUCUCUCACUAUCAGGAUCAGUCGUCCCUAGCCCGCUCUCUGUGCUCGCGGACAGUCUUACUAUUACGCUCGUAUCUUACUCGUUUUCAAGUAUGUAACUCGUUUAUUCCGCAUGUAGCCCACGAAAAAUUGCGUCUUUUCAAAGAUCUCGGCAGUUUAGAAUGAUUCAUUCCAUCAAGAAUAGCUUAGUGAACCUUUCGAGCCAAGCACCUUUCCAAUAUCUAUGGUUAUGCUCGGGGGUCAGUUUCCUUUUUGCUGCUACUACUACUACAUCAGUCAAAUAGUUUGAAUGCCUAAUUAGAUGCGGUUUAGGCCAUUGGAUGGCAUUUCCAAGUGACAUGCUUCUUCCAAGUGAGAUGGCUUUCGAGAGGUCUAACUAAGGUACAAGGUACUCGACUCACUUUUCUUGUGCAGGUAUAGGAAGAUUCCUUAUUCCCUCCUUCUACGUAGCUUUUAUCUGGAAAAACAAAAAAGAAAAGCCCCUUCCCCUUAGUGGGUUCAUGUGCGGAUAGCUCUUUGCCGGUCUUUUUUUCUUUUCAAAAAAAAGGGGAAGCAACGCGGGCAGGCAGAACCUUUCUUCCCAUCAGGGAACUUCAAACAUAUUGAAAAAAGUCCCACUCAGAAUGAGAUAAUACAAGAACAUGGACAUCCUUAAGUGAAAGUUAAGGCAAGGGGGGGGCUGCUAGAGUACAGUAUUCUGUAGCGGACAUGGCCUAGCUUUCCUUUCCGUCUAUGGCUAAGGCUAUGAUCCCGUCAAGCCGAAUGUAUGUCAUGGAAAAGUCUACCUCGAGUUUACCGGUGGCUUUCUCACUCACUCCGGACAUCCGGAAAGCCUGAAACCAGAGGGCUAUAAUGCUUUUCUCCUUUAGAUGCUGUCUUAAUACUCUUCAUAUUAUAUGUGUGCAAUACAUAUAAUUAUACCUUUAUCUUUAGAAAUAAAAAUGAUAUUCCUUCAUUUUUUGCAGCCACUCUAUAGACAAGAAAAAGAUCAACAUAGAAUAGGAUCUAUCUAAAUAGGGAAUCUAAGGGCGCUAACGAAGGAUAGAUUGGGCUUGCUGCUAGGGGAGACCUACCUAUCGGCUUGAUUAGCUGCCCGGAGAUCUCUUCCUUCCUGCUUGCUUAUGCUCAAAAACGGAUUAUGCCUUUUGGUCAAGCUGAUCGGGGAGGAGGUGGAGUUCGUACUAUAUUCUAGCCUUUCUCCCUUUUUUAUAAAAAAAAUGUUAUAUUUCCUCCUCUUUUUCAUUCUUUUUUUUUAAUAGUUCCGCCGUGUGAAGGUGAAUUAAGAUCCCAUUCCCAUGGCCAAUUUCGUUUUUUAUUUAUAUAAAGAGUAAAGAGUGCAGAUCUUCCACUUUUUUCGACAGCCAUAAUCUAAAUUAAAUAGAGAUGUUCGGAUAACUUAUAAUGAUCAGAUCAUCAACAUAAACCAAAAAGUGCAAUAGUAACGAUGUAAGACUCCUCCUUCUUAGCUCUUAGCUUUUCGCUUUGAAGAGGACCGAAAAAGUGGAGAUUCUUUAAAAAAAAAAGGGAAUUUCAAAGUCAAGGCUAGUGAAAGGAAAGGUUAUUCAAUUCAAUAUAAAUCUUCAAUAAAGUAAAAAGAAUAGUCACUGCUUAGGUUCAGGCACUUUCACCAGUACUUUUUCCAGCAGAAGGAAUUGGAGUAGCAGUUGCAGAUCGAUACGCAGUCCAUCUUCAAGAGAUGAGCUAUUACGCCAAAGGUUUCUUUUAUUUCAAGGUUAAGUAGCCAAGUCAGAAGAGGGCUCACCAACCACCAGGAAAGAGGUCUUUAUGGGGAGCGUCUGGUGCUCCAUUAUAAAAAAAAUCACGGCAGCAUUUAGGACGGUCUCUUCUACCGGCUAGCUUCUUUCAAGGCAAGGGGAGCUCAUCUAUUCAUUUCCCUCUUACGAGCCUAUGCUCAGGAUGUUCUUCGAUCCCAGCAAGUUCUUCGCUCGUGGGCUACCCUCUUAGCCCGUUCUAAGCUUAGAUCAAUACCUAAUGAUACAGGUUCCAUCAAUUUAAUUUCCUCGGCCCUGAGCUUUUUGAGAUCAAGAAAACAAGCCUUUUGGUGCUAAAAUAACUCCCCUUGGGUAAGGAAGUUUUGGUAAGGACGUCAAGAAUAUACGUCCGAGGGUUAAUAAAAAAAAUUAAGUGAUCGGAGGAGGAGUCCUCCCUCGCCUUUACUUCAAACUCCUAAAGCCUUCGAGCAGAACUCAAAGCGAUCAUAGCGCGGAUCCACUUACCUACAUAGCCAUUCUUGCGGAUCCGGGCGUGGUUGUUUCGCAAAAUUUCGCUUUCAGUUCGUAGAGUGGAUCAAACAUGUGUUCCGCUUGAUUCGUUGGUGCAGUCACUUCGUCAUCUUAUGAUUUGAAACUUGAUUCCGCCUACACAAACAACGUAGUUGUUGCUUGGUGAUUUUCGUUUGCUUUGUGUGCUCCUUCGGUUUUCUAGUAGCAAGAUCUGGCUUUUGGUUUGAAGAUUGAAUCAGUGGUCAGCCUGUGCUUGAACGACGGCAUUCCAAGAAGCAACUUCCUAUGUUAUGGGAUAGUCCCCUAUUGAUGGGCUUGAUAUUGGUUCAAAUACCAUUCGUGAGGUAACUCUGCCUCUUCACUAGAGUCGAGUUAAAGAUAGCAUAGCCUUUGAUCAAUAGGAAGAUUGAGACUAGAAGUCUAGUCUCUCUCAGGUCCAGUUUCGAUCUCGAACUAACUUACUUUACUUAAUAGGCCGGAAGAGAGAGAGAUCAACGACGGAGCUACUAGCUACUAGUUGGAAAGGACGAGACCACCUUUCGUACAUUUCUACUGGUCAAGACAUUCGAAUAGCGAACGAAAGACCAGGAGAUUGGAUCUAGAAAGCACUUCCAGCAGGGUUGACGGCUGUGUGGCCCUCAUUCAGCUGGAAGUAGGAAAUCAAUCCCGGCACGACCGAUGACUUAGUCUCCUUCUCCGCUUCGACUCAACCACCUAACCUCUUAGAAAAGACCCGAUAGAUAGCAGCUACCUAAGGCGCUUUUAAGCCCUUCACCAAUCACGGUCUUUCAUCUAGUAAGUCCGAGUACUAUGUUCUCCAAGCUUGACUAAUAGAAUAGGCAGGCCUUUUAGAGAGCAGUAGAAUUAAGGGUUAGCUCUGCCUUCUUUCCAGCAUAAACCGCGAAUUUACCAUCUGUUAUGGCCUCGUAACUAUUAGACUUGAAAGAAACGAGAAAGAUCAUAAAAGUUUUCAAAAAAAGAACAAAGACAAGGAUUUACCUAUAGGAGAAUCCUGUCUACAAUCAUCGACUACUCGAAAGUCAACUCAUCUCGGAGCAUGGAAAGAAAGAGAAAGCCAAGGAAUCGAAUUACUUUUUUCUGACAAAGAGAAGGCUGAAUAUGGACAUUCAAUUGGAUCUUUAGGCUUUGCUUUCAAGACUCCCGCGUGAGAUACUCCAGCUUUCAAGAAAUUAAGGGAUGUAAGUGAUUAGCUUAGGACUCCAACAGGUCAAACCCCCAGAAAGGGCAAAGCAACUGCAAUUAGAUCAACUGAAACUUACAGGGCAGCGGGAAAGCUACUCCAAGUAAACUGACUAGCCUACGCUAAAGAACCUCUUCGCUUUGCUUUGUUCGAGUCACUUUGUCCCUCUAAACAAGGGAAUUUGAAAGCUUUCGUGUGAAGAGUAAAGGUCAAGCUAGAAAGCCAGGUUCUUUCACCAAUCCAUCGAGUGUAAUUCCUGCUAUUGGGAGUUCUGCAUUAAAGUAGAAGCUAGCAAAGCAAGCCAGGGAAGCUAAUUGCGACAGUUAAGCUCUUUCAAGUUUGUAAUCUUUUGAAACCUGUUACAGAUCCUGUUAGCAAGCCAUUUUCUUUUUAGCCAGUUUCAGGCCAGGCCAUUGCUUCUGGAUAAGCCAUGGAAGACUCUGGAGUUUCAGUGUCCGUAACAGUUUUUCCUCCUGCCAUGGGGAGUUCCCCACCAGUCCCUCAUCUAGUAGACUUCGUAUCCGUCCCCUGUCCUAAAGUCCUAAGGUCUUCACCUGUUCUUUGCCAAAAAGUUAGUUUAAGUUCUAAGCCCAUCUUUAGUUGGAGUUCUCCUGCAGCCCUUGGGAAUGACCUUAAUCGAGAGGGAAUUUACUUUGGUUGUCGGUCCAGUUCCAGUAUAAAUAUUCCAGUCUAAAUAAAUAGGGGCAGCCUUCUAGGAUGAUGACCAAGAAGCCGUCUUUCUAGUAUGAUCGCAGAGCUAGAGUCGGCUCACCAAUUCAUUUCUGGGGAAGGGGCCUUGUGCCUCCCUACAUGCAUAAUCUAUCCCGAGCUAGGUCUCACGUGCCGGGACCUCCUUAUGAAGCAUGCUUAUCAGAGAGGUCGAGGGAGCAUUUCGAGGCAAGUUUCCGGCCAGCCGAUGAGAGUUUGCUUAGGAAAACAGGUAAGAGAUUGAAAGGCGUAUUUCAAGCAAACCUGUUAGCGAUGUACUUCUAAUUAGAUCAGUUAAGCCAUCCGUAAAGGUCAAGCCCUGUCACUCGACUUGGGAGAAUCAUUCUUUUUCUCAAAUCUUCUUAUUCUCCUGGCCAGUUCCUCUCCGCGAACUAUUAGAUCUAUCUUAGCUUUUUUAUGAGAAUACUAUAGAGUUACGAAGUAACGUAAGAGCGAUUAAGCGUAAGAGCGUAGUUUACGUAGCGUAAGACCUUUUUCUUUGAAAAAGCGAUAGCUAGAGCGAGCGGAAUACUUGAAGCGAGUAUAUAAAGAACUAGAGUAGAAAAAGCGACUAGUUGGAGAGAGGGGAAGAGCUUCACUCAAUCCCUGCCUUUGCAUCUUUCUUCUCUGAGCCCGGUAUCAAAAUGCUUGACUAUCUCCCCGAAUGAGACAGAUUUCCUCUCUCUGCUCUGGAAUCAGGAAGGAGAAUGUCACUAUGGGAAAAUAGAAUGAGCAUGCGUCGGCCUAUGCUCAGGGUCACUCUUUUCAUAUCUCACGCCCGUUGGCCACUAAAGCGAAGUGAUCAGACGCCCGUUGGCCACUAAAGCGUAGUGAUCAGAAUAUUAAUCCAACAGCAAAUAUCAUCUCAUCUCACGCCCGUUGGCCUGAUGUUCGAAAAGAGCGGAUUUGUUCAAGCAAGCUAAUCAAAUUUCCCUUUCUAGGGUAGGGUUACGGUACGAUGUCAUUACUCUCUUUUGCUCUCUCACCCCUUGAAGAAGAGCGAACAGCUGAUCUUUCCUGGUCCUUUCGAACCAGUCUUUCUAAACCUGGAAAAAUACUUUGGCUACGAUUCGAUCUCGAAAGCCCAGACUUCAUAAAAGGCGACUGCCUCUUCCACUGCUACAUGAACCAUCCGCUUCUUUUCCGAUGCUGCUUCAAAUAAGUGAAUAGAUCUUUGUGAUUCGGUUCCUUUUCCUUGGUGUGGAAAGAUCUCUGCCAUAAAACAAAAACAGAGAGCUCGUAGGCCUUGACCUUAUUCUAUAGUAUAGAACAGAGGGAGGCAUUCUGGGCCGACUACUACGACUACAUGCGCAUCUAGUGCAGUGGCUUGGAAUAAAAACCUUGACCAUCUUCCGAAGUUAUAAAUAAUCUACUGAUCAAAGGCUGUAGGGGCGGACUGCUCUACAUUCAGCCACGCCACAGUGACCCCCGAAGCGAUCUUCUUCUAGUUGCGGGGCGAAAUCCGGCAUCCAAUUACUGGCUCUGAAUAACCGGCCCAGCAAUAAGUUAAGUUAAAUUCUUCCAUAACAUAACGGGGCGGGGUUGCGCGCGAGCCGAGUGACGUAGGUGCACAAGAGUACUUCGCGCCACAACCAUCUCUUUUUUAUAGGUUCUACGGACCGAUGCCUGCUGCUUCAUCUGGGAGAAAAGAAUCAUAGAUAUGCCGGUCAUUAGAAGGAAGAAUCGCCAUAAAAAGAUUCCUCGUGUAUCAUCUGUAGCAAAACUAUGAACGGGAGCUAGCAAUCCGGACCGUAUUGAAAAGGUUCCUGAGACACAGCAUGGAAGAGUCACAAUAUUAAGAAACGAGGUCCAAGAAUGAAGAAGGGGUAGAAUUACUGAAUGAAUACGAGCUGUGGCUAAUACCCGAGGCAUAAAAGAAGCAUUUUCUACGGGAUCCCGAAACCACCAGCCACCCCGACCUAAUUCAUGAUAAGCCCACCAACUUCCUGGCAAGAUGCCUACGGUUAAAAACCACCAACAUGUCAAGAUCCAAAUUCGAAUUGGUUCCUGGUCCUGGUCAGAGACCACUGUGUUCGCGCCGGCGGUCCAACAAAGAGGCGAAGUAGUGGUAUCUUUCUUUCCAUUACGAACGACACGCUUCGCCUGCGCCCUCCCCGUGUUCACUAGCGCUCCUGUGCAGAGCGAAGAGAAGGCGAAAAAGCGCCGCCGAAGCAGCAUGAGCGGGCUUCUAUUGCUACGUAACAAUAGAGCAGGAUAGCAUUUAGCGCCCACAUGUUUGGUAAGAAGCUCGCUUGUUAUACGGGAUCCGACGCAUCCAGCAGAGCGAAGCAGCGUUCCAUUCUUUUCGGCGGCAUCCUUUCGCAUUGGCGGCGAGUGGAGUGCCACAAUCCCAUUCAUCAUUUUGGAUCUACAUAAGCCAAAGCCCAUAGCACUGGCGACGUCUCCGGCAUAAAUGCAAGGAGGAUGUAUAGCUGAUAUAGGAUCUUGUGGAACAGGAUUUGAUUCUGCAAGCGGUUCGGUACGAACGAAGAAAUUUCGAACAAAAGGAUCGGAACUCGCUGAUAGGAAAGGAGAGAAAAACAAAGCAAUGCCAAGAGCUCCGUCAAUCCGCUGUUCAUCGAUAGACGAAGCUCUCUCUUUAUCAUCUCGUGCCAGAUGCAACAAAGGAUGAGUUCUUUUUCCUUCUCGCGAACCACGGGAGCGCCUAGCGCCCAGAGGACUAUGGAUUUUCCUUUCAGGGUAAAGCGGCGCAUAAAAAAGGGUUGGUCCGUCAAAAGCAAAAGUCCGGCUCCUUCGCGAACGAAGUUCAGAAUCAACAAGGGUUCGUAGAACGAAGGGAGUGUACAACUGGAAAAACCCACUUUUUUGUUCGUAACGAGGGAGAGAUAGAAUGGAGUUCUUCACGAAGUUCGAGACAAAAAAAAAAAAAAAAGUUUCUCUAUGGCCUCCUCGUUUUGAGACAUUAUGGCUUUGGGGUCGACCCCGGUAACAAAGAAGGAAUCCAUAAAAAUUGGGGAUCCGACACCAUGAUAAAAUACUACCCUCAUGAUUAGACCAUGUCCCUGAGAUUUGAUAAAAGAAAGGUGCAUUAGCGGUUAAUACGUUGUAAUUGGAUAAGUUAUUAGGAAUAUGACGGAACGAAAGACCAAGGAAAGAAAGAAGAAUGCACCAAAAUGCAGGUGCUGCACCAAACGCUGGUGGUUGUUUCUUGUUGUAAGUGAAUGCAAGGAAAAGACCCGGAAAUAACGAAUAAUGAAACAAUUCAUAUAUUGACAUUUCGUGCUCAUUUCCAAAUUUCUGCUUUUUUAUUCCCAUCAUCCGGUAACCACAGGAUGAUCCACAAGAAAGGUGGCAGGAUUCGAACCUAUGGCCGGCCCGACCCUGACCUGCUGAGUUGGGUGGCCGGGUUAGCACCCCUCGUCGCCUCUGUACCCGAAACAGAUGCGCUGCGCUACCCAGCGCUACACCUUGUCUCCCCUACCCCUCUUCUGGUUAUGCCAUUACCAAUCCGGGUAACCCCCGGACCGGCCGCCCCAGACCUAAUAAGAACGAUUAUCCUUAUGACCAAACAAGGACCAGCUUACUUACUUCUCGAGCGAUAGUUCCACGAUCCCGACCAGCAACUUGUUGUGAGUAGGGGCAUCCAAGCUUGCCCAACCUAGUAAAGGGGCUUGGAGAUAGAGGGGAUGAAAUCUAACCUUUGCAUCGAUGUUUAGCAGGGCGGGUCGCUUGAGUGUCAAAACCAAGCGGUGGUUGUUUGUUUUUCCUUGGCUUAUCGAACCAGCGUAUGCCUAUUCCUCCUUUGAUGACUCCCAGUAGAGAAAGCCUAAAUUUGCCGAUGUGGAUUGAAAGGAAGUUGUGGAUGAACAUAGAUCCUUCCACCUAUCCGGAGUGUUGGAAAGAAAGCAAUGGUUUUUGUAUUUAUUAUUUCCCGAUCACUGGAAGCAAUCUUCAUUAGCACAAGGAUCCCCUCACAGCAACCUCCACUACAAUAGAACCCGACAAUGAGUUUACGAAGGCUUCGAGUAGUGCGAGAUAGGCUAAUCACCAGACUGCUCUGGAAUAGGUUAAUCGCCGGAGACAAGAACGAGUUAAUCUAGUUUCGAGAACAUGCCUUACUAUACUAUAGGGCGUAGAGUUUCUAAGUGAAGGCAAGCGCAACUAUAAUUAUCUAUUUCAUAUCCUCCCUGUCAGCGGGGCAGGUCCGCUAUAAAGCCUACCGGCCAGAAAGUCCUCAAGAACGGGAAAGCCGAUCAAAAGACUAUUCCAUAACCGACUCUUGUUGCCGAAUCGAGGGGGCUUGGCUUGUACCAGGCUCUAAAAGAGUUUUCUUCGAGCGAGCAGUCUUUCUAUCCUUUUUUUGGGGUUGCAUGCCUAAGGCAAUGUUUUUCGUUUUUGUAGAUUGAGAUGGAUUGAUCUUCGCUAUCGUGCCUCUUCCUUGUACCAGUGGAUGCUGCGGCAGUGCCUAAUAUGAGUUUGCUCCUGCCUCCUGCCCCAGACAGCUUCGAGUUUCCCAUCGAUCGAUUACAGAGGUUUCCACCACUGAACUUGCUUAUGCUCCCCUUUGAUCGAGUGCUAUUUCUAUAAAUAUAAAAAAGAUUGAGUAGGAAAAACUGGAAUUGGCUUUAAUCGAGAUUGCCUCGGUUUCUUAGGCACAUGAGGAAGCGGAAGCGGUCUAACAUCUUUUCAAUCGAAAUCCCAAUCAAAGACAAGUUCUACCAAGGCCAGGAUCUGAAAGAGAAGAUUCACUUUACGGAAUUCCAAGUGACAUGAUUCCUUCAGAAGCUAAAGUGGAAUGAUCGAAGUCUCCUUCAGGUUCAGUCGAAGAGAUCGAACGAAGCCUUUUUUUACCAUGAACCUGCCACCUCAACUCUUGCAAUGGAGAAUGAGGACUUUCCAUUUAUCUGAUUCUUCCCAGCGGGAAAACAUAGCUCCCUCGGGAUUUCGAUCUCCAUGCCCUGUAGGGAAAGGCUUAACUAUGACUCAUGUAGGUUAAGAGGCUAUCCCUACAAAAAGAAAAUGUCUAUCUCUUCAUCCGUUCAGAACGUCGACCUCGCUCCGAGCAAGCAUCGAAGGAAUUCCGGGUAGGACUCAAGGAAUUGAACCCAGAUAGGAUAGAUACAGCCUGUUACCUUCCGAUCCAAUUACCGAAGGGUAACUAGGCCGAGUAAGAAGACACUUUGGGAUGAUUUGCAUUUGCCGCUGGCCGAGUUAGUCACGAAGUUGAGAUCCACCUAUUUAUUAUAUAGGGUAGGGUGACCCGCCUGGAUAGCACUGUUGAUCCCGACCUCAGAUAAUAUUGGUGACGACUUGGCGGCUCUUUCUCCCGAAUCUGAUUGAUAUCGAAUCAACUAUCGAAAAUGAACUAAACUAUAAGCAUAGGCGGGCACCUGACCUGCCAAACGUAUUGUAUUAUUCUCCCUGCCAAGUUUACUACCCGCUAACGGAUCCGAUAAGAGACUCCAAUAGCUAGAGUACUCUUCGCUACCGGUACCGGAAAAUAAGGCAGGAAGGGCUUUCAUUCAUAACGAGUAAGUGCCCCGGCAGUCUCUCAUUCAGACAUUGGAAAAAACACUUUCUUCUAAGAUGGUGACGGCGCAAGCAAAUACAUUCUCCGUGCCUUUAACCCUACGCAGAAGAUACUUAUGGUCACUGCUAACCCUGGUAAGGAUGUAUUGUAUCAUGAGAAGGUAACUGUGCCAAGUAUGGGCUCACGCUCUUCGCGGUCCUCGAUAGGAAGGGAAAAAUCCCCAAAUUGCCACAGACAAUGCGUCAUUGGAGAGGAUGAAAUGGUUUAGGCUCGCGAUAGGGAGCUCCCGGACGCAUACGCAUAAAGGCAUCCAUAUCGGCUUGCGCUCUUCUCUUACUUGAAGCGGCAUGACAGAGUCACUUAGCUCGACGUUAGGAGAGUCAAGGAGGAAAGGAAAGGAUUUCGGGCUCAGUGAAUGCCUCUAUAACGUUGUCAUGAAUUAUACCUGAAUGUGUAUACACGGAAACCCGAGGUCUCUCAUGGGGCAUUCAAGCGCCUCUUUAAGCAUACUGGCAAACUCUGGUGAGCAGCAAUUGAACUGAACGUUCCAAGUGCAUCCAGCAGGAAUCGAACCUACGAAUUUGCCUCUUUAUUAGGUUGGUAUAGGUUGGGCGCUUUAACCAUUCAGCCAUGGAUGCAAAGAGACUCAGCGAGUGAACUAGGUUUUGGUAUUCCUUCUCGAGCUUCGAUUUCUUCCGUUAAAGGAGAUUCGAGAAAAGAUGGAAUAGGAAGACGUGUUUCCAGAACAAAGAAGAUACGGGUUGAAAAGGGGGAGUUAGCAAAGUUAGACAAGAUUGGAAUGAGCAUAGGAACGUGUAUUGAUGUACCAGAUCGGCUAAUGCUCCCAGGUUGAUGCGAUGUAUUCCACCAGUUGACUGAAGACUUGAUUAUUGGUAUAUCGAUCGGUCCAGCACGAAUUGAAAUAGAAGCCGGUUCGACAGGAAGCUUUUGAAAACGCAGUGCACCCAGGUAAAUAAGGAACGAGAUGAAUACAGAGGUUAAACGAGCAUCCCACACCCAAAAGGUGCCCCACAUAGGUCUUCCCCGAAACCCCCCAGUAACUAAGGUAAACAACGUAAAAAAAGCACCCAUUUCUAUACCGGUUCCGGAAGAGCGAAGAAAAAGGGGAUGCUUUGUUAAUAGGAACAAGAAAGUGUUUAUAGCCGUAGCGAUAUAAACAAGAAUACUCAUCCGAGCCGCAGGAACAUGUACAUACAGAAUACGAGAAUUUCCACCUUGUUGAAAAUCUAGUGGUGCUACCCGAAGACUUAAAUGAAUAGCCAUCGCUGUUAAGAACAACCAAGAUCCAAUGAUAAUUUGCGCAUAGCUUCUGGUCUUUGACAUCAAAAAAGAAGGUUGUAAUAACGAAACUGACAUGUGAGAAUUUGGUCCUAGCUAGUGGAACAAGAAAGACAUGGAUCUAUAUUCAAUACGCAAUCAAAGGAUUUCCCCCAACGAAGAAUUCCCCCUGCUUUGCUUUGUUUUCGCUCCGCUCGUGCGUGGCACUCCUUGCUCGCGGAGCGGCAUACCGAAAAAAGAAAGGUUUUGGAAGAAAAAAAAGUAAAUUGCCCAAUGUUUCUAUUAAGUCAAUUAAAUUCCAUCCAGCUCGAGUUCCUUAUUAUAUAACGCUUCCAUCAGUCUCUGAUAAGGAAGGCUACGGUGCGUCCCAUGGUUCUCCAUUAUAUUCAUGUGUUUAGUGUAAGUUUGUAAUGAUAAUGCCUUACCAUUAGGGUAGAAGAGGAUGCCCCUUAUCUGGUGCCUUUUAUACAUGAGGGAAUCCUCGGAAAACCUGUCCGAACGAAGUGCUUUCUCUAUCUUUAGUUCCAUCAGGAAUUGGGUUUCCAAAAUGGACUCGCGAACUUCGUCAGACAAAGAACGUCCUAGACUGUUAAUACCAAGACGAUCGUUGAGUUCUUGGCGCCUCUGUCCGCCCUCCAGUAACGGGUGAUAAACCUCCGCAAUAGGCGCUGCGGGUUCACCAGGAUUGGGAGAGGUCGGGUCCGGUUGGUUUACGCUGGUCUCGGAAUUACCAGUGGAACUGCUUCCAAAUAAAUCGGUCCACCUGAAGCCCCUUCCUCCAGCGCCCUCACCUGAUCCUGAGCCAGAGGCCCCCGAAGGAGCCAUCAUGUUACACGAAAUGUUACACGAUUCUGAAAUGAAUAAUUUCAGAGACCAUGCAACGGCCAAGGCUAGCCCACCUGAGAAGCCCAUCUUGAUCAAUAAAGACGAGAUGGUGCGGCUUCCCGCGGCUAUGAAUGCCUUAGAAAGGAAAAACGGAAAUAGUUCCAUUUUGCCAAGAAGCAUAAAGAUGGAAGAAGAUAGAGUGAUAAAGGCAACGAGGAGCAGACACGGGUAGAAUUUUCCACUAUAGAAACAACGGACCUUAUUUGUCAUAAAAUUGAGAUGAAAACAAUGAAACCUUUUUGAAAACCGCUUUUUCAUCUCUUUUUACUUACCAGUUUUUCAGUCUUUUUCGCCACAUAGGAGCUUUGGGAAUUGAACCCAAGACAGACCCUUGCCCCUUUCUCGUACUUCGUACUUUUUGCUUUUGUUCACAUACGCUUUUUUUGUGGGGCGGUGACUGAAACAUUUCCUUUAUGUUGAUAGAAACAACAAGAGAAAGGCCAGUCACUGAACACCAAGCCAAUCUCGAUGAAAGUCAAAGCAGCCUUCGGACCCUGACGUGAACGGACGCUUUGUCAUUAGAGUGUGUUAAAAAAAACGAGAAAGCUUUUUUCUUUUUUUUGUUUACUCAACCCGUAAAGACAAACAAAAAAGGGAUCCGCCUCGAAUCAAAACGUUCUUUCUUUUCUACGCUUUCUUCUCUUAUGAUAUUUCUAGUUUGAUCGAGGGUUCUCCCCAAUAUGAGAUAGGUUGCAGCUAUAGUCAGAACUCUAACUGGGCCAAUUGCGUAAUUAUGACCUGAGGUGAGGGUGCGAUGCCUAUCGAAGAAAGGUUGAAGAAGAAUAAGAAACUCCUGGCGUUUUUCUAUUAAGUAUGCUUCACCGAAUCCGUUAGGGCUGAUGCUGUGAAAGCCUUGGCGAGGAAUAAAAACCUCAAUUCUGCAUAGUGUUGCAUGGCUGAAAGAGUUCGGCGAGUGACCUUGAUAGCUAAGUCACAGAGAUCAUUGAAUUGCUGGAGCGCAGUUUACUAUGCGAGUGAAGAGAUUUAAGCGAGCUAAUAGCGAGUGGACUUUGGCAGGUGUCGGUAAUCUGUAGCGAUGGAGUACCCCAUUACCUUUCUUUUGGUUUUUUCAUCUACUCUCUUCGUGUAGGGUAAUAGCGGUACGGCAAGAUCAUUCCGGCACAGCAACAUCUGGUUUGCGGCUCUAUUCAAAGACUAAGCGAGAUCUCGAGAAGUGGUGUCUGUAGCCUGUUGAUCGGCUUUCUCCUAUCUGUUCUUCUGAACAGUUCUAGAAAAAGGGUGGGCCUAUUUCCAAUUCUUUUUGCCUGAGAGCUUGUUUGUGCGGGCUCAUGUCCGUAUUUCCGUACUUUCAUCUCAUUCCCUUCCUCUAUAUGCUCUUCUCUUUCCUUUCCUUUCUAAGCGGGGGUUGGAAGCGACUCUCGUACAUUCGCUUUCCUCUGGCAGCACGAUGCCAAUUCCGCCUCAGAGCCAGAAGAUAGUGGUGGUUCCUUACCGUUACAGAAGAGCUGAAUUGCGCGGGGACGAAGGCCCUUAGGCCAGAGUCCAUGGUAUAUGUAUCUUUUUUCUAGUUGAGGGGGGACAAGGCAGCUUACGGUGAGGAGGGAAAUACAAUACAUACACCCCAUUUCGACCUCGCCCUGUGUCAUAUCAUAAAAGUCCUUCUCGUUCCAUCCAUAUAUACUGAGUUAGCUCGGGAGAUAUGGAAAAAGCCCCCCAAAGGAAAGUCCCUUUCGCUCUAAGGAUGCCGGCCCGUAUUUUCACGGCUGAAUCUUUCUCUUCAUGGAUGCUCCGCGUGUGGUCCUUGAUGCUUUAAGCUUCCCAGGCCUUCUUCGCGUUCUUUCGGUUCCACCGGAUUUUAAGACUCCCGUAGGUUAGUUUACCGAUUUCCCGAAUCUGACUCUUUGGUUUCGUUCAUUCGCUUUAGCCCAUAAAGUCACCAAAAGGAUGUCGCUUCUGAAGAGGAGGCGGAAAUCCGUAGAAGAGAUAGCAAGGACCAGGUACAGGGCACAUCAGGCUCUGACAAGACCUCGCCUUGGAACCGCCUUAGUCUUUUUGGGGAUCAAGAUCUUUGUGACUCUGCAGAACUUCACUUUUCUUAGAGGAUCAGCACGGCACAUUAUUCGGAUUCGGAGGUUUAGGUUUCAGACUGAUGGAGAGACAUCUUUUGUUAGGAAAGCCUUCUAUCGGGGGCUCAAAGUGGUAAGUUCAGCGUUCGAGCCGAUCCCCUAAUAGAGGUGUGUGUGUUCCUAAGAACUCACGAUCUACUAUUUGCUUGGUCAAGUAGGGCCUUCUUGGUUGUGGUGGUUCGAAUCCAAUUCGUGAGAAGAGUCCAAGCGAGAGACUAUAACAGUCAAAAGGCCUUCGGUUAACUAUAUCUGCUUCUAUUUAUUAGAAAUACUAAAGGAAGGGGGAAACCCUGAUCAAGAGGAGGCUAAAGAUUAAGGGAUACCUUACGAGUACAUGGGCAAGAAGCAAGUUUGUUUGCGAGCAGAUUCUGACAAUCCAGUCUAUGAGAAGUCGAGAUCGGCUUACUCAAUUCUUAUAGCGGAGUGAGUGAUGGAGCGACCCAAAACAAACGAAGAAGGAAAUAUCACAGAAGAAAAGCUUACCUGCGGAGGGUAUCAAACUCCUGUCGAAAAAACAGCCCCUGGUGGUGCAUAUCGUGGUCCCAGAAGCGGUACGACCACCUCAUCCCUCUAGGGAAGCCCAUAGCUUAAAGCAGAACUUACAAGCUUCUCACUGACCUUCGUGGGAAAGCUAAGUGCCCCUAUUUAGUAAGGCGCCCUCUCUUUACGCGAAUUGGGUAUUCCCCCGAAUAAGUCCUCACAACAAAGGUUAGGUGCUUGAGAUCAUAACUGCUUACAGCAGCGCUCCUGGCGCGAGACUCUUUCGCCUAGAAUGAAUUCGGUAAGGAAAGGAAGGGUAGAGCCUCAUGGUCAAUUGAAUAGCACUUCCCUCAGAAUUCUUGAAUUAGAAAUAAAAGGCUUUGCCUUGGUCUUUAUUGCGCACUAGUCGGGCGGUGUGAAUGAGAAAGUGUUAAGUGAGUUUUUAUGGAAUAGAUGAUUUGCCGCAUCGUUGAAUAGCAACACCUUUCUUAUUACAGCAAACUACUAAUUAAGAUUAAGUAAGAGAGAGCUUUCGCGGCUCAGAGAAACAUAAGGCCAAGAUGGGUGAUGAAAGGAGUCUUUCUGCCUUUCUAACUACGCUCCUUUCUUCAAGCAAGAUCUAUUUGGCUACGGCUUUCUGUUGUUCUUUUCAGUACGUACAGUGAACAAGAGAUCAUCAGCUACUUUAAGAACCUUAUCCGAGUUAGAGCAAAAGAGUUUUCCAAAGCAGAGGCGCCCUCAACAAGAAUAAUCGCUUCUUAUGUGACUCGACACUCCGUAAAAACCUACCAAAAAAGGAUACGCCAAAACAAAAGGCCCGAGAAAGUCCAUCAAUAGGCAAUCACACAUCAACCCCACGAAAGAUGGCUUUUUUGGGCUUUUUUUGGAAGAAAAGAAAGAUUCUCCUGUCUUCCUCUCUUAGUGUGCCAAGCAUGAAUAGAUGGCAAGGGGGGAAAAGCAAGAGCUUGCUUACUGUGAAUCUGUCUCAUAGCCUUCAAAGCGUGGACAAGAAGGAAAGCUGUCUGUGAAUAGAAUCAAUCCCUUCUCGAAAGCCUUAGGAAGAGUGAAUAGGCACAGUACGGGGAUCGAACUCGAAGGAAGAAAGUAGCCCAUUUUCUUUCUAUCUAUUCUUCCUCCCUCACUAAAGAGCAUAGAAUAAAGGAAAGACAAUAAUAAAGUCAAGCCAGCUCUUCCUGAUCUGACAUUGCCGGGAAAGAGACAAGAGCUACUCUUCCUCCAAGAACUUCUUAUCUAGCGCCGUCUUCUUCCUUUUAUCCGGACUUAGCUCUAAUGGUUUUUUCUUUAUUAUAUCUUUUUUUUUACCCUCAGUCACUGACUCUUUCUCACAUCUCGAUCUCCAGAAGGCCUAAUGAAUCGAUCUCUCUUUCUUUUUGUCUCAUCUCGUGUUUAUGAAGGUUUUCUUUUCUUCGUGGCUCUAUCUCCUUUCCUCUUCCCAUUCAAAAGGGUCCAUUCUAACCGGCUUGGAUUCAAUAGCAGCUGAGUCAAUUGGGGAAAGAUCCGCUUGGUGCUUAAAUGGGCAUUGUUUGCCAGAUUUCAGGAGGGAAGGAGUUGUGAAAGAAAAAGCUGCUUGAGAAGCUGUUGGGAGUUAGGAGGAAUGCGCUUUUAAAUCUUAAAGAAAUGCCACUAGUAGUAAGAAAGAGGCUGGAGUGGAUGCCACAUCAUCAAACAGCUCAAUAGUAUUAGACCAAAUAUAAUACCUGAAACUCGAAGUUACAGAUUUCACAACUCGAAGUAAAGCCUCCACCCCCUUUCCAAACCGGAAGAUAGAUCGAAGAGAAGGGGGUAUAUGACUGAGCUUCACUCCUCUCCUUUAGUCGAGUGGUUUUCAACUCCAACCCUUGUUAGCCGAGUAGCUGCACUCCAACAAUGUCAAUGUUGACAAAACCCCGUGAAAAAUGUAUAAACUCAUUUUCCUUCCCAAGAGUGACAUCAAAAUCGAUACAUUUUAAGAAACCCCGUAUUUUUGAUGUAAACUCAUCAGGAGUUGGAGCUUUUGAGUUCCAUCUAGUGAAGUAGAUUCCAAGGUUGACUUCUCUGUCACUUCUUUUUGACCCUCCGGCCUUUGUUCCCCAGUUCUUAUCCGGAGCUUAAACUGAGCUCAUUAAAGUCUCACCUCGGAUCAGAUUCAAUAAAAGGAGGAGAUCGGGCAAAUUACUUUAACAAAAGCUGCAUUUCUACGUCCUUUUGAUAUGAUUCUAUUCGGAAAUUUGAGAUACAUCAUCGGUAGAACUAUUUCUAUCAUCUGUGUUCGGGAGUAUUCCUUCUUUCUCCCCUUUCUAGGGAGAUGUGGACGAAGGCUACUUGAGCUCAUUCUCACAUCUCGGGGUAAGAGGCUAGGCUAGGAAUAGGGUACAGAGGCUAGGACAGAAGAGUUCUUUUUCUUGCCGCAGGUAAAUAAAUAAGGUAUUUGUCUCAAAGCAUCUUCCUCUUUCAACGAGAGAGCGGGGUGGAAAGAGAACAACCGGUGUUCCGCCGAUCUCAAGGGUUCCUCUUCUCCAGCAGCGAAUGUAGCAGCCGACCAACGGGAAAGUAGUGAAAUAUGCUCUCAGGAGUCUUUGUUUGGGGGACAGGAGCGAAGGUUACUCGACUAAGGGGAACGAAGCUGAGACGAGACAAUCUGCUGAGACAACGUCCGAAGAUGCGAGACUGAAGGGGGGUUUCCCACUGAUUGACUAACUAAGGAAAAUGGAUUACCUGAUCGACUGAAUAAGAAUAAGGAUCCUCAACAGGAGAAAGCUCAAUACCAAGAUCAGGUUUUAUGAGAAUGGGGUAACCCCAAAAAAGUUCAAGAGAUUCGACUAUUGGUUUUGAGGAAGUGGCUUAAACCGAGGUGUUAGCGGAAAUGGCAUAUCCAGGGCACGGCGCAGAGGAGGAGUGUCAAGAAAAGAGAUCGACUAAAGCAAUCAAUCAGGAUCGAGAGCAGGCGGAUGCUCCCAGAACAGACCGAGCAUUUGCUCGUGUUGGAGCUUCUCGUUUUCCACGGUUUGUAUUUCUUGUUGAAUUCUUUCAAGUCUUCCAGCGAUAUCCAUGGCUAAAGCUCUUUCUUGCCGACUUCUAAGGCCCCGUCUCCCUUUGCCAAAUAGAGACUGAAAGAAGCUUCUAUUUAUAGGCCUUGGAGGCCCUUAACCCUUUCUUAUUAUUAGUAAGAAUUCUUGUCUUGGUAUAGCCUUUAAUCCCGACUUCUCAACAUGAAUUAUGGCAGGAAGAUCUUACACUACCGGGGACCGGCUCGGAGCAAUCAAGCUCAAAGAGCACUACUGGGCGGAGCUUCUCAAUCCAAUUCCUUCAUAAUCCAAAUCCAGUGAGAGAAAUAACAGACACAGACAAGAUGCUGACUGCUUAUCUUAUGCAAUUUGCGGGAAAAAACCGUUCUUAGAAGUCGUUUUCACCUGAUCGAUCGGAUGUCUUAGCCAGAAAGCAAGACUUUCCUCCUGCCUUCUCCUAGGGUGGGAAAGUCACUCUAAAAGCACUGGUUCCAGUUAAAGCGUAGAAUACAAGGAAAUAGGUAAACUCAACAAACAAUCAAGUCAGCCAGGUCGGGUUCGCCUUCCCCUUUUGCCUUCUUCUUAUGAUGUAGUUGUAGAGGAAGCAGCCACUACACUAGAGAUUUGAACAUAAAAGGACUUUACCUGGAAUUUCUUUAGGAUUUCUUUACCAAAGGGUAGUUCUUUUAGGCAGUGGAUGGUACAACGCAAAAAUAAGGCUUUGAGACCUAAGAACUCAAUUUCGUAAGAGACUAUGCCAGAUUGAAUGUCAAUGCUCUCAUUUCUUCCGCGAGACAAUAUCUAAAAUACAAUCUCACAUGUCGGUUAACCAAGGAUAUAUCACUUGAUUUUGCCCUCCCUCAUUGGAAUGGAUGGCUCAUAAGUCUAUGCUCCAGCAUCAGUUUAUCAUAAGCAAGACCUAUAGAAUGAGCUUAGAUUCAUCCAUACCGUUUCAACUAUUUCUUUUGAUAAAAACUUGAAUAACUCCCACACUUGAACAGGAAAACAUCUUCACUUAAAGAGCCGGGAGGGCGGCGAAGCCAGUCUUGUGGAGCACCUUCCUUCAGUUAAGGUGUGAGCUAGGUAUGUGUCUGGCGCUGGAAAGCCUUAGAGAGCUGCUUUGUCUUAAGCAUAGAGCUGGGAAGGGUCAUCUUAGGAAGCGGAUCCCUUUGCUGAGGAAGGCCAUAUCCUAAGAAGCACUGAAUUAUACCCCUUGGGGGGCCCUUGCUUCAAAAAAGAUCAUGUUGCACGCUUUGGAGCGAAGAAUUUUGUAGAUAACGAUCAUGCUCGUGCCGACCGCGCGUUAGGUGAAAAUGGACAUCACCGAAAGGAAAGACCACAAGACCGGGGCUGGCGCGAGGCAGGAAGCUACGAUGCCGCGUUACGAUCUGGUGCGACGAUUUCCGAUAACGCAUUCGAACGAUUGUCAGUGAUUUGAUUGGACUUCGUAUCUAAGGCACUUGUUCCGCUCCAAAAACCGGUGCCUUACCACUUUGACUCCAUGCGCAGUCUGAGAUAUAAAACCACCUGACCUUUCUGAGUCGCUUACUUUAGCUUCCCCUCCCACCGCCCAUGGAAAAGAAUUCCUUUAUUCUUUAGCCUUAAAAGCUUGUUGUUAUUCCUUCCCCGAGCAAACCUUCUCUGAGCCAACAGCCCGAUCCAUCUUAGUUCGAUUAGAAAGUCCACGCACAACGAGAGCGAAGUCAUGCGAACUCAGAAGCAGCAGCAGCAUUUGGUCCGUUUCCGGCCGGCCUAUAUUGCUUUCUCAUCGCGGUAUACUUGAAAUCAAUCUUUGCCUAUCCGAUGGAAAGCGAAUCGAAGUUGCUUGCGCGCUUCUUUGCAGUGCUGUUCUCUACUGCAUCUUAUCCAGGACCCGAUGCUUUGUCUCUUGUUGUUGCUUCGGCGGAUGCACUUUGUCUAGGAACCUAUUUAUCUUAUUAAGUAUCAACCGAUGGAACGGGGUCUCCCUGUGCUUCAGAUAGGGACAGAGCUCGAAACUCCCCAGCGAAUGAGGUAAAGACAGAAUGAACAGUUGGUCGGGCAACGAUUCCGGUUGAAGCGGAUCCAUCCUAUGCCUCAUCAGUCUCCGGCGCGCGUUGAGCUUUUUUCUUCCUUUCCGUCUUUAAACCCACCUCCCUAUACUGCGAAAUGAGUUUCAUAAUCAGUUGCAAAAGAACUAGAAUGAACACCAUCCGGAGCUAUGUCUGAAAGUAUAUUAAUGUAGGUACGCUUAGCGCUUGGUAGGUCAGGAGCGGGGGUUGUAGUAUAGUAGUUCCAAAUCGAACUUCUCGGUUCAUUAUAGGUUUUCCUAAUCAAAAAGCCCUGUUCUAGCAAACUAACAACUCUAGUUUAUACUGAAAGGAAAUGGGCUAGCCAAACCCGACAAUAACAGGCGAGAAUUAUUACGCGAUUGCUGUUCAAAGAAGACAGGAUUCACACCUUCCCUCAAGUAGACAGGCAAGUCUGACGUGCUAGCUCAAUGUUGUUCAUUCUUUGCUAAAGAAAUGGGGGUUUUAUCAGUACUUUUGCCAGUCAAUGGGUGGAACAUUAGGUUCCCUUUCUCGUUUUCUGGUUAGGAAAUAGCUUCCUCAGCGAUCUGCCUCAUUGCAGGAGGAAGGAACCGGAGCAACCACUGGAAGGAAGCCUAAUGGUAUGAUUUCAGAUCAUGCUUGGGGCGCUUCCGACUGUCUUAGUGCUUUUGAAGUAUCCAUUGAAAUAUCUCUUUCAGUGCCCGGUUUCCACAAAGCAUUGCCCUUCGUAGCUGCAUUAGGAGACAUUAGAUAUACUCCGGUGAUACACUAAGAGAGUCGGCUAGGUAGUACACAAUGAGGAUUCCCCGCCUGACAUCUAGGAAAGCUCCUUUCUGCUGUGCUUGCCACUACUGCCUAAUAGGGUUUUCGAGUAGAAUAAGUAGGCUUUUUCGAUUGAAGCUCUCCUCGAACCAUUUCUGAUGAUUGAGCCUUUCCUGAGUUAGUGAGAAAACUCUGCUUUAAGCCUUUCUUCAGAGUUCUAGCAAGCCCUUCUUUGACCGGGCAUUUCUGCGAGUUGAUUCUACACCCAUUCGGGGUAUUUUCUGCCACAUCUCAGUCUUUCUUUUCUAAAAACUUCCAAGUUUAUAUUGACUUAUUUUUGGGGAUUUCGCCUGGACGCCCCUAUUUUUUCAUUCUUUUUUUUUUUUUUCUUCCUUUAAUAUAUCGUCUAGUUCUAGCGCUCUUGCGCUAUCUUCAUUAUUUUUCUAGGGUUUCUCGAGCAGCUUCUCUUGCUCUUCAAUAAGAGCCAACCCUUUCUUGUUGAUCUCCUGAAGCUCUUUAUAAGCUCUUGAAAGUUUUUGGUUGGCUUCGCGAAGUCUCUGAUUCUCGGCUUCCAGUUCCAGUAGGUCCGACGAGGGGGCAGGCUCCGGCUCAGGGGCCGGAGGUCGGUUCAGAUCGAUAGCAGGUUCAGUCAUUGGAGGUCGGUUCGAAGGACCGGCUUCGCUUAUACCACCCUCCAUAGAAAUAGGCUGUUUAUCCAUCCCAGAAAUAAAAAGCAGAUCAUCUAAAAUGAAAAGAGGGGCUCCCCAAGUCAGCCCCCAGUCCCAAACCCAGCAAAUAAUAGAAAAGAGACACAUAUACAAAACCCAUCGGUUUAUCAAUGAAAAUUGAAUCCUUUUUCUUUUUCUCAAAAUCAUUCGAUUCCGUACAAAUUAGCUUCUCCUACUCCUCCUUCGCUGACCGUGGGUCAUCGUUGGUCCUCUAUUGUUACUAGUUGUAGCGCGGCAGCUCGCGAAGCUAAUCCUGAUAGAGGUGCCGCGCAAUCUGCUGCUUUUCUUCCCUAUAUGCUAUUUUCUUGCAGCACAUUCCCCGCUAGCACAACCUUCGUUUCUCCCCGGUUUCACCAGAUUCGCCGCUUUUUAUUGUGGAGGAAGGAUACCAAAAACAAACCCUCUUUUUAAUUCCAUUUUAGUUCUUUAAGCAAGCCAAACUAUGAUAAAGAAAAGACAAAGACAUGCUUCCGAGUUGGGGCAUUCAAUCUCAAUCAAUGCACCUGCUCUCUAUCUACUAGCUUACUUUAUCUCAGAAAGAAAGAAGUCGCUAUGCUAUGAUACCUUAUGAUCAUUCCAUUGAAAAAGUCUUUAUAGCGAGCAAGCCUAUCUACAAGAGGACGACUAAUAUUUCAUUGUAAAAGGGGAGAGGAAAGAUCAUAGGAAAGUAACCACCAAUGGCGAAAACUCUGCCACAUUGAAUUUCAUGAUAGAGUGUAUUACGUGUAAGCGGUUCCCUCUUCUGUCGCAACUAUCACAGGAAUCGUAAACUAACUCUUAUUAAUGCUUUAAAUAACUGCUUUUAUUCGUCAGAGUAGAUAAGUAUUAUUUAUAUUAUAUUAUUUAAGGCACGAAAUUCAUCGCUUAGAAGACCUGCGAGCCCCAUGAGUACAAUAUCACAUCUUCCUUCUCACUCUCACAGGCCAUAUCUUGACCAGAUUGAAAUUCGGCCAGCACUCUGUCCAGUAGUUCUGCUUCAGAGAGAAAUCCUUGUUCUUUCUCUUGGUAUCGGCUUUAGCUAGUGAAGUUCCGGGACUAUAGGGCGUAUCAGAGAGAGAGCCCUUUUCAACCCUCUGUUUUAUGCUGUAGGGGCAUAGGAGCCCACUUCCUACUAUCCGGCUUUCCAGCCUACUAAGGUAUAGUAUAGUAGGUGCUCCCGCGAGUAGUCUUUCAGCCCCUUCUUCUUGGUAGUAUUAUGUCCUCCACUUCUAGUUGCUAAUUCUACCUACCCUUCAAUCUCCUAAGAUUCACCGUUUACUGGCUCACUAAAAGCCUUUCCUUCACUACCAACGAGAACUAAGGCUGGACGCAAUCGAGUUCUCGGUCUUAGUAUUACCUAGCGUAAAAGAGAAUCGAAUCCCUUGAUUUAAGCGUUGGAGAGGUUUGAUGGACAAAAAUGAUUAGAAUCCUUCGUUUCUAGCGGAUCAUAAAAGGCUCUCAGGAGAGCAGAAGACAGUGGAUCGGCUACACUCUAUACAAUAAUAUCAAUAUCGCUUCCGACAGUUAGCGAUUCCGCUUCGCUAAGUUCAGUGAUGCUUAUACUACGAGUAAUUCUAAAAAGAAGAAAUGGAAGAUUUUGCACUUAAGGAACGGCAUGGAGUGGAGCGGGAUGGGAAAUUGACAGUCGAUCCUCUCUACACUGAGACCCCAUCGAGCAUGAAUUAAGAUGACGACAAGCAACGAAGAAAACGCUGUGAACAGAAGCUUUUUCGGUUCGGUUCAUUCGAGUGUUCUAUAAAUAUAUAUAUACAAUAGCCGUUUUGGUGACAUCGACAACAACAGGCAAAUCCUAAAUCUUUGAAAUGAGGGCACUUGGUUGGCUUCCUCUCAUCACGAUCUGGAGGGAGGUAAUAUGUAAUAUUUUGUCCUCAAGCUGAUUUCGAAACGGGGAUUGACAUCAAAAGUAGAUCGACGUGGAUGCGUGCAUUCUUUGGAAUCCGAUUCAAGCUCAGAUUCAAGAGGGGAUGGUUUCUUCAAUCCAUCGGUUUUGGCUAUUGCUUUUCCAAACGGUGAAUGUGAAUGAGAUCAAAAGCGGGUUUGUCAAAUCCCCCUCUUGGGGUAGAACAGAACUGUGAACAAACAUCAAUUGAUAGCCUUCGUUCAUUUCCAACAAUUGAUUGAGAGGAAAGGACUUCGAGUUCAGUCGAAGUCAUGUGAUGAAAACAAAGAAAUCCGCUUGUGACCAGCUUCUCUUGUUGUUGUUCCUAGAAAAAAGUAGAAGUCAUGUGACAAGCAGUGCUUUUUCUCCCUGGAUAGAGGCAGGGUUCAACCUCAAACCCUAGAAUCAUUUGUUCAAUGUUCUCGUCUGAAUCCCGACUGACUCAUCUACCGAAUCAACGGCAUAAUCAUCAGAACCGACUGCAGCUUCAUUGACUGAAUGAACUGGUGCUGGCUGUAGCCGUGGGAGGUGGGGGCUCUACCAAAAAGAAAAAGCAUGCAACGACACAAUCAACAGGUGAGCCCUUACCCGCACUCCAAGCAGGUGGGUAUCGACGGACACAACGACUUAAUCAACUGGAUCCACCGAAGCAAUUUCCUCUAGACAGAAUGAGGCUCUCGUUGAGAGAUCUAUUAGUGAUUGGGCCACCCCUCCUGGCAAAGAAAGAAAGGCAGGUUCAGGCGAUUAAUCAAAAAAAUCUUUCCUUCCCUUUCCUUUCUUUAUGACAGAACAAUUGAAUGAUGCGGUGCGGCUGCAGGGCCUCUAAGAUUCUGAAGAAGCUAUUCAUUAUCCGUCCCUAUUGAAGAAAAGACCUUCGGCAUGAUGGUAGUAGAGUAGUCGAUCUGAUCUCGCGCGCGGGCGGAUAGAAAUGCCUAUUAUAGAUGAGGUAGGCGAGGGUAGCUUGCCGGCAAAAGAAAAGGCGUGUAUGGUAGUCUUUUGUUUGAUGAGAACGGGAAGGGCAAUUGAUUGCAACCUUUUUCGGCCUGGGGUUGGGUGGGGUCAACUGGAGGAAGACAGCACGGGGCAAAACAAAGGGCAGAGCUUCGAGUGAGGGCUGUCGAAGAGCAAAGAAUCAAGUCACUCGAAGCUCCUCUGGCGCGCCCUAGCCGAGCGGUCCUCGCCUGCACAAGCAAGCGGAUUAGCUCCCUCAUUCUCUUAUUGUGCCGGCAGGCCUGGGCGAGCGAGGUAAGGUUAGAUUAGAGGGAGGGGGACUGCGAACGCCCGUCCCAUGAAGCGCCAGGGAACCAUGCAUUCCUCCCGUGCUGGGCUCUCGCGUGUCCGGGGUCCGAUCAGAUCAACCAGCGCCCGGUUUACGGAACAAGGAGUUAAGCAAGGGCUGAGAGAAGAACCUGGCCGAAGUCAGUGUUGUGUUCAACUCCGCGGGUUGGCUGGUUGGAAGGGAUUGCUUUCUGCCGUCUUUCUUUCCCUUCUCUCUCUUCUCUUAGCAAAGUAAAACUUUUGGCUUGCUACAAGCUGGGCUCAGGGACUGCAGUCAGCCGCUUCCCCUGUAGUCGUCAGCUCGUUCUUGACAGAUCCGAUCGGGUGUUCAUAAUCUGGAGUAAAAGGAUUCGAACCUUUGCAUGCCGGUACCAAAAACCGAUGCCUUACCACUUGGCUAUACUCCAUACGGCCUGUUUUGGACGGUAAGAACGGGGAGGUAGGCGAAGGUAGCUUGCUUCUCUUCUCCUAGGCUACCCGCACAUGUUAUUCGCGAAGAAAAGGCAGCGAGCGGUUAUUCGCUUAGUAGAGCUACCGACCGCCGGACGACGACCGCUUCUUGUUCUCGCCCAGCCGCUUCUUUUUAUUUUUUUUUCUUUUGAUUUUAUUAUUAUUUAGAAUCCUAGACUAAAGAAGAAGCUCCUGAAUCAGCGCAGGGCCAAAUCAGCAGCAGGAAAACUGUACUAACCCGCCGCCGGUGACUUUCUCAGGGCUCCGAAAAAGAAGAAAGAAGGUUCGGGUCUUCUAAUGAAGCGAAGGUCCCCCCUUACUCUCUAUUCUCUCUUAAAGCUUUAUAAAGCUCUAAGAGAAAGGGUUGGUUAAGAACUAUUGACUGUAAACCAUAGCUGUUACAGUCACUCAAUGGAAAUGUUCGCCUUUAAAAUGAAGAUGGAUGAGCAGGCACUUGAGCCUGGAACUGAUGAAAUUCGGAGGAAAGAUGGAACCGGUCACUAUACUGGGGGGAGGCGAGACAUGACCGCGACUUAAGAUUCAAGUACCGUUAAAAAGACUAAAGGAACGGGGGGAAUGGAAUGACUACCUGUAAUAAAACACAGGCUAAUACGAGCCGACCAGAAGAAGCAAGGGUCAACGUAGUUGGGAGAUCCUGGACACAAUCUUCCUAGAGAUGGAGAGCCCCUUGCCUCGCCUUUUCUAGCCUCUCCUUCUUGCUUGCUUACCUAGCUCUUGUCUUAGUGACUCUUCUUUUUAUUUUUAGGUUUUUUUCUGAGUGUUAAAACGGUAGAUUUUUCAUUUGCCAAUGAAUUGCCCCGAUUCGAUCAAUAAUGGGAUUCUUGGCUAAAAGAAAGGUUCUGUGACAUGGACGCCCAACUCGGUCGGUCGGUUGGCCCACCUAACAGAUGAUGAGAUUCUCGAUCGAUUUGAUCGAAUUUUGAAAACUCUUUCUCACUAUUCAGAACAGUGGAGCUUUCGAUCAAGAUGUUCUCGCCUCCCCCGUUCGGGCUUUCGCUCGAAUCGGAACCUUUAUGCGUUGGUAGGCUUUCGACUCAAUCUAAUAGCCUACCUAUCGAGCGCCAAUAAAAGAGAAAGUUUUCGCAUGGACUCAUCAUCUGAUGCAUAACUUAUUUCAUAACCAUAACCACCAUCCAUCACCAAUCACAUUCCACAUCCCACUUCAAACUUUUCGAUUCCUCGGGUAACCUCCUCCUCCUCUAGAAAGGCAUUCCAGCUUCAGAGGCGGGUAAGCCGGGUCAGGAAGAAGUUUGACUGCUGGGAUGGGAUCGGAUCCUAUUCGAAGCACUCCACCACGAAUACGAAUAAGAGUCCUCGGGUUGGAUAGGCAGUCGAGAUAGGAGUUCCUAUCUGUAGGGCGGGCUUUCAAGACAGAGAUGCACUACUCCAUCUGGAAAGGGCUUUCCCUCGUGGGGAAAGAGAAGAACCCCUUAUUUAAAGGUAAGGCCAGAAGGAAGUAAAAAAUCAAUAGAAAAAAUCCCUUCCCGGCCGACGGGACUCUACGUCUGGGUCUUAUUUCAUCUCAAACUCGGAUUAGGAAGAGUGCCCUUGAACUACAGAUCAAUCAUAAUAAACAAUACAAGAAAAGAAAUGGAUUCUCCCGCCGGCGAGAAAAGAAAAAAAAAAGGGGGGGGGGAUAGGGAAGAGGAGAUUAAGGAUAGUAACUCCACUCCAUAGAUAGUGAACACAGAUUCUUGUUUCAUUUUCAAUUCCUUUCGGGUCGAAAACGCGGGCUGCUGGUGGGGCUGUGCCCAUUCUCCCUCUUCUUCCGCUUUACAACCGGAAUAAGGAACCUUAGAAUUCACCCUACCUGUCGAUGAAAAAAUUGGAUUUGAGAGGACCACCUGCUAGCGGAUCAGAAAGAUUUUUAUGGAAUGUCCUACUCCUGCCUGGGCUUUCCGAUCAACUAAUCCCGGGACAUCUUUGUGUUAGGUAGGGCCAGGGAUCUCUGAUUAGUAGAAUGAGCCCAUCCCUCUGGCCUAUUGGUCGAUCCGGCUGGCGGCUCCUGCAUCUCCUGCGGGGCCCCUUCAUACAAGUUUGCUGCUAGGAGUCCCUCUAGCCGAAUCAAUAGAAGUCCCAAUAGAAGUUUACUUUACUGACCUAGCUCUUCAAUCGACGAUCUACUACUCCCUCUUAGUUGCAGAUGCCCAUGCUUUGAUUCGAAAGCCCUAGCCAGUGAUGAAUCCCCAGUAAGACCGGAGUAUUGAAUUCCUACUCCCUUCAGUCCAGUUUGAACCCGUCCCAGCUACGAACACCUUCCUACUGCAAGGCGAGGCUCUGCCCUUCCCCUAGAAUAGAAUCUACUCCCGGUCGGAGGAGGAGCUAGUCCAACUUCUUGAGCAGCCGAGAUAUUGAACAACGCACAUUUUCUUUUUUUUCCUCACCUGAGAUGAGAGGGAAGGUCGAUUUGACUCGAAUCCUGGACCGGAUCUUUCAUCCUACACCGGUUAAUGAAGCGAUGGGAGACGUUUUGCUUUUUUCAUUUUGCUAGCCCAGUCGAGGCUCGUCCAUGCCCAAUCCCAAUGGACAAACCCUCGAUCCACUCCUAGCUCUAUAAUCCACUCGUCUCCCCCAGUCCCUGAGAGCCCUCCUCUCCUGGGCCUAGCCCUCUUUCUCAACUCGAGUCUUAAGUUCAGCGGUUCGAACACCUGCGCUAAUAAGACAAAGAAGUGGGCCUUGAAUGAAUCAGUAACAAGUAACAACGGAUUAGUGGAAUGAGGGAUCAAGAGACGGAUAGGGGGGGGGGGAAUGGCCUAUCAAUCAUUGGUGGACCUUCCCUUGAACCGGUCACGAAGCUCUCAACUGAGUUGUUUAGGUUCUGGAAUUCCAUCUCUAGUUGGGGGUUUCAGUUCGAAGGUUAUAAAAUGUGGUGCGGGUUCAUCUCUCUCGACCAGUUCAGGUUCAAGGGAAGGGUGCUCGAGGGGACCCAGACUUGAAAUCUCUUCUCUAUGGCGGGAGGUUUAUUUCGUAUCAAGAGUGGGUUGGGGAGGCCAGGGAAGACGGAUUGGAUCGAGAGGCGAUGCCUAUGCCUCUUAUUUAUCGAUAGGAUUCCCAUCAUUUGCAGUCUCCGGCGAAGGGCGAGGUUAGCGCCAGCUAUACUCAACCUCCAUCCGCCAUUAGUAAUCUCAAUCCGCUUUUCCUAUUCACUAGUACACUGCGCGCUACAACUAGCAGCCCCUUUACUAGUAAGGGAAAACGCUAGCGCGCUAGCUAGCUACUUCUAGUUAGAACCCCUACUUAUGUUAUUGUUAUGGGAUAUUUGAAGAAGCCUGCUGAAAAACAGAAGCGCGCUAGCGCGCAACGGCUGAAAAGCCGAACUCAGCAACUUGUUAGGAGUAGGUUUUGGCUUGCCCCUUUCUUAUUAUUAGUAAGAUAGGUUUGGAACCCUAUACAAGGUUUUUCCUAUCUCUAAAGGGGCUUAUGCACUCUACUCGUUACCACUAAACGGCGAAGCCAGGAGCGGAAGGAGGGACUUGAACCCUCAACCUCAGCCUUGGCAAGGCUAUGCUCUACCAUUAAGCUAUUUCCGCCAGCUACAGUAGUGGCAAAGCACUACUGAGCAAUUCACGUAUCACUUGAUGCGGACGACUUCUGUUUUUCCGCCGGACCACACUCUUGACCUCCGAUCGAGCUAGGAGCACGAGUAGGUAGGCGGCUAGGGGGGGGCGGGCUGGCUGGGCUGCCUUUUCAAUCAAUCUCCGGCCGCUCAGUGCCGCUAUUGGUGCGAGUUGUAAGGAGUCUUGGUCUCGAGUCGAGCUGGGGCGUCAUUUCAUUCUCGUAACGGGAGUGAGUGUACCGCAAAACCAGACAAGUUAUUCCCUCGCCUCGCAGCGGCGGCAUCUGUCUUUUCUUUUAAGUUAAGUCAUUUCCUAAGACGGCUCCUCUUAUUCUACGAUAAUCCAAGCAGCAGCCCCACGAGUCCGCUCGGAACCAGUCGAUUCCUGAGCCUCCCCUCCCGGUUGGCGUUUGUCAGCCACUAGAGCAAGUAAGAGAACCUACAGUGAAUGAACUUAAAGAUAAAGAACCGCAUUGACCGGAUUGUACACCUUUGUGUCUGGCUAUGUAUAUGGAUGUGCAUAAAGAAGGGACGGGACAUCUCUCUCCUUUUUUUUAUUUUAUUGGGGGGGAAAGAGAGAGGGAAUAAGCUGCAGCGGCACCUCACGAACUUCUUACUGGGUUCAUCCUAUAGGCGCGAGUGUUUGGAUGCACGUGUUUUGUUCAUAUUCCUGCGCAAUUAAGAGAAGAAUUGUCCCCAAGGAAACCACUUGGGUCUUUCUUGGAUAUGCUUAGUCCGGGUAUAGAUGCUAUGACGUGAAAUCCAAGAGACUCAAUGUAUCCUUGAAUAUUCUCUUUAAUGAGGUCGCCUCAUAUUUUCCUUAACCUAAUUAAUCAGCCCCGGGGGGAAUGGUGAUGGAGAUGUAUUGCGGCCUUCCCUUCUCCUGUUCAUCAACUCGAACCUCACAUUCUUCUGCAGUUGAUGUUACGGAUCAGCCUCACUCUUCAGGCCAGCAGCCUUGCCCAGCAUCUUCUGCCGAUUGUCAGCCUGUUCAGCUGACCCCAGAGGAUUCCAGUCACCCGGCACAGCAUGUUUAUUCUCGGCGGCGAUUACACUUUGUUUCCCAGGGGAAGACUACUCCAGAAGAUCAGCAGUCUAGCCCAAUAGCUUCCCUUCCCAGUCGCUUCCUCAGAUUCUGGAUCCCUCUCUCAGGGAGAAACCUCUCUUUUUUCUUAUCCCGUUGAAGGAUUCUUGUCUUAUCUUAUUUAUGAAUUGUUUUCCCCAAAACAUCGAGCUUACCUCAUGUCAGUUCAAUCUUCUCAUGAACCUGAAUCAUUUGCUGAAGCCUUCAAUCAUUCUUGCUGGAGAGAUGCUAUGCAGGAAGAAAUCAAUGCCCAAGAAAGAAAAAAAGAAUAAGACUUAGUCUCAUUGUCUGCGGGGAAACAAGCCAUUGGCUGCAAUCAAAAAGUUGCCCUUAUUUCAACUUGACGUGAAGAAUGCCUUUCAACAACAUAAGGGAAGGGGGAUUCGCAAGAAUAAGUUUCUAUUCAGCCUCCUCCAACCCCAGGCUUCUCUUCUCCUAGGAAUCCUAACUUGGUAUGCAAGCUCAAGAAAGCGAUUUACGUUACGGCCUCCGACAAGCUAAAGCAGGCACAAAGAGCUAAGAAGGGAGCCUGGUUUAAGAAAUUUAGCUCCUUUCUCACUGCUUCAUUUUUUUUAAGGGUUCCACUGUAGCCGUGCGGAUUCUUCCAUGUUUGUUCGUCGACGUCAUGGUCGUUGCCUCAUCCUUCUUUUAUACGAUACGUUGACGACAACAUUCUCACCGGGAAUGAUUCUUCUCUUUUAUUCGAUUUCAUCAAGGGUCGACGAAGUUGAGAUUGAGGAAGAAUACCAGCUUCCACUUAUGUUAUGUUUACCCAGGACGGUGCGGCAGGGGGACAAGGGAUGGUGUCCAUGAUAAUUGCGGACCCAGUGGCAAAAGACCCAUCCACUCUCAUCAUCCCAGCCGAUGAAGCACCACGCAAUUGAUCUUCUCUUCCUCAGCUGAAGUCUGUCAGUCUUCUAUCUGAACCAGUCUUAGUCAAGUCUGUUGAGUCACUGUUUAAUGUAACCUCUUCGGAGGAUGGUCUGAAGUCUGUCCCAAAUAAUGAUGUGUCUGUCCCGUCAGUGUCUGUUAUCAUUUCUGAAGUCGAGUCGGCCCUGGAGGCCAGAGAGUCUGUAAUCAAGGAACUUGUGGUUUGCAAUGAAAUGAAAUCUAGGAGAUCAGCUGGAGGACUUUGUUGAUGAUGAUGAGAUGCUUAAAAUCUUGAAAAAAAAAAGGAAAACAAAUAGCAGAUCUUAGCUCCCCUUCCAAUGAUCACUGCCUCAUGCAGGUAGAUGAGGAAGAAACCUAGAGUGAAACUCCUCCUGAACUCUUGGAAAUGGUGGAGAGAUCAGAGGAAAGGAAGGCUCAACCCGUCAUGGAAGAAACCCAACCCAUUACCAUUAAUUUAGGGACCGCAGACGAACCCCAAGAGGUUAGGAUAGGAACCACUUUGACUCUCGAAGAACGAAUAAGCCUGAUUGCCCUUUUGAAAGAAUACAAUACAAGGAUGUCUUUGCAUGGUCCUACGAUGAUAUGCCUGGACUCAGCACAGACAUAGUUUAGCAUAAAAUCUCUUUGUAUCCUGAUGCCAAGCCAGUCAAGCAGAAACUGAGGAGAAUGCGGAAUAAAAAGAAAAAGGUUUCAUCAAAGAGGAAGUAGAGAAGCAGCUAAAGGCAGGAUUUCUUGUAGUGACGGAAUACCCCGAAUGGUUAGCCAACAGAGUUCCUGUCCCGAAAAAGGACGGCAGAGUCCGCAUGUGCGUUGACUUUCGCGACCUCAACAAAGCCAGUCCUAAGGAUGAUUUCCCUUUGCCACAGCCACACAUUGACAUCUUGGUUGACAAUACAGCGGGGCAUGAAUUAUUAUUAUUAUCCUUCAUGGAUGGCUUCUCAAGGUACAAUCAAAUAAAGAUGGCGCCAGAAGAUAUGCAGCCUAAUUUUUACCUAGUUGGGAACAUUUUGCUACCGUGUCAUGCCUUUGGGCCUUAAAAACGCCGGGGUAACAUAUCAAAGGGCAGCUACAACCUUGUUGCAUGACAUGAUACAUAAGAAAGUAGAAGUAUAUGUUGAUGACAUGAUAGUGAAGUCUAGGGGCAGAGAUGAACACUGUGCGGCAUUAAGGAGAUUCUUUGACCGAAUACGUCAGUACCAGUUGAGGCUUAAUCCCCAAGCGCCUUUGGUGUCACAUCAGGAAAACUUUAAGAGUUUUAUCGUCAGUCAAAGAGGUAAAGAGGUCGACCCUGAAAAAGUAAGGGCCUUCCAAGAAAUUCCACCUCCACGAACCGAGAAAGAGAUUCGGGGGUUUCUCGGUCGCGUGCAAUACAUUAGCCGCUUCAUAUCUCAAUUAACCUCCACUUGCGAGCCUAUACACAAGCUUCUAAAGAAAAAUUAUGCAGGAAAAUAGGAUGCCAGAAAGCUUUUGACAAAAUAAAGAAAUACCCCUCCCACUAAUUCUAGUGCUUCCAAACGCCAGGAAAGCCUUUAAUUACUAUACCUAUCAGUCACUGAAACCACUAUGGGGUCUAUGUUGGCUCAAUACGACGAAGACAGACGGAAGGAAAGGGCCAUAUACUACCUUAGUAAGAAAAUGACUGACUACGAGACCUGGUAUACCAAUUUGGAGAAAACCUGCUUGGCUUUGGUUUGGGCAACGCGGAAAUUGAGGCAUUACAUGCUGUCUUACUCGGUACAUUUAAUAGCUCGCAUGGACCCCCCAAAAAAAGUAUUUGUUCGAGAAACCCGCCUUAACGGGAAGGACCGCAAGAUGGUUACUGCUUCUGUCUGAAUUCGACAUCACGUAUGUAACCGUAACCCAAAAAUCCAUUAAGGGAAGGGCGAUAGCAGAACACCUUGCUGAACACCCUAUCAAGGAGGAAUAUGAGUUUAAGGAUUGCUUUCCAGACGAGGAAAUAGCUGUCACAGAAGAGGAGGGCAGGGCGUGGAAAUGAAAAUGAAAUUGUACUUUUAUGGCGCGGCCAAUCAAAAUGGGUACAGAGUAGGGUCAUUGCUGAUUGUACCUGAUGAAUCGCACAACCCCAUUGCCAUUAAGCUCAACUUUGCAGGAACUAACAAUACCACAGCACAGAAUAUGAAGCAUGUAUCCAUGGACUAGAGGCUCCCUUGAACCUGACUUGCUUCCGUCACUUACGGAACUGGCUGAACUUACUUCCUUAUGAUUCAAAGAAGGGACUUUACGCCUACUCGCUUACUGUCUUGACUUGCACUUUCACUUCCUCUUUUAGUUCACUAGCGAAAAGGAAUUCAAUUUGACCUACGAACUGAUUCGAUCCCAUCGCCACAGGACUUGUUUCAGAUCGUGGCCAAAUUAGUCUCAGUCAGUCUCUGUUGGGCCAUAGACCAUCCACCUGUGAGGUUUCCUGAUUCAUGCCCUCCAGGAUGUUGAGUCUUCUUAGCGACUGCAUUAGCUUCCAUCAACGCUCCAAGAAUGCAAUCAUCGAAGCUGGUGAAGAUCACGCCCAUCAUCAUAAGGUUAAACCCUUCUUCCGUAUGUGCCAUGCGCCCCUGGAGGGGAAAAAGUGAAGAGUGACUUGCCUUUUGGGAUAGUGCCUCUGAUUUGAGACAUAUGCUAAGAGGAGGGGUGCGGAUAGUGAGAAAGUGGGCAUAGCCCGCAAAGGGCUUUUCCUGCACUUUAGAGCAUGAUGGCGUACACCACCACGACAAGCUUCCAUCGUCAAGUCGUCAGCCCCGGAUGCGUCCUGACGCCUGGUACUUCGAGCCAUAAACUGAUGCACCCAUUCCUUUUUCAGGAAUAAGUUCCAGCCCAUUUCGAUUUUUUUAAUGAUAAGGAAGCGCUUGCGCUUGAUCUGGGCCUUAUAAAGACAUCGAGAUCAAGGAGAUCGUGGGAUCAAAGUGGACGUUCCCGAUUUCCAUGGCCGAUUGCAUCCCGAGGACUUUCUUGAUUGGGUUAGGUAGCGUGGAGAAGUUCUUUGAUUGGAAAGAACUAUCCGAGGUGUGCGAAGGUGAAAUUCCUGAGCACGGGUCAUGCCUCAAUUUGGUGGGAUCAAGUCCAAGCAAGGCGUGAGCGGAAAGGCAAAGGGAAGUACAUGGGACAAGAUGCGAUCGAGGUUGCGGUAGAAAUUUCGACUCUCCGAUUAGACCCAAAGCUUGUUCAAAAGGGUUUACUUCGCUUUAAAGGAUAGGGGGGAGAGAAGCGUACAAGAAAGCCCCUACUCCUAACAUAACAAGUUGCGGAGUUCUACCAAUUGUUUAUUCGCAAUGGCUUGAACGAAUCCGACGAGGAAUCCCUUGCUUGAUAGGGCUUGAGGUUAUAAAUCCAAGAUGAAAUCUCGAUGCAUCGGAUGUGGAAAGUGGCCUAUCAACUAGUUCUAAAGGCCGAGGAAAAGCUAAAGAGAAGGACCACAAGGAGGCACCGAAGAGGGGAUCGACCUCUACCAUCGGGCGAGGAAAGAGACCCCUUUUUCCCUUCACUCAAUAUAUAUGGCACGCUUUACUAAUAUAAUAGAAAGUAAAGGCUCCAUCCUACUCGUUGCCCAGAGCCUUAACUUGAGCAUUGUACAAGUGCGUAAGGCUCCUUCGGGCCAUGGCCACAACGAAACUAUAAGAUAAGGCAAGGCUUGGAAGCAAGCUACCAGCGCCUAUCGGCGAGAACUAGGGUUGGCUUGGUUAGUAGUGCCCGCCCAUUCUGUCUCGUUCGGGCGGAGGGGGACCGUCGAAGAAGUGCCUCGACGCGCCGCAGCCACUACUUUGAUUCCUUUUAUGCAAUUAUGAAACUCCACGGAACUUUCUCGAUUCCAACGCAACUUAUCCUUUUGGAGCUGACGUAACAAACUACGCGAGCCUCCCGACGAAGCCAACAUAAAUCCUAUCCGAAUAAAAAAAAUAAAAGGAAGUUUCAUUAUGGUGGUAUACCAGCCUCCUGUUUUGGAACUUCCAGUUACAAUCGAAGCAUAUAGAUCUGUAAAUAGAUUUGUAUGUAUAGCCACUUCAGUCGUGCUCGUCGUUUCUCGAAAGUAUCUUUUUUCUGGGAACAUGGUCAACCAGAAAUUAUUAUGUUCGCGAUUCUUCAUCCACCGAUGCAGAAAAUGCUCCAGUUUUCCAUUCUCAUAUGAGGCCGGAAAGUUUAUUAGCAACAGGUCGGCGCGAAGUGAUUCAUCAUGCUCAAACAUGAGCCGAUCGUUCCUUAGGGACGGUUUAUAGAUCAUCAAAUUCCCACAAAUGGAAUGAAAAGUAGGUCCAUGUAAAUGAUCGAGACCUCGCAAACAACAACGCUCCUUCCCCAUAUGGAGUUCGGAACCCAAAGGCAAUCGUUGAGUGAACUGUAUCUUCUUUGUGUUAGUUGACCUAAGCCGCACCAUUACUGCUGGGGUGGGGCUCGGCCUCCGAACCGUACGUGGGACGAGUUUCUGCCUCAUACAGCUCCGGCCGAAGACCGGGGGAAGUUUAGGAAAGAUGGGGAGACCCUGCUGCUCCCGGUCGGGGCCGGGGAUAAGCUUGUGAAGAAGAAGAAGCGAGUUUAUUCCCCCCAAAAAAACCGAUCCUAUAGCGCUAGCGCUUCGCGUUCUUUCUAUUUCAUCUCAUUUCAUUCCGGGAUAGGCGGCUAAUACUAAUGUGAAGUAGUCGUCGUCUGACCAAUUGGCUUGGACACCAGACCGCUCGUGCCCGCCCAUUCUGUCUCGCCCUAAAUGGAAUGACUAUCUUAGUUACGCUGCGCCCCGACCCGAGUCCCCACGUCCGCUCUUCUCCGUCCGCAACCCAAGAAGUUGGCUUUGCCAACACAACAUUAGGGCCGUCCCCUUCAUUCUAUGCUGACCCCGGCCCGGGGCUGGCUUUUUGGGAAGCCCGUUCCCACCGCGCUUACGGCCCGGCUGGCCUGCCAGCGGUAGUGGGAAUUCUCCCGUUCCCUGGUCAAAGACUUGGUUGGAUGCGGGAUCUACUCCACGAGGAGCGGUACGGACGUAGAUGAUAUCAUCACGACCUCUCUUUUCGUACCGCUAGGGAUGCUUAACACCACUUCGCCAACUGGCGUUACCUGCGCUUUCGUGUCUCUCAGUGUGGUCAGCACUGGGUGUUUCCGAGCAGCGAGGCUUACACCCAUUCGCAUUAGUUCAUCCAAAGUUCCUUACCCUUAUGCACGAAUUAUUGAAUAAGCCAUCUUCCUAUCAAGGUUAAGGAGUCAACUGAGCAUCUCAGUGGCGGGAUUGAAUACCCGGAUCGAAUCAGAGUUCACGCCGCCCGCCCUGAACAAAUAGGAGGCGUGGGCCACAGGUCGCACAUAAGCCGCCAGGUCGCACGACAGAAGAACACCCAACAUAAAGAUGCACACUCCUCCAUGUGAAAUAUUCAUCUUCAUUGGAGCUUUUUGGUAGUAGUCGUGACCAACAGCCAUCAGCUGUCGGCUCGUUGGUAAGGCGAGAGCUUCAAGCCCGAUUUCUGGUGGCACACCCUCCACACAAGCACCACCCGACGAAGGGGGGACGGGGAAAGCUACAGGCCCAAAACCUUCUUCGACCCUUCUUUCUAAAUGGGGGCGCCCGGAGCACCUCAUCUUGUCAUUUCGUCGUUGCUCAUUCCCGUUAGGCCGAAGUGUUUGGCCUUUCCUUCUCCGCGCCCGCUCACGCUUCGCUGACCUAUCGCGUGGUAAAAAGAAGAAAGUACGAAAGAAUAGUAAACGGAGCACACCACAGAAAGAUUCUAAAUAUGAGAAGUCCCCCUUGGAUUCGAGAAGAAGGAAAUGAAGAACGGGAACGAAACGAAAUAAGGCGUUUCUAGCUCUAGUUUCGGAUGAGCUUCUCCCAAUUAUGUCUGGUAAUAGAAUAGGGCGGCUUGCUCUGACCAAGACUCCACUUUUUGCUCCGUCCAUGGAGCGUAUGAAUUUCCUGGAAUGUAGAUAGACUAAAAGAGGGAAUAAAGGGAUAGGAAUAGGAAUUAUAGUACCAUUAGAAGAAGGGGCCCCUGUGGGAACAUCUCUACUGACGAACCAUUUCAAUAGUACGGGUGCUGCCGUGCCACGAGGCACGACCAUAAAAGUAAUAAAAAAGAAAAAGUUAUGUAGUUGGACCAUCUGCUCUAUCCGUUCGAGUUUCGCUUCUCUAGAGAAGAUGAGACGCUAAAAAUGAAAGUGUUCGCAACGCAUACCGAAAGGAUACCAAUGAAGCCGACCAUUAAUGACUAGUUCGAACACCAGGAGCGGUCUGUCUGAUCAAAUAAGGGAUCAGACCGCUCUUAUCAAGAUGAAACAAAAGCAAACUCUCAUAGUUUAGUUCGGGUUCGGAGCCCAGCUCCAACUACUUCUUCGUAAGUGAGGUGAGGUACUUCUUUCGGUUUGAAUAGGGGUCGCCCCUUUUUUGGUUGAAGUAGCUACGACUUUGGUCGUAGUCAGUUUAAACACAUAAACCCAGUCCACUUGCAGCCAUGUUGAUCAAAAUGACUAAGUUUCAUGACUUGACCAGUCACUCGCCCUCGUAUUAAAAGAUCAUCUCACCCUGUGGUCGACAUUCCAUUCCCCUUAGUCGUAGGUGCUCGUUCUAUUUUGAUUUGAAUGGGACGGGUCUCCCGAAGUACAUAUGGUCGACCCUUCGGGUGUCUCGGUAAUACAGAAAAGACGAAUUCCAAUCACAUCCCCUAUCACUUAAAGCCAAUCCUUACCAAAGGUUCGACGUAGUUGAAUCGAAUAAUUCUUUUUUCUCCUUCCUUCCAACAAGUGGCUGAAAGUUAGAAAGCAACCUUGGCCUAUUGGCAGGAGGUUCGCUGUCCCCUUCCUUUCCGGUCUGGCCGCGGUACGGCACCUGAACUCAAAGCUACGAUCAGAUCCGAUUGGAUCUGAUCCGUUCAGAUUCCACAGAUCCAGCCGAUUUGGUCUGGUCCUAUCCGACCCAACCCCGGAACUUAGAAUGGCCUGCAUGUUUUGGACGAUAGAACGGGAAGAGGGGGAGUCGUGCCCUCUAUACGGGCACGAGCAGGAAAAUAAAAAUGGAAGACCGAAUACAUAUACAUGACGGAACGACAUAUUAAAAAAUACGUGAUCUGAUUUGAUAGGCUGCCCGCAAAAAGAGUUUACCGACCGCAUAACAAUUCAUUCUUGUGUGUAGCGCGUAGGGCCAUGUCUCCCGAACGAUCAUAGUACGGCCGCUCAUCUAAUAUCAAAUCAAUCGGUAGAUCUCACUUCCCUUCCCCCAUACCAUAGCCGGAAGGGAUAGCGUAUCUACAGAAGAGAGAGUACGGGGCCUUGGCCUUACCCUUAAUUUAGUUUAGACGCGGCUCGAAUGCCUUUACGCUAUAGGCUAUGUUAAGCAUGCUUCUUUGACAGAAAACAAACUCUUUUUCCAUGACAACAGGCGCGACUAUAAAGGGCGGGGCGGUAAGCUCUCUAUCAACAACAGGGGGGGGCUGUUCUCCUUUGUCAACUCCUUGCUUGUGUCGUUGACAAAGUCAACCAAGCCUAACCAAAGCGUCACAACAACAUCCAAAGGUUGACAAAGUCAACGCUACUAAGGACCGGGGCGAGCGGAAUUCAGUAGAGGCUCGAGGAGGGGCUUACUAAGCGAAGGGCCGAAGGCGGCUUUGCUCAUGAGUUAGCGAUCAAGCGGAAAAAGACCCGCCGGCUUCUUUUCUUUUUUUUUUCAUUUAUCUUUUCCUUGAAACAUUUCCAGAAACUCGAGUCUUAUUUCUCGGUGGAGCUUCCUCUCUAGGUUCUUCUUGCAGCCUUAUCCCUUUUCAAAAUUCUUCUUCCCUUAGGAUCGCCUUUGGAAACCGGAACGUAGGGGUCAUGAUGAUCCGGUGGGAGGGAUCUUCCUCACAAAGCCAGAUAAGAUAGUAUUAAUAGCAUUCAUUAUAGUGAUGGUAGGGGGAUGUUGGAAAUCAGACACUUCCUCGGCCCAGCAUGUUGAGACCGGAGCGUUAUUAGGGGGCGAAUUCUUAAAAACUCCCACGUUGGGGUUCUUAGGAGCUUUCUGUUCAUCCGCCACGUUGAUUUUUUCUUCUUCUAUGAAAUCUUGGAUUUUUUGCUUCAAAGUCUAGCUUGCAUCCGUCGCAUGACCCGGUCCCCCCUCAUCUCAUUGGGACCUAACAAAAAAAAUUCUGCCAAUUCCUUCCAGCCUUACAGGGGGUGGGGGUGGAGUGCGGUGGAGCGAUUAGUACAUGCUGACGUCCGAAAGUGCUUCGCUUUCUAUGGAGAUAAGAACAAGUAGAUCAUAAGCUAGUAUUGGAGUUACUGGCAGAACAGAUCGAUGAUCCUAUCUUCUUGGAUCCAAUUCAAAAAUUCCUAAUGAACCCUGGUGAAUCAGCUGACGGAAUAACCUUUCCAAACAACGGGAUUGGUCUCCCCCCUUACUCAACCUCUAUAAAAAAACCCUUUUCCCUUUUUAUAAUAAUAAGGUCAGCUUUCAAACCAAGCCUUCAUUUGCUUCUUUGGAAUGUGGUAUGGGUUUAUGACAUCGGGUAGCCAGCAAUCGAAGAAUGAGCCAACUGGGUUACUAUGUUGAUUUGCUCUUCUUCAUCGAGUUUGUUUCGCAUUUGGGCAGCGACAGCCCUCCACCUGCCUACGUAGGCACUGAAACUUUCAUCACCUUUCUGAUUUAGAGCCUCGAGAUCUGAUCUUUUUGGUUUGGCAUCUAAGUUGUAGGAGUACUGAUUGAUGAACAUUUGAGAUAAUUGCUCAAACGACGCCAACUUAGAACGAUCUAGUGACGUAAACCAUUUCAGUGCGGGGCCCGUAAGACUCUUCUGGAAUAAUCGGAUGGCAGCCCCUUCGUCUUUCUCUAAAGGGCAGACAUGGGCACAAUAGGCUUUAAAAUGAGAGAUGGGACAACCUUUUCCGUUGUAUUUUUCGAAUUCCUUUGAACCCUUUUGGCAGUUGUGAAUCAGGGUAAAGGGAAAAAUCCCUGAAUUUGGUGGAAAAACUGCCAAUGCCUUGCGUUUUCUUCAAAAAAUCCUCAACUCAACUUUCUUUAAUCUUUCCGCAUACUCGUCCGUCGCCGAAGGGGGAAUGGGAUUUGCCCAUAAGCUAUAGGGGCGAGGUGGUUGGAGAUGAGCUAAAGUGGAAUGACGGAGAUUGGAUGGCCUGGAAAGCUGGUAGGGUUUGGGGCGAGCUGUGGGCUACAUUAGAUAUGGGUUGAAAUGGCGAGAGCUGAGAUAACGAUGAUGUUUGGGAAAAAGCAGACCCGAUGGUGCCGAGAAUCGAGGGUCCGAAGGUGAGCUUCCCUUUCCUUACGGGGCUCAUGGAAUAGCGUAUUUCGAAAGAGGAAGACGGGGGAUUGGGUAUACAACCGUUUGGUAAUUACAACAGAGCAUUGAACGGCAUGGAAAUGGCUAGCAUAGGAUUCAGUUGGAUGGAAACAAAUACUGUUGAAAAAAGAAUGUUAUUUAUUAGAAUUUCGAAUUCUAGCUCUCCGGAAAGCCCAACAUGUUGAGAUACGGAACGAAGGUACGUGCCGUGUCCAUCCAACUAUUACAAGUUCCAUGUCGCCGCCUUCGUAUUCGUAACUCCAGAAUUCCAGCGAGUGCCAUGUUCCUUUAAUUUGUUUGAUUGACUUGACUACUGCCCUCUUUCUCUCACAUUGAAGAUUUCGCCAGUGAGCAGGAAACCAGAAAAGCAUUGAAGAAGAGAGCAAAAAGAGUUUGAGAUCAAGAUCAAAGUGAAAGUGGUGCUUUUCAAAGUUUAACCUUGGGCGCGCAUAAAUAAAAAAAUGAUCCCUGCAUCCCCUCAGGCUGGCCACGUAGCACGAACCGUGUCCGGCUCCAAGAAGAGAAGUAGUGGUUGUGAGUGCAUGGUUGGUCCUGAACCAGAGAUGAGGUAAGCGCAAUUGAAAUUCCUGGGUGAAACUUUUAUAUUGGGUUUAUGAGUUGCUUGAACCGACUCAUUCGAAAGCGUUGAAUGCAUAAUUAUGAAAGACAAGGGACUGGAACUGAUUGCUGAGAAGGGAUCUUGUUCAGCGAGCAGCAGAUUCAGCGGGCGAACUCGGGGGACAGCGCCAGAACCCGGCGAGAAAGAUUUCGAAACUAUCCGUUGUGUUAGCAAAUCAUACGAGUCAUAGUUGUUUAGCUCUGAGUCCGCGUGAUUAGUCAGCAGAAAGAAGAAAGCUAUCUCCAUUAGUUGUCAUCUCCUAGUAGUCGCCAUCUCCACCCACUACCCCCUCGAUGACCGAUCCCGAAUUCCUCCCAAAGUAAAGUCAUUUUUCCUCCUCAUAAAAUCUUCUCUUGCCGAAAAAAGAAAGGGCCUUGUAAGACCGAUGUGAAAGGAAAGCGAAUGAAAUGUGGAGCAAUCCAGAAGAAUAGAAUAAGCAAGCCACUUUUUUUUAUAGGAGCAGUGUCCGGGUUUCCAACAGCCGAAGCCCCUGCCGCUUUCCCCGAGACUGGUGCCUAUUCAGGGGGACACACAAGAGAAGUGGUUUUUCUACGAUCCGCUUGCUUGAACGGCUUGAUUGAGUACCUUACUGGAAAACAAACCGCCUGGAACUGAGUACCGAAACUUGCCUACCGUCCCAACACAAGGCAAACCCGGCAUUCAUCGGGCUAACACUUUGAUUUCUGAAGGCAAGUCGGGAAGUCGAGCAAGGAAGAGUUCGAUAGCACUCUUUGGCAAAGGCCUAACAGGCCCAUUUGGAUUGCUUCAACAGCAUAUAUUAUAGAAAGGUUAAGGAAAGCAUUAAGAUCUGGCAUCCCCACCCCCAAAAAAUGCAUGGUGGGCAGCCAUACCAGAUCCAACAAAGGAAGCCUUAAUAAAAUAGUUUGCCCAGAAUCCUGAUGGCACACCGGCACUAUAUAAUCGAGGGAAAAUCAUCUACACAUGCAUCACCCUGCUGUUAUCUACCAUCUAUAAGCAUUUCUGCGGAUCUUUCGAAAAUACCAAAUGACAACAUCGAUAUUCCAUAUCUCCUCAACCUCCGGAUUUCUACUUUGCGAGACUAUGAAUGGUACAAGCAGAACUCCCUAUCCAGGAUUUCUUUUCUAGAUGAGCCAUCUGGAAGGACAAGCUCAUAGCUGGACUUCAAAAGGCUUUUUCUGAUCUUGUCCGAGCUAAGCUUGGGAACAUGAAUCUAGCCGAAGCAACCUAUAAAGAAAGAAGGCAGUCAGACUUAGCGGCAGGUAAUAAUCGCGAACUGAAGUCAGUCCUUCCUUCGUGAGUCCUUCCUUCUAUUUGGAAAAGGCUAUCUGAGUACGAUUGGCUUCUUCAUCGUACAAAGAUAGGCCUAGCUAUUCAAUCCAACCAAUCAUUCAAUCAAGUCAGGACAUUACUAACAGGAACUAAAAAAAGUUUAUAUCAAUAGGGAACAGUCUACGGACUAGUAGGGAACCAGUACUGAACUCUAAAGACGACUAAUAAGUCGAGUUAGAUAUCUAUAAAGUAAAAAAUUAGAUAUUGCAUAUGUAACCAAAGAUACACAUUUGAAUCUACAAACGAGUAUGCUCCUAAAGCUAAAGAAAGCAAGCAGAAAGGGGUGGUUUACCUAUUAUUUUAUUAAAAAGACAAGGUUCAGGUUCAAUGUGAAUACCUCUGGAAUGAAAAUGGGGUACGAUACUUGUGGCUUUCUACUUCCUCUCUCAAAAUGAAACUGAUAGGAAAGCUCUUAUGUGACUCUGACUUUGAGUGUGAUGGUGAAGUUGUUGCUAUCCUUGUGCCUAGAGUAAUUUGGUUGGGAGAACUCCCUCCCUCAAUACAAGAGAAGAGGGUGCUCGAGGAUCUUCUCGUGAAUCAAGGGCAUUCGCUACUAUUUCUUCACCUAUGAAAUUCUUCUUAAAGAGAAAUGAAUGUUUUCUUCGACGACUUUAAGAUUAAGAAUAAGAAAAGAAGUUGGAUUUUCUGAUAUCCCCAGGUGUUGUCACCAAAAACCUUCCCCGAUUGAAAAAACGUCUCAGUCACUCAUAAUCUUAUCUAACCAUUGAAAAGACUUAAACCAAAGCAACCAUUGCACCACAUCGAUGUGAUACCUCAGCUUUCCAUCACUGUUAGGUAAUGGGCCGGUUUCGUACGAACGAAAUCGUAACACCGGAACACCCGACCCGACCAUAUUUUCAUAAAUAAUUGGUCUUUCCGAUCCGAUCCGGUCGAAACACGACCGCUAGAGGAUCAAGCAAAUCUUCAGCGGUUAUUGAAAAGUAAGUUUCCACUCGAGCGUACCACUUGACAUACUCACAGCAAGAACGAACCCACCUACAAGCCCUAAUUAGACGCGGACCUGUAUGUCCACCAUAUCGAAGAGAGGAGCUUCUCGACUCACAUUUACACGUCCAGGUCAUAUCAUAUGAGUGUCAGAGCUCAGGAGCUCUUUGGUUGAAGUCGGAUCCCGGUCAAUCAACCAUACUGGCUAAGUAUUAUUAACCUACGACCUACUACCUACAAAACAACCAGGGGAGGCAAAAACCGACUUCAAACUCUGAAGCCUGACGUUCGGCUUCUAGCAAGGUGCGAAGCGAACUCACUACGAUUACUAAACGCCCUUAGACAGAGACGCACCACGCUCACUCGGUCUUCCUGAAUCAGGAAGACCUUCGCUCACUCGCCUAACUCCCACUUCGGCUAAGCAGCACUACAAGCGGCAGGCUGGGAUUAGAACCAUCACGCUAAAGCACCCUUAGCACAACGGUCAGACAACUCAACUCCGGGGGACUCACCAACUUCAAAGCAGAGGUGCCUAACCACAUAGAAAACAGAUAGGAAAAGGAAGAAACAUAAUUCAGAACAGAACAAAGAACAGAAGGGCAGGGAAGGAUGGAGGUACUAGGUACGCUUCACUACAAUCCAGCAGUACAAACCAACCCACUAGCGCAGAACUCACUCAAGAAACUAGCUCCUCAAAAGCACUAAACUCAAUAGGCUUCGAGCAAGCAAUCGUGCCUCUAGCAAAAUAAAAACCAAAUGGGGUACGCUUGAGACAGGAAACCAAACGGGAUGCCCAAGAUCCGAAGUGAGAGUGAGAGCGAAGCGGUUGAAUAGUGCACUCAAUCUGGUAUCGACAUAAUGUCUGGGCCAGGGGCUGAGGGCGAGCUUACGGAAAAACGAAACCUAGGCCAUAACUAUGAAAUGGAAAGAAGACAACAAUUAGAACUAGAGCGCACCCUCUGUAGUAGCUGCUUGUCAGACCUCCUUCUAUGCCCGGUUCGUAGCUUGGACUAUUCCCUCGCUGCUAGAGCAGACCAGUUCUUGAGUCGCGAUACGAUAGAGGUAAGAACCUGUGGGUUAGCUGAGCCGCAAUCCCAAUAGAAGCAGUAACCCCAUUUCGCCCUUGAGGAAUAGAGAUGAACCGGGGAUAAGCGAGUGUGGAGCAUGGAACGCCCCUUUCCUGUAAAAGUAAUUCAAAGCUUCGAUAAUAGGGCUAGAUAGUUGUAUUGAAUCAGGUACAUGGUGAAUCGAUCACUUGAGAUCCUUAUACAAGGACGGAAAGAAAGGCAUCCGGCACAUGUCUCAACUCCUAAUACGGGGCAGCGCCCCUUUCGUAGUGCGAUUCGGGACAAAUCGAAGCAAAGACAAGAAAGGUUCCAGCCAUUACAUACAGAAAUUCAAGUCCUCAUGAAUAUGAUAGUUCAGGCUACGGGGAAAUAGAUCCAAAAUUCCCCUCUCUUCUCUAGCCGUGGCCGCUAGGAAUUGCUUUCGCUCUUGCUCUUCACCGGGGUGCUGGUGGUCCGGCUAAAGAUUUGGUUGGCGAAUGGGGUCACUACGUUCUCAUCCUUUUGGCCAAGCAAAACCAGCAAAAACAACAAAGUGGAAGUGCGGUCAUUGGUUCACCCGGUUCAAUUGUCGUAGGUAGUCUUUCUCCUUCCUCGUCCUCGGGCCUUUUACAAGACAUUAGAUUGAGAUGAUAGUACGCCUUAAAGCGAGCAAUACAACACGGGGGGCGCCCUGUAGCCCUAAUGAUGAAGCUAGUCCAGCUAAAGCGUCUUUCCUCUCCUCUGAUGAGAGUGAAACUACUUUCCUCUCUAUUCAAUAUGUCAAAACUUCGAUCUGGUUCAUUCUUGCCUCUCCGUUCCUUUUAUGGUUUUUCAAUCUAAUCGUGCGACUGAACCUACUAUAUUAGUCCGAAAACGCCUGUUCUUGUGUGCUCGCCUUUUUCAAUGCUAAGCUGGAAAGUGCUUUCAGCUCGAGAGGAGUUUAUGCGUAUUUGAGCUCGUUCGUCUUCAAAGUCUUCCUUUAGGCGGGUAGUGCUACUCGGUGCGUGCAAAGGACAGAAUAAACCACCGCAGAGCGUACCAGGCUACUUUCCCUCAGCUUCUGAGACAAUUAGGAGAAGAAGAAGGGAUAUAUUUGAAUGAAGACCUUUUUUCCUUUUCCUCUUUAUAUACCUCUAGGAAACGAAGACAUGCAUUGAAUAUGAAUUGAAUGGGGUUGAAUGCAUCCCCUAUUGAAUCUGAAUGCACCAAUGGGCACACCAGAUAGACGAACAAGCUAGUGGGAGUUUCUCAGCAUGAUUCAAAGACAACGAACGAGUCGGUAAUAGAAGAUCAGUUCAACCAAAGAAUAAGGGGCUAAGCUAAAGUCCUGACUCAACUAUCAUAGAUAGAGUCAAAAAGGGGAGAUAUAGAGAAAAGUCCAGCAGCACUUACAAGUAGUACAGUCCAGAGUGAAUAAGGCUUUCUCGGCCGGUUCCAAGCAGUGUGAGUAGGAGAUAGUGCCAAUCUUCUCUCCAGUCCAAGUCGUCGUUCUUCCCGGUCAAAUCCAGUCCAAUGACUCUUUUUGACUUAUAUAAGUAGAUGUGCUUCUCCCCGUUCUCGAAUCACCACUAAACUGAUGGAGUCUUGUUUUUGUAGUGGACAAUUUCUCGGUUAACAUAUACCCAAGCCCUUCUUGCAGCUCGCACUUACGUAGCGUAGCAUCUUUCCGGAAAUGAAUUCUGUGAUAAGCAGCCGUCUAGGUUUCUGAAUGAAGGACGGGACGGGGAAAUUCUUCUUUAAAUGAAAUAAUUCACUCGAGUCUAAGCUAUAGUAUAAGCUUCUGGUUUCCAGUUCACAAUAGGUGACUCUCUCUCCGACCAGUUGAAGAUUGAAUCAAUCACACUGAUACAGCAGAUUAUAUAUCGUAUGUGGAUGGGGUUUGUCAUUUAUGAACAGAUUUCUCAGGUCAAAGAUAUCGUACGUACAUGGGGCAACAACUCUUUCUCACCAGGAGACGGAGAUUAGAGAGGGACAGUAGGACCCCCUAUCAGCAACCUUUUAUACUCUACCGUCACAAUUACAUCUUGCCUGUAGGUAGGUGCUAUCCUGAUCUUGCCUGUAGGUGCUCGCUCUAUCCCGAGCAUUUGCCCUUUUUGCUGUGAAACCGGAUGUACAAAGCUAGCUAUUCCCAAAGGCCAGAAGCAGAAAUGGAUUACCGGGGCGGGGACGAAUUCGUGAAAUUGCAAACCGCCUCGGAAGAGAACAGCAUGACUGGCAGAGCAACUAACAAAAGUAAAAGUGGAAGAGAAAAAUAUCUUAACGCUAGCAGAGUUCAGAACAAAUGAAGCAAAAUAAAAAACGGAAGCAGCGUUACUGCUCCCGAUUCAUCUUGACCCCCAACUAUUUUGACAGUUCCAGAAGUGACAGAGAUGCAGAGAUCUUGGCGAGGCUCUUUACUUUACAGGGAGCGAUCUGGAGGAAAAGGAAUAAGAAAGAGGAGGAACGAACACCUACCCGGAAAACAAGAUCAUGGGCAAUAGCAGCAAGGUGAAGGUCAUUUCCUUCCUGCACGGCACCCCUAAAUAGAUGUAAAAAGUUGUAAAUGUAAAACUUCCCUAUAAAAAGCUCUUUUUCGUCGUCCACACUGCAGUUAUUAUUUUUAGGUAAUAGGGCUACCAAUCGUUACUAGUCCAUCCAUUGGGAAAUGCUUGGUCCAAGCGGGGGAACCUUAACAAUUCGCACUACUACACCUACCCUACCCUAAACUAUCAUAAGGCAUAAGGAAAACUGCUUUCGCAGCAAAGACUACCAUGAGCUACCAAUCAUAUGCGUCCUGCCUAUCAUCACUGAUAGCCAACGGCCCGAACACCGCGAUCAUUGGUGAACUUGGAAUCAGUGCGGAUAUUGAACAUCGGCGCCAGAGUUCCUGUCGUAGGAAUCCCUGUCAUCGACGAAGGCUUAGCACUGAGGAGAACCACUCUCGCUGUCCACUGCUCCCCCCAAAAGCUCCCCUUGCGGCCCAUCGAGUGUUUCAUUUUCUUGGGGGGAAGGACUCUAUUAUCACGGUUAAGCAUGAGCAAAGACUGCCCGCUGCUCCUCUGUAAACCGAGAGCUAGCCUCCCUCCCGACCCUUUUUAGAAUAGUAGGGGUUGGAUUUCUCGGUUUCUAUUCUCCUUUGAGCGGUGAUUAGGCUUUCCUAGUUAUUAGCUUGUACCUAUCGGGCCCGGGUAUUACUAUUACGAGUCCAUUAACUUCGUUUUUUCAGUCAGAAAAAGGCCAAGGCCAAUACAAAGAGAAAUUCAAAAGAAAAGGGGUUUUUGUCCAUGUUUUGUUUGAUGCCGGGAUCUCGAGUUCCGGUCCAUUCAAUCCGUAUGUCCAAACUGUGGCCACACCUGCCUGCCUAUGCCGCUUCGCCUUACCAAGUCACUGCCUGCCUACGUCAAUGCUUCUAAGAAUCAGUACACCCCUUACCAAGGGAAUCAGAACACCACUGCAAGGAGGGAACCCCGGAAGUUUGAUCCGCUGCCAAUUCCAAUCAGCGAACUCUACAAUCAACAAUCAACUGAAAGGUCAAGGCAAGCUGAGCCCGGUGCCUCCGAAGGAUUAUAAAGGCAACUAUCCCACGUGGUAUGACCCAGCUCAAAAGUGCGAAUUCCAGGCCCGGGGCUCGAAAACUGUUUCCUCUUGAAGCACAAGAUCCAAGACCUCAUCGACAGUGACCAGUUGAAGUUCCGUAUUGUACCUCGGACCUAACAUUGCGGGGAAUCCACUUCCGGGGGGAGAAAGGUGAAUGCCAUUAGAGAAGGAAGACGCCUUGUGCUUGAGUUGCUUGGGGGGAUAUUGCGGAAUUGAUAAGGCGCAAUUUGAUCAUUACGUCUGCCAGUCUCCCAGAGGAUUACUGAUGAUCCCACAAGAGGUUGCCCAUAUCACCAAGGAAUAGUUGGACACACUCUCUACCAAUGCACUGCCUUUAAAAGGAGUUAUAAUAUAAGAGAAAGCCUUCGAUCCCCCAGGAGAUGAUGGAGCUACAAGCAGACGUAAUAUGGGUGACGUGGACACGAUCACCAUCAUUGAUGUUGCUCCAACUGUGAUCACCUAUGACCCAGAAGUGGCUCGUGCAGCUGUUGAACCAAUUGUGAUAUUGACUCCCUCCAGCUUUCCGUAUGAGAGUGACAAAGCGGAACUUUGAAGCCAAAGUGUUGAAUCCAGCUGGAAAUGGAGACAAAAAAGAAGACGAAGAGAGUUCAAACUCUUUUUUUUAGGUAAUAAGCUUACCAACGAGCUUACUUACCUUAUUAUUAGAGCUAGGGGAAUGAAUGGGGCUAGAGCCAGAAUCGCUUGUUACAGAAUAGGUUGCAUCUAGUAUACUACCAGUGGAGUCAUAAGUUGUAGAUCUUCAAUGGCUGAAUCCGUUGUUCAAAUAGCGGCUGCUUGGGCUUACCUUAGUUCCUUAUCUUUAGCUUGAGAGAUGGGAAUUGAAUUAGACAAAAAAGAAUAGGCAGCUAAACUAAUUAGUUAUGCCCUGGGGGAAUGCCCCAAAGCCCCUAUUACUAUACUACUCCUUUCGAACUUCUAGCAAUAGCGAACUCGCCCCACAAAGUGGUCCAAUUCUUGUGUUUAAUGUGAAGCUUGGCUUAGGCAAAGCAAAGGGGAAACCAAUCCAAGAAGAACAAUCCGGAUGAGUGCCAAAAGGGGUAAAGAGCAACCUCAUCGACCGACCCAAUUCCUGCGUAUGUUGGUCUAGCUGUCGUGUCACCUUUAGUAAGUGAUAGAAUGCUUUUCUUCCUCUCAAAUGGGAAUUAUCUUCCUUCUCGCCUUAUCCCGUUCGUGAGGUUUUCCCGACUGGGGCAAUAUCUGUAUAUCUGUAAUCAAAUAAUUGGUUGCAUGUGCUCUUUGAUACUCAUUGGUAAAGGAAGAAGUCGUACCAGACAAGUUUAAUCAGUAAUGGCUGUGAGGCACCGAGUCUGAAUAGGCAUCAACAAGCACAUAGAUGUCCGAGGCUCGAGGUACUUGAGCAGUUGGCAAGGGGGGAAAGAAGGGUUGGAUCGGUUGCUAAUUCAUUCUCCGUCUCCGGAGAGGUCGCAUCGGCAAAAGAAGGGUACUCAUCGAUCCAAUUCCAGCUUCUGUCCCGGAUGAAGUUGUUCUUGUUGGUAUCAUAGAUGUGUUAUAAGAACUGGGCAAUGCCCUCAAAUUCAUUGAUAUCGAAGCAUUAACAUUCGUGGAUGGAAAAUGAAAGAUGUCGAUUCUUUUCUAAAGCUUAGAUUGAAUAGUUUUAAGCCUCUCGCCCCCCCUCUAUGAUGGGAAACUCCUGAUUUUCCUGCUUAGACAGACGGAGGCCUUGUCAACGGAAUAUUCAAAUUAGCAUGAAAGUCCUACCUUAGAUGAUAUGCCUCGCUGAGCUCUCUCUUGGGCUGUGAAAGCGGUGCGAAAGAAGUUGGGCUACCUUCUCUUAAUGACUGGCGUAAAGGGCAACCUUCCCACGGUAUCUCUUGAUACGCUUACCCGACGUGCUUUUUUUCAUCUUAUUGCUCUUGCCGCGCUUAUUCGCUUAUUCUUCUGGUUAACGCGCCCCACUAAUAACUGAUUCGAGGCUAAGCACAUAUCCAGGCGGAGGGUCUCGAUUAGUCUUAUUUAGUUCCAUGAGCGGUGUACGAUAGGCUCCCGGAUGUUGUUGCGCAUGCAAGUGAAGGUCAGGGACCACCUUAUUAAUGCCGUGGAGCGGGGUGCAAUUGAUGUUCCUUGAACGCGUGAACUUUACCUUGAUGGGUAUGGUUAUUGACUGGGGAAUCCUGAUGAUUCUUCUUGACCAGGUGGUAGUUAAAGGAAGAUCGCUUCUGAACAGGUGGUCUGUGAUAAUAAGGGAAUUGCUCCUGCGCUCGCCGUGGCUACUAAAUCUGCAGCUGCGUCCGCUACUAAGGGCUCUGGGUUUCCAACAGAAAAGAAAUAGGAUCUGUAUAUGGAACGUCUACAGAGACUGGAAGGGAUGCCGUGUGCUAUGGAACAGGAUCCGCGCCUGUCCAGGUCGAGAUCCAAAGCCAUCACCUAUAGGGGGCCCAU